rnacentral:lncRNA from 1 species
AAAAAGAAAGGGUAUAAUUAAUCAAACUGAUUUGGACAAUACCACACGAUUUUUUUUUUAUUGACAAACCAACAUAAACAAUAUAUUAACGUAAAUAACGCAUUCACAUAUAAUUGUUUUAUUUAAUUAUUAAGAAAGACGAAGUACAUGGACGGUGGACACUAAGAAAUAUAAUCUCUUGUAUAUCAAGAGAUUUUAGAGGUUGAAAUGAACUAAACUGACCCUCACACAAUUAAUUGACAGGUAAUAACAGUACCCAUCCUUUUAUUAACCAUAAUGGAAAAGAGUAAUACUGCGUGCGUGCGUGAGCUUAUUAACCAGUGUGGUCGGGAUUUCUUCCAUAUUGAGGGACAGCAAUAAGAUCAAGAUUGUCAACUGUCCCGUCCUUAUCAUCAGCAAUACCAUAUACAGGUACUGGAGUACCCUCCAACCAUUCAUUCUUACCUGAAAGUUUAACAUUAGAAAAUGGAUUCAUAAAUGCUUAUAUUAAUAUAUGAAUUGUAAAUGAUAUCCAUUCAGCUGAAAUUGGCUAAAAAACCUGCGCAAGGAAAAGGAGUUUCCAUAUUCUUCAAAUCAGAAAAGAUCUCCAGGUGAAGCGUAAUCAAAACUCAAAAAUAAGUAGAGCUUGAGCGUGUUCUUAGUUCUGGUUUGAUCUGAUAUAUAUAGAUUCAAGAAGCCGAUGUUGCCGAGGUGUGGGUGAUUGUGACGUAGCAAAACAUAUAAUAGUUAUUUAAGAUUAACGGCCAUGGCUAAACUGCACGUCGAAACGUGUUAGCAUGGGUCCAUAAAAUAAAUAAUUUUAUCUAAUUAGGAGAGAAAUCGAUUCAGUAACAAGCUGCUGCUUGCACUUCCUAGAAAUUUUAAAUUUAUGAAUUGAAAUUACUCACGCCUUUUCUUGUGUAGUUAAUUAUGCAUACAGUUCAAGCUGAGGGAUACUGAUGUGAAGUGUAGGGACAUGGAUAUAUACUAUCGUUUACAUUAUUUUACAGCCUUGAUGUAUUAUUUUAUUUGGCAAUCAUAUAGUCACUGUCUGCACUACACUUUGUCUUCCCUACACUUGUCUCCACUUGAGUAUUCUUGAGUGGUAGCUGAGUCACAAGUCACCUUCUCAUGUCUGCUGGGCUUGCCUGUCGUGCUUGAUUUACUUUGUUCUAACACCCCGGCUCAAUCUCAGUUUUCUUAGCAUACUCUCAGGUCAUGUUUGGUUUGUAAAAAAUGGAGAAGAGGAAAAGUGUGGAAUGGAGAGGAAGAGAAAAGAAAGGAAUGGAGAAAAGUAGUAGUGAAAUCACAUUUUGUUGAUUGGUUUGAUAUAAAAUUUAAUAAGGAAAUGAAUUAUAAUUUUUUUCUUUAGACUAAUUUACAAUUUACCUCAAAUAUUUAAUUAUUUAUACUAGUAAUAAAAUAUAUAUAUAUAAAAAUAAAAUGACGGUCCGGUGGCCGGCGGUGAAGGUCCGGUUACUUUUCGGCGAACGUCUGGCAUCUUUUCGGCGAAUGUCCGGCAUGAUUCCGGCGAAGUUCGGUGGGAUUCCAGCGAAGUCCGGCAGCUUUCCGGCAACAUCAGGCGACUUUCUGGCGGUGAUCCAUUUAUGAUAUUAAAUCAAUAAAAUAAAAUUAUAAAUACUAAUUAUUAAUGAUAUUAAACAAAUUAAAAAGUUGAAAGGUAAUUUUAGAAACUUUAGUUUCUAACUUAAGAGGAAUUUAAAUUUUCACUACUUGGUGUGGAAUUCAAAUUCUACAUUAUGAUGGAUAUUAAAUUUUAAUGGAAAUUAAAUUCUUAUAUAUUUUGUCAAACCAAACAAUGGAAAUGAAAAGAGAAUUUAAAUUACUUUCCUCUUCUCCAUUCUCUCCUCCCAACCAAACACCACCUUAAUUUAUUUGUAUGGAAUUCAAAUAGCUCAUGUCCCAAUGCCUUUGUCAUAAUGUCCGCCACUUGCCUUUUACUCAGCACAUAUUUAAGAAUUAUUUCUCUUUUCCCGAUUUUUCAGUGUAAAUAAAUUAAGCCAAUAUCUUGAGAAUCCAAGCGAUACAUACAGUAGAAUUUGAAAUGGUGCAAGACCUAAUCAAGUUUGAUAUUUACUAAGUUACAGAGGCCAUUGAUGACAUACAUAGGAAAUUAUCUGUAAUUGUUGCUUGACUCCCACGUAUGUGUGUACAUAUAGUUCUUUUCAAGUGAGGGCAUCCUCAUUUUGUUAAAGUGAGGAUGCCCUCACUAGAAAAUUCCAGUAGUGAUAUCGCUGUUGGAUUUUUUAAUCUAGUAUUGUUGGAUCCUUAAUCCAAUACUGGGUUUAUAUGUGAAAAUUUUAUAUAUUGCAGACUGUCAUAUAAGAUUAAGUACAAUUAAAAGUGAACUAUUUAGGUUUUCGGUGCUAUGGACUUUAAUGUGUCUAAUAGGGUGUGAGCUUUAAUGUGUAGAGAUUCAAUGAUAUUUUAAUUUUAUGAUGGACAUAAUUAGAAAUAUCCAGUGACAAUAAGAAAAUGUUGUCUAUAUAAGUGGUUAUGGUUCCCAAAUCACAAGUAUGUUUCUAUUCUAUAUUGACAUCUCAUCAUCAGAGAGAGAGAGCGCAGAGAGAAUUAAAGGACUUUCUAUUCUCUUUUUAAGUGAGGAUACGCUCACUAGAAAAUUACAAUAGUGAUAUCGCUAAAAAACCUAUUUUAGAGUUUGAUUAUUUGAACAAGUAAUUUUAAUUCUGCUUGGCUAGAAUGAGAGUAGUAUGUUAUUAGUCUUUCUAUUUAUAUUUAGGUAGAAUUCUAUUUCUAUGUUUGAGUGUACAUUGCCUGGUAGAUUUACUCAAUUACAAAUCACGUGGUUACAUAAUAUGUUUGAAAACCUCUAAUUAACAAAAUUCUUAUUUUAUUUUCUUUCGUAAUAUGAUUUACCUAAGUCUCUCUUAUAAAAUCAUUUGCAUUAAAGCAUCAAUUAAUCUCAUUACUAUGAUGUAUUAUUUGUCUUGGACUUCUUAUUUUGGUCUAUCACUAUAUUACUUACCUUGGGCUGUCUCACUAUUUUCGCAUAAUAUUAUCUGCCUUGAGUCAUUCAUUUUUGUAUAGAGUGGUUAUAUUAUCUCAUCAGUUUUUAUAUUAAUUUCUAUUUUGCCGCUGUAUGAAAUUACUUGUUUUGGUGAAUUACUAUAUUAUUUCCCUUGGGCCGCCUCACCAUUUUGUUGCAUAAUCUGCCCUGGGUCAUUCAUUUUUGUAUAGAGUGGAGAUAUGAUCUCAUCAGCUUUUAUAUUAAUUUAUGUUUUGCCAUUGUAUGAAAUUAUGAAAAAUGGAUAUUGAAGAGUUUCUUGCCACAAAUUGAACCUGCAUCUCUGGUAAGCAUUACUCAUGCACUUUCGCGGAAAAGGCAGUAAGUGAAUGACCUAAACUCAUGGUUCAUUUCAUAUUAUGGAGUUUCUUAAUUUCUUCAGGAUUAUUUCGCCUGGAAUUCUCCAAAAAUCCACUGCUGAUAGGGUUGGUGCUUGCCACAUUGCCUUUGCGGCUGGUAGUGGCUUGUAUGCUUGUUGGAUUAGUCAGAAAAUUCAAUUGGCAUUGGUCACAAAUUUUUUUAUUCAAAUUUUUAUUCGAGCUGAGGGAUACAUAUAGUAGUAGACUUCAUAUACUAUGGGUGCGUUUUUGGGAUUGAGGUUGGGUAGCUGUGACUUUUAAGUUAGAGCACUAAAGUGUUUGGUAAACACUAGCUGUUGUACCUUUUAAGCUAUAUUAAUAUGAUUUUUUAUUUGUAUAAUGAAAAAUUUAUUAUAUCUUUAAUUAUUAUUUAAAAUUUAUAUUUACUAUAUAUUAUUAACUUUUGUUUGAUAGUUACUAUUUUUUUUUUAUAACAAUUGUAGUUUUUAAGUUACAGCACCUCAAUUCCAAACAAGACCUAUAUUGUCUUUCUCAUAUAUAUAAAAUAUAGUAAGAGAUAUAUAUUGCUUUCAUAUAAUUCUCAAUAUCAUAGGCGGUUAACCUGGACUCUUGGCCUAAAGACAAUAUGAGCAUGAAACCAUUUCGCGUGGGUGAUCAGUUAAGCCACCAAUGGGCUAUAAACAGAGCUUCAUUCAAGAGAGUUAAAGGUAUCCCAAGUUCUGAAAAUUGAGAGCAAGUACAAGUGAGCUUUUGCAGAGAAUUUUGAGAGUGUUUUCUUAACUAUUCUAGCGGGUAUUAUAUUGGGUGUAUUUAGGUUAUCGAGUUUUGAGAAUUAUUCCCGUUCAAAGCCCAACCCCAAUUUCAUGAACCUAAAUAAUAAACCAAACAAAAGAGAAUAUUCUCUCAAUUUAUCUAGAAUUAUCUUGGGUAAUAAUAUCCUGAAUAAUUGGCGCUGUGGCAGUUUUAAAAAUUUGGUGAUUGUUAAGAAAUUAAUGACAAUAAGUUUAGGAUGUCGUUACUUGUUAGGACCUGCAUUUAAAAUCUUAAAUAUUCGUAAUUAAUUAUAAAGAUCUUGGUUCACAUGCAAGCUACAACAAUUAGCCAACAAAUAUAUGGUAUUUUUGACAAAACUGUGCAAAAAGAAAGAGAAUAUAAUCAAUGAAACUGAUUUGGACAAUACCACACGAUUUUAUUUUUAUUGACAAACCAACCUAAAUAAUAUAUUAACGUAAAUAACGCAUCCACAUAUAAUUGUUUUAUUUAAUUAUUAAGAAAGAUGAAGUACAUGGACAUUGGACACUAAAAAAUAUAAUCUCUUAUAUAUCAAGAGAUUUUAGAGAUUAAACUGAACCAAACUAGCACUCGCAUGAUUAGUUGACAGAUAAUAACAAUACCCAUCCUUUUAUUAACUAUAAUAUAAAAAAGUAAUAUUGUGGGUAUGUAUGUAUUUAUUAACCAGUGUGGUCGGGAUUUCUUCUAUAUUGAGAGACAACAAUAAGAUUAAGAUUGUCAAAUGUCACUUCCAUAUCAUCAGCAAUACCAUAUACAGGUACUGGAGUACUCUAUGACCGUUCACUCUUACAUGAAAGUUUAAUAUUAGAAAAUGAAUUCAUAAAUGCAUAUAUUAAAAUAUGAAUUGUAAAUGAUAUCUAUUCAGCUGAAAUUGGCUUGAAACCUGCGCAAGGAGGAGUUUCUAUGUUCUUAUUUCUGCUUUGAUCUGAUACAUAUAGAUUCAAGAAGCCGACGUUGCCAACGUGUGGGCGAUUGUGACCUAGCAAAACAUCUAAUAGUUAGUUAAAUUCCACCUGCGACACGUGGGAGCAUGGGUCCACAAAACAAAUAAUUGGAACUAAUUAGAACAGAAAUCGAUUCGGUAACCCGCCGCCGCAUGCACUUUCUAAAAGUUUUAAAUUUAUGAAUUGAAACUACUGACGCCUUUUUAUGUUUGGUUAAUUAUUCAUAUAGUUCGAGCUGAGGGAUACAUACAGUAGUAGACGCCGUGUACCAUGUUCUCUUUCUCAUAUAUAUAAAUAUAGUAAGAGAUAUAUAUGGCUUUUAUUUAAUUCUCAAUAUCAUAGGCGGUAAACACGGACACUUGGCUUAAAGACAAUAUGAACAUGAAACCAUUUCACGUGGGUGCUCAAUUAUAUAACUUUCAUCCUUCUUAUGGAAGUCAGAAGAGGUGUGUACCUACCACAUCAACCGUGUCAAGCGAAGAUAUUGGACAUUUAAUAAUGAAAAAAUUAGGAAUUUUCAUGGACACACCAGUAGGUUCCGUAAAUAUAUAGAAUCAAUUGAUUCUAGGUACCUUACAAUGUGACUUAUUAUUUUUUUUUUUUUGUCCCUAAAGAUCCGGACUAUUUUUGAGGAUACUGGCCGUUGAGGCUUUGUUUAUAAUUGUGCAAGAAAAUGGAAAAGAAUGGGCUAAAGCGCAAAAAGUAAAGCUAACAGUUGUUUAAUUUAUUUUUUUAAGAUUGUUUUGAUGUGGAAUUUGAUUUGGGAACUUUUUUGUAAUUACAAGAAACAGCCACACAGGGUGACAAUUAUGGCAUUCUUUCGUCAAUUGGAUAUUAAUAGUACAAUGAGGAUGGCUAAAUGCAUAAUCACCCUAUUAAUCUUGCAGUCCAAAGCAAAAGCAAUAGCAUUACAAACAGUAGAACUCUCAGAUUGAUUCACUGUAUCUAAACGAUAGGUCAUCUGAUUACUAAACUAUCUGACGUAACUGAUUCAGAAAUUUAAUUUAGAGAGGAUUUGGUACAAAUAAAAUGAUUCACGAGGCGCGUUCGAUGGUGCAAGUGAUCGGCGGCAACAACAAGCAAGUAAGGUAAUGAUGAUGUAUAUGUUGGAAAUAUGACUUAAUAUUGUUUAUUAAAAGUUCAAAACAUGAAUAAUAGUUGUUGGUACUGUUCACUUAGCAACAAUUGUAAAUUUGUCAAGGCGUGUUCGAACUGUCCUUAAAACAAAUUUAAGCUCUUCUAGAAAGAUUUCUCGAUGCAAAAAGGAUAUAAAUAAAAUGGAUUGAGCUCCAUGAUACAAUGAUAUUGUUGCCAGGUUGCACUCCAAGUACAAUAGUUUAGAAAAGAAAAAUUAAUGAAGAAACUAUGAGAUAGAAGGAGAGGAUAUAGUGGCUGUGCCUUGAAGACUUUGUAUUUUAAAAUACCAAUAAAACUCGAAGAAUAAACUUAAAUAAUUUUGAUCAAGAUUGCACUUUAAGAUGAAACACUAAUUAGAGGCCUUUAUGUAUAACUUAAUAAUUUGAUAAAUAACUUCGCACUAGCAAAGCCAAGAGUUUCAUUUAAACCCCUAAGAUUCAAAUAUUCUUUCACCCUUUACUACUGGCAAAAUUUGGCAAUCGAUAUUUCGGAAGACAUCACACAUGUAAAAAAAAAAAAGGAAAAAAAAAUAGCUAGUCCCAUCAAAAUCACCAAAUGCAAUCCAAUAACAUGCUCCACUUAAGUAUAGACUUUCAUGAGAAUCGACAGAAAAAAUAAAUAAUAAUAAGUUCAUUUAGUUAAGCAAAUAACAGUUUGUGAUUGUUCUUUAACCUUAUUAAUAAUCUAAUUCUUAGUUUCUUACUAUUGUUCUUUUACUUGAUUAUGUUAUCCCCUAAAUCUUCAUAACAUCCAGAUUAAAUUAUUGAGAAAUACGAAAGCGGAAGCGUACCUGAAUCCAUGGUGAUUCGUAGUGGUUCUUGAGUGUAGGAGAUGGACUUCCAAUCUUCUCUUUCUCUUGAGUUUAGAAUUCUCUUUGAGAGGAUUAGAGAAUUGCAAAGGAUUAGAGAGAUUGGGGACCAUAACCCCUUUUAUAUAAAUACCGUGACUAUUGGUUUUCUUUUAGAAAACCCAACAGUCACGUUAUUUAUGAUAAUAAUUAUCACUUCAGCCCCUCAUUAAAGUGAUGAUUAAAUUCUGGUAUCUAUGCAUUUAAUCCACAACAAUUAUACCCUUAGCCAUUUAAUUAACUUCAAAUAGAUCACUUAAUUCUUGGCUUAUUAAAUAAUAGCACACACAUUUUAUUUAUUUCAUGUGUGGCCCCAAAUAUAUUAGAUUAAUAUAAAAUUGAUCUAACAAUCUCCCACUGGGCCAUAAAUGAAAACUGAAAUGUGUUUAACUUAAUGAGCUCAUAAAAUUGCUAUUAUGUCCUUAGAGUAUAUCUGAACAAUCUAGUUCAAUAACCACAUCGGUAUAUGAUCAUAUCGGCCUUUGUUACAUUAAUCGUAACUCAACCAUCCAUGGUCACAUAUAUCAAUAUAGUUACAUGACAUAGAUCAAUUGUGGAUGCAUAGCAUGGAAAUUACAUGCAAUGUGAUCUAAACAUGUCUAUUCCCAACUGGUCCUAAUUUACUUUAUUGAGAUCUAAACUUAAGUUAGUCUAACAGAGUGUAAGGAACUGAAAUACUUUAUUUCUGCAGAAAAUAAUCCGAAUAAUAUAAUCAAAAUAUAAAAGUCACACUUAGUAAUUAUACAAACUCCCACUAAAUCUGAAUAUCCUCAAGUAAAAUCACACCCAUACGAGCAGUGUGCUCAUGAAAGACUUUAGGUGGUAAUCCUUUAGUGAGCGGAUCCGCUAUCAUGGAGUUUGUCUCAAUGUGCUCUAUAGAUAUUUGUCCACUCUGCACUCUUUCCUUCACAACAAGGAACUUGAUGUCAAUGUGUUUUGACUUUGUAGAGCUCCUGUUGUUGUUGGAAUAUAAAACUGCUGACUUAUUGUCACAAAAUAUCUUGAGCGGUCUUUCUACACCCUCUAGAAUGCGCAGCCUAGUGACAAAAUUACGCAGCCAUAUUCCUUGAUUGGAUGCCUCAUAACAUGCUACAAACUUUGCUGCCAUAGUCGAUGAAGCUACAAGUGUCUGCUUGGCAGAUCUCCAAGAAAUUGCUCCACCAGCCAACAUGUAAAUAUAGCCUGAUGUGGAUCUUCUGCUAUCUUGGCAUCUAGCAAAAUCAGAGUCAGAAUACCCAAUGAUCUCUAACUGAUCUGACCUCCUAUAUGUGAGCAUGUACUCCUUUGUUUUCUGUAAGUACCUCAUAACCCGUUUGGUUGCUUUCCAAUGAUCCAUCCCGGGAUUGCUCAAAUAUCUGCCCAACAUGCCAACUAUGCACGCAAUAUCUGGACGCGUACGUACUUAAGCAUAUAUAAGACUCCCUAUAGCUGAAGAAUAAGGAUUCUUCUCCAUUUCCUGGAUUUUAAGAUUGGUCUUAGGGCAUUGACUAAGGCUGAAUUUAUCUCCUUUGGCGACAGGGGUGUUACCUGGUUUACUGUUUUGCAUGCCAAACCUCUUCAAAACUUUAUCGAUAUAGUUCCUUUGUGACAAUCCCAGAAUACCCCGAGAACGAUCCUAAUGUAUCUCGAUUCCUAAAACAAAGGAGGCAUCACCAAGAUCUUUCAUCUCAAAAUGUUUUGAUAGAAAACUCUUGGUGUCGUGCAGUAUGCCUAUAUCAUUUGUGGCAAGCAAUAUGUCAUCAACAUAUAAAACCAGGAAUAUAUGUUUACUCCCACUAAACUUGUGAUACACACAUUCAUCAAUAACAUUUGCCUCAAAACCAUAUGAGAUAAUUAUUUGAUGAAACUUAAAGUACCAUUGACGAGAAGCUUGUUUGAGCCCAUAGAUGGAUUUGGUUAGCUUACAAACCAUUUUCUUUGGGUCUCCCAACACAGUUUUUUGGUUGUACCAUAUAAAUUGUUUCCUCAAUGUCACCAUUAAAGAAAGCAGUCUUAACAUCCAUCUGAUGUAACUCAAGAUCAAAAUGUGCAACAAGUGCCAUAAUUGUCCUAAAAGAGUCUUUCGUAGAAACCGGAGAGAAAGUCUCUUUAUAGUCAAUUCCUUCCUUUUGAGUAAAGCCUUUAGCUACAAGACGUGCUUUAUACCUUUCCACAUUACCAUUUGAAUCCCUUUUGGUUUUAAAUAUCCAUUUACAACCAAUGGGCUUCGCACCGGAAGGUAAUGAGAUGAGUUCCCAAACUUUAUUGUCUUGCAUUGACUUGUACUCUUCAUUCAUGGCUUCGAUCCAUUUAUGAGAAUUGGAGCUUUGCAUGGCUUGAUGAAAGUUAAUUGGGUCAUCUUCCAUCACUCCAGUUUCAUCCUCAUGUUCCUGAAGAAAUACUAUAUAAUCAUCCGGAAUAGCAUUUCUCCUUUCUCUUGUGGAUCGUCUUAAUUGCGCAGGCUCUUGAGGUUGUUGAGUUUGUUCCUUAGGAACAAUCAUCUCAUGUUGAUUCUGGGGUUGAACAACAUUGUCAGAUGGUUGAGGAUCUGAAUUUACUUCAUGAUCAAUGACAAGUAUUAAAACUUGUACAUUGUCAAAAGCAACAGUGGAUCCCUCUUCCUCUUCAAAGACAAUGUUUCUUACUGGAUUUCUCCCCCCAAACUCAACAUCCUCAAAGAAUGUAGCAGUUCCCGUCUCAAAAAUUGACCUUGUACUGGGAUCAUAAAACUUAAAACCCCUUGAUCGCUCUGCAUAGCCAAAAAAGUAGCUGCUUACAGUUUUGGAAUCCAAUUUCCUUUCAUGAGGUCUAUAAGGUCUCGCUUCAGCUGGACAUCCCUAACUAUGUAAAUGGUUGAGACUAGGCUUUCGACCCGUCCAAUGCUCAUAAGGUAUUUUAGCAGCCGCUUGAGUUGGCAUUCGAUUUAGGAUAUAAGCUGCUGUUUUUAGUGCUUCACCCCAGAGUGAUUCUGGUAAAGUAGAAUGACUGAUCGUACUCCUUACCAUAUCCUUAAGAGUGCGGUUUCGUCUCUCAGAUACACCAUUCAUGCUAGGCGAUCCUGGCAUAGUAUAUUGAGGGACAAUUCCACAUUCCUCUAGGUAUUUAGCAAACGGUCCUGGACGUUGUUCUCCUGAACCAUUAUAUCUACCGUAGUAUUCACCACCACGGUCAGACCUGACAUUUUUAAUCCUUUUGUUGAGUUGUAACUCAACUUCGGCUUUAAACGUUUUGAACACAUCCAAAGACUGUGAUUUUUCAUGAAUCAGGAAUAUAUAGCCAUAUCUUGAAUAGUCGUCUAUGAAUGUAAUGAAAUAUUGUUGACCAUUCCAAGUAGCUGUAUGGAAUGGUCCACAAAUAUCUAUAUGAAUUAAUUCUAAGACGGCUGAUGUUCUGUAGGCUCCUAAUUUCUUACUUUUGGUUUGUUUUCCCUUGAUACACUCAAUACAAACAUCAAGGUCUGUAAAAUCAAGAGAUCUUAAAAUCUCAUCAGACACUAAUCGCUCAAGUCUAGCUUUAGAGAUAUGACCUAAACGUUUGUGCCAUAAUGAGGCCGAAUUUUCUUUCUCUAAUUUACGUUUUAUACCUCUGGAACUAAAAUGCAGGUUUUCAUUAUAACUUGAAACAGUGUGUAGCAAAUAUAGAUUGUCAUAAGCAUUAAGCAAACCGGUUCCAAUAACAUUAGAAUUGAUAGAUAAACUAAAUUGUCUGUUUACAAAUGAACAAGAAUAACCAGAUUUGUCCAAAACAGAAACUGAAAUCAAAUUUCAUCUAAAAGACGGAACAACAAAAGUAUCUAACAAAUCCAAAUAACAACCAGUUUUCAUAAGUAAUCUAAAAUGCCCAAUUGCUUCAACUUCUACCGUCUUACCAUCUCCUACAUAAAUGCAUCUUUCAGCAUCACUUGGCGGCCGGUAGCUCAGGCAACCCUGCAGUGAAACACAAAUGUGAGUAGUAGCACCCGAAUUUAUCCACCAUGUGUUUCUUGGUACUGAAGCGAAAUUAGUUUCAGAACAAACCAAAGUAAGAAAUGUACCUCUCUUUACGCGCCAUGCGUGAUAUUUUUGACAUUCCUUCUUCACAUGUCCAGGCUUGCCGCAGAAGAAACAACCAUGCUCGGCCUUUGGUUUCUUUGGCUCUGGACCCUUACAAGCAGCAGCUUCACCCUUUUUCUUUCUUUUGCCCUUAUCUUUAAAAGUGCUUACGAUAUGUGCAUAUUCGGAUUUCUCUUGCUUCAGUCUCUCUUCUUCUUGCACACAAAAGGAAAUCAGUUCAUUAAGAUUCCACUUCUCUUUCUGACAGUUGUAACUAACUUUGAACUGAUUAAAUUGUGUUGGGAGAGAGAUAAGGACCAAAUGCACAACCAAAUCAUCAGAUAGGUCGAGCCCUAAUGCCUUAAGCUUAGAAGCAAGAUGAGACAUCUCCAUGAUGUACUCUCGAACGUUUCCCUUGCCUUUAUACUUCAUUGAAAUCAAGCUUGCUAAAUGCAUACUUGUUUCAGCCUUAUCGUUUUUUGUAAAACGUUUAUGAAUUUCGGUAAGAAACUCACUAGCACUUGUAACCUCAUCAGUUAUAGCACUCCUAAAUACUUCUGGAACACCGCGCUUCAUGAUCAUAAGACUCAUCAUGUUAGAUCGAUCCCACUUCUCAUAGUACAACACAUCCUCAGAUGUACUAUCAUCAGUGAGUUCGUCUGGCUUAGGGUGUCUGAAUGAUAAGUCUAGAUCCAUGCAGCCUAAGAGAAUCAUCAUAUUCUCUUUCCAGUCAAUAAAAUUAGUCCCAUUUAGAACCGGGACACUAUUCAUAUUUGCAGAUAUAGAAGUCGCAGAUAGAAAAGCUAAAUAGAGAACAAAAAAAUAAAAUAUAAAUAAUGCUCACAUUAAACAACUCAAUUAAUAAUCUUUAAAAAUUUAAAAACAAAUUAUAACAUUUCAAGAUACCUAGCACAACAUUAGUAACAAGUCUUUGGACUAUAAUACUAACUGUAAAUGGUACUCUUGUUGCAAUGAUCAAAUUUUGACAAUAAAUUAUGUCAAGUAAUGAACCAAUCUUUGGAUUAGUACAUUACUCACAUUAAGUUAUCUUAAUAAUCGUCACAAAUUUACCAUCACAAGUGUGUGUGCAAUUAGGCCAAAUAUUAACCUUCCUUUGGGUCGAUUAACAUCCGCAGGAAUUACACAAACACAAACAUCUAACACCCCAAAUAAACUAAUCUACACAGGAGAUAUCACUUUGGUGACUUCCUGCUUUAAUUAGCAUAUCAUCAGUGUUAGACCAAUAAUCAUUUUAAUUUAAAGAUUAUAAAACCAUAACCGAAAUAAUUAAUAAAACCGAAACCGAAACGUGGUCUAACCAUAACAAUUACAAAAUUCCAAGCAAAAUGAUAUUAAUAACUCAAUAAUCUAAUCAUGGAUGGGGCUCUGAUACCACUUGUUAUCCCCUAAAUCUUCAUAACAUCCAGAUUAAAUUACUGAGAAAUACGAAAGCGGAAGCGUACCUGAAUCCAUGGUAAUUCGUAGUGGUUCUUGAGUGUAGGAGAUGGACUUCCAAUCUUCUAUUUCUCUUGAGUUUAGAAUUCUCUUUGAGAGGAUUAGAGAAUUGCAAAGGAUUAGAGAGAUUGGGGACCAUAACCCCUUUUAUAUAAAUAUCGUGACUAUUGGUUUUCUUUUAGAAAACCCAACAGUCACGUUAUUUAUGAUAAUAAUUAUCACUUUAGCCCCUCAUUAAAGUGAUGAUUAAAUUCUGGUAUCUAUGCAUUUAAUCCACAACAAUGAUACCCUUAGCCAUUUAAUUAACUUCAAAUAGAUCACUUAAUUCUUGGCUUAUUAAAUAAUAGCACGCACAUUUUAUUUAUUUCAUGUGUGGCCCCAAAUAUAUUAGAUUAAUAUAAAAUUGAUCUAACAGAUUAUAUUGUCGAAUCUUUCUGAAAAAGAUUGUUUUUGUAAUUGAACUGUUUAAAGUUUAAACAAAAAAAAAAAGCACUAAAUCCAAAUCAAAUAUAAAUACAAAUCCAGGUUCUAAAAAAAUCAAGUACAAAUACAGAAUCUAAAUUCUAAAACUUAAAGUUUCCAAGCGAACAUCAAGGAAUCAACAUCCCACGAAGCAACACGAACGGCGAAGGCGAGCUAGUUCAACCUGUAUCGGGGCUGGUUACUGGUCGCGAUAGCAGCUAGUGAUGAUGAACAUUGAACACAGCCACAAUCACGAUUAGCGAAGGUGGCGUUCAACUCGUAUCACAACUUGUUACUCGUUGUGACAUAGAAGAAGAAAUGAUGGCUAAUGAUGAUGAUGAGAUUAACACAACCGCAAAGAUAGUGAAGUGAUGACGACGAUGAUUUAAUUUGAUGAAAAAAACACCUGAAAAGAGACAGACAGGAAAUGUUUGGCCUUGGCAGCCGCAGUUAUGAAUGCAAGUAGGGCACUUGGGCUUUUUUUGUGUUUUUCUAUUUGUAUUAUAUAAUCUAAAAAAAUUAAUAUUAAAAUAAAAGCUUCCGGGUCUAGAUUCUGUAUCUAUGGGUUCAGAUAAACCCAGACACGGACUUGGAUACGUCUGGGUUCAUUAAAUUGCAUCCGAAUUCCAUAUAAAAUUUGCUCCAGUAUGGGUUGAAGCCAGCCUAUUCUCUGGGUUCAUCUAGGUUUGGGCGGGGAUCAGAUUGAAUUGGCAUCGCUUUUAUGUCCAAAUUAUCAAUAAGAUCCUUUGCUGUUAGUAAAUUCCUUUAUCAAAUGGUUUCAAUUUUGAACAUAUUAGUCCUAUUCCAAUUUUCAACCGUUCCCAAUUUUAUAACUCCAUUUAUUAGUAACAUUGUCUUAAAAGUUCAUCAUUGCACGGCACUAGAAUGAUUAUAAGGUUUAAUAUUUUUGAAUUAUGAAGCUCGUUCUCAGUAAGACAAGGCUAUUUGCACUCUAAAACUUAGUCUAAACAAUCUAUCACCUUGGAUACUCAUGUACUAAAUUUAAAAAGAUUAAGUUUUAUUUUCUUCACACUUUAAAAUACCUAAAAAGACCUUACUGAAACUCGCUAAAUUAAUUUACUCAAAACACCAAUCAAACUAUUUAGCACAUCCAAAAUGAAUUAGUAAUAAUUUAGAAUACACUGCAAUGGAAUCAAAGUAUGUUCUAAAGAAAUUUUUUUAACAUAAGUUUUAUUUAUUAGCUUUUGUUUAUUAAAGAAUAUGUUCAGCAUUGGUUUUUAAACCCCAAACUUUUAACCCAACAAUUGGAAAAAAUGGUUAUUUGGCCCAAAAAGGGAAAAAAAGAAAGAAAGAAAGAAAGAAAGAAAGCAAGCAAGAAAGAAGAAAAGAACACAAAGAAGAAGGAGAAGACUGCAAAAAAUAUUUUUAAAAAACUAAAAGGCAUAAAUAUGUUCAAAAUAUAUUAAAAGUAUUCAUUUGCUCCUAGCUCCUAGUUUAACUAAAUAUUGUUUAAGAGAUUGGAAAUAAAAUUUCUAGGGCUUAUGCCAAAAGAAUUAUAUAUUCAAUAAUGAGUGUGCUAUAUGAGUAUUUAGAGUAAUUAUAUAAUGUUAAUUUAUAAGAAAGAGUCCUUAUUAGUAAUUCAUAUGAUGUGUAUUUUUGUGAUAGAAUAAUUUAUUAAAAUAAAAAUGUGCAGAAUAUUUUUUGUAUUGUAAAUAUGUAAAAAUUCUCACCCUUCUCAAUAUAUUGACUUGAGUGAUAAUUUUAAAUUGCAUCAGAAUGAGCUAAAAGAAGAGGAAUUGUCGAAAUUCAGCUUAUGGCAAUUGAACAAUUAAUGGUUAAGAAAUACAGUAAAUCAAUAAUACUAAAACAUAAACAUAAUAAGAGAUCUGGGAUCUAACUAAUAUAUUGAUUCAAGAGUGACUAAUUAAAUAAAACUUCUUGAAAACCACACCUGCACAAGUCCAUGUGGGUUCUCAAGUUCUAUGUUAACUAUUAUUCUUCUCGGCAAGUAUCAUUCUUCUAUUGGAGAUGCCAUUGUUGCAGAAUAGAAGUCAGUUGAAGCUGUUAAUAUUAUGAUUGAAGUUUAUGCAAGUGCAGAUUGCAGACAGUAGAUAUCGACUUGAAGCCUCAUGUAAGGAAAUAAAGGUUGGUUUUCAACCAAAUAUGACGACUGGGACAAUGUCGGGUGGUUAAGGAAGAUGCAAUGGUCGUCUCAAAAAAUUGGGUUUCAUUGGCCAGAUAAGACUAAGAUGUCAACUUUUUUUUUUUCGUUAAUAUGAUUAACAAUGAAAGAGUAAUUUUGAAACAUUGACUUGGACUUGUGAUUGUUAAUAAAUUUAUUACUUCUUUUCAUUAAUUUGACCUGCAUAACAAUUAAUUGAGUGAUUUUUAUUUUUCAAGAUACUGCUACUUGAAGAAAUUGUAUGAAUCAAUAAUUUAUCAAUGAGUAACGUUACAAUUUAUACAAGUUAGACAUACUUGGCUGAUAAGCCAAACACUAUAAGAUAAGUCAUAGCCUAUAAGAUAAAUACAAGCUAAGGUAAAGAGCUAUAAGAUAAGAUUACAAGUUAUUGAAACAGAGAGUAGUUAUCUAUGUACAUGUUUGGUUAAUACGCCCCUGCAAGAUAUGUGUUCCAUCUAGAACUCCUAGCUUGGAACGUGCAGCAAUAUAACGACUGCGAGACAGUGGUUUGGUCAAGGUAUCAGCCAACUUAUUUUCUGAAGGAAUAUGAGAAACACAAAGAAGACCUGCUGCAAUUUUAUCACGAACAAAAUAAAAAUCAAUUUCUAGGUGUUUCAUCUUUGAGUGAUAAAUCGGAUUUGAACAUAAGUAUGUCGCUCCAAGAUUAUCACAAUGUAGAACAGGCAUAGAAAAUUUUAUACCAAGUUCAUCCAACAAGUUCCUGAUCCAACAUAUUUUUGAAACAACAGCAGUUAUUGCUCAAAAUUCUGCCUCUGUAGAUGAGCGAGCAACAGAACGUUGCUUUUUGGAUGACCAUGAAAUUGGAUUGCCUCCAAAAUAAAUAACAUAGGCACUAGUAGAACUGCGAUCAUCAAGAUUUCCUCCCCAAUCAGAAUCAGAGUAAGCUAUCAAGGAAUGCGACUGAGAUGAGCGUAGAUGUAAACCAUGAAAAAUUGUCCCUUUCAAAUAUCUAAGUAUUCGCUUAGCAGCUUGCCAAUGAAUUUGUGAAGAUUGUUACAUGAACUGAGAUAAUUUGUUGACAACAAAUCUAAUAUCCGGCCGAGUUAAUGUUAGAUACUGUAAGGCUCCAAUAAGUUGACGAUAUAGAGUGGAAUCGGCUGGUGGUGCCCCAUCAUUUAAUUGAAGUGUAACUGAGGAGGAAAGAGGAGUACCAACUGCUUUAGCAUCAUACAUGCCAAAACGCUGCAGGAGGUCACGAAUGUAAGAGUGUUGUGACAAGAGAAUUCCAGUGGUUUGUUGAACAAGCUCAACACCUAAAAAAUAGUUUAAAGCCCCAAAUCUUUGAGAGAGAAUUUAACUGAAAGAGCAUCAAUGAAAUGAGAAAUAAAUGCAUUAUGGCUGCCCGUUAUAAUUAUGUCAUCAACGUAGGCAAGAAAGUAGACUCGUACACCAUUUGUGUUAUAAAUAAACAAUGAUGCAUCAGAUCGACAUUGAUGAAAACCAUAAGCAAGCAGGAAAUGAUGUAAAGCUGUAAACCAUGCACGUGGAGCCUGUUUUAAGCCAUAAAUUAAUUUAUUCAACCUGCAGACAAAAUUAGGUUUGUUAGAAUCAACAAAACCACUGGGUUGUUUCAUGAACACUUCCUCUUGAAGAUGACCAUGGAGAAAAGCAUUAUUAAUAUCUAGUUGCCAUAAGGACCAGCCACAUGCCAAGGCUAGGCAAAUAACCAAUCAAACUAUAGUAGGCUUAAUAACUGGAUUGAAAGUUUCAUGAAAAUCAAUCCCAAGACGCCGAUGGAAACCUUUAGCUACUAGAUGAGCUUGAAAUCGAUCAAUACUACCAUUGGGUUUCCUUUUAAUCCAAAACACUCACUUACUGCCGACAAGGUUCUGAUUAGGUGAUGGAGGUAUAAGGUCCUAUGUGUUAUUGGAGAUAAGGGCACGAUAUUCAGUAGUCAUGGCAGCAAGCCAUUGAGGAUCUUUAAGUGCCUGUGUAAUGGAGGUGGGUUCACAAGAAGUUGGCAAUGGAUGACUGAAGUGCACCUGUAGAUGGUCUAACGUGGAAGAAAUUUUUUUUUUGGUUUAUGGAUGUUAUUUUGGGAGCGGGUUGUCAUUGGAUGUGUUCGAACAAGUGGAUUUGAUGAAGAAUGAGGUUUAGAUAAGGUUGAAUAAGGAUUAUUGGGUUCUGGAAUGGUGGGUGGAAUUUCAAUGGAAUUAGGAGAUGAUAAGGACGUGAGGAUCUGGGAACUUAUGGUGGUGGGGCUAGUAUUUGGUGGGUAUGAUGUGUGGGGUCAAGAGAGUUCUCCUGGAAUGAACUUGGAGGUUGUAUAUUUGAAUUAGAAUUUUCUGCAGACAAAGAACAUGAGCCCAAGUGCAAUGUCAUUUUAUUAUCAGAUGAGGCAAGUGACUGAGUGGCAUUAGAAUUGGAAGUUGAAACGGUGGGACUAGAUACAUGAAACACAGGAGGAAGCCAAGACGCUAUAGGUAAAGUAGAGAAAGAAGACAAAGUAGAAGUAAUAGAGUUAUAGGGAAAUACAUACUCAACAAAUUGCACAUCUCGUGAAAUAAAAAUUUUCCCAAACUUUGGCUCCAAGCAUUUAUAGGCACUUUGUUGAAAGCAAUAUCCUAGAAAAACACAUGGAAGUGAACGUGGUUCUAAUUUGUUGUGAGUGUAUGGCCGAAGCCAUGGAUAACAAAGACACCCAAAUAUUUUUAGUUUAUUGUAAUUAGGAGUUUCUUUAAACAGUAAUUGGAAAGGACAUUGCAUGCCAGUGGCACGAGAAGGUAGCCUAUUAAUUAAAUAGACAGCUGUCUGGAAGGCAAAUGACCAAAAUUUUGGUGGUAAUGAUGCUUGGUGCAAUAGUGUUAUCCCGGUUUCAACAAUGUGUCAGUGUCUACGUUUAGUUGUUCCAUUAUGUUGUGGGGUAUAAGGUGGUGUAGAUAAAUGAGAAAUGCCACACUUAAGAAAAAAAAUCUUUGAGUUUAAUAAAUUCCCCACCUCUAUCAGUGUAAACAGAAACAAUAUUGGUCUUAAAAUAAUUUUCAACAUUGUUCUUGAAUUGAACAAAAGUACCAAAGACAUCAUAUUUGAAUCGCAAUGGAUAAAGCCAAAUAUACUUGGUAAAGUGAUCAACAAAAAUCACAUAAUAUUUGUAACCAUCCAACGAUGUAACAGGAGCAGGACCCCACACAUCCGAAUAAACAAGUUCAAGAGGACUACUACUUUUCAAUGUAGACUCUCCAAAAGGGAGGCGAUGACUUUUAUUACAUAAACAAGACUCACAUGAUGGAGGAACUAAAGACCCAGAAAUAGAUAAAUGAAGAAAACACAAAAGAUGAUUUAAAACUUCUGUUGACGGAUGACCAACACGCUGAUGCCAAAUGGAAGAUGAAGGUUUAAUAGUGACACAGGAAAGCGGUGAAGAUGAUUUGCUAAAGAAUAAAUUUGGCCACUCAUACACUCCAUCCUUAUUCUGGCCUUGCAAUAAAAUUGCCCCCGUGGUCAUGUCCUUCACCUGAAAAAAAUCAGGAAAGAAUUCAAUAGAGGUAUUAUUUGAAGCACAAAAUUGAGAUACGAAGAUUAGAUUUUUAUUCAUAGAGGGGACAUAAAGAACAUCAUGCAAAGAAAAUUUGGUAUGAGGGGAAGAUAAAGAUAAAGAUCUAGUGUGAGAAAUACUCAAACCUGUACCAUUUCCAACUAAAACUGAAUCAGAACCUUGGUAGGGAGAAGCAGUAGUUAGAUUUUUAAAAUCCCCUGUGACAUAAUGUGAGGCAGCACUAUCAACAAGCCAAUUUGGGGAAACCAUAUUGGAUGUAAUGGUGUGGUUUAACAUCAGAGUAUUUUUGCGAGAGGAGAAAACUGGACAGUCUUUGGCUGUGUGACGUUUUUGCUCACAAAGCUGACAAAAUCCCUUAUAGCCAGAUCAUUUCUUACGAAAUUGAGCAUUAUUAUUGGUGAAAUUUUGAUAGUUGGAGGCAUUAUGGGGUUGGGAAGAAAAUUGACCAUUAUUAAAUUGGCCAUUUUGAUGUGGCAUAGAAGAGCCACGGUUGCCUUGCUUGUGAUUUGCACCAUGCUUAUUAUAUUGUCGUUGUGUAGCAUUAGUCGUAAUAGGAGAAAUUGCCAUUGGAUCUGCUCGUUUCAAAGUUGCUUCAAAAUCAACCAACUUGUCAUAUAACUCGUCAAAGGAAAUAACAGUUUCACGUGUUCUUACCCCAACAAUUAUUUCUUUGAAUUCUGCGCCAACUCCAUUAGCAAUAUGAACCGCAAUAUGAACCACAAUAUCGUCAUCAAUGAUGGGUAUAUCAAUCAAUGAUAAUUCAUCAGUAGUAGAUCUUAGGGAAUUGAGAUAAUCUGCCACAGAUUGUGAUCCACGAUGGGGGCGAGCUAGACGCUCUUUUAGCGAAAACACACGGCUACGGCUAGGAUUGGAAUAAAGUCUUGCUAACUUAUCCCACACUUAUUUGGACGUUGUGGAACAAGCAAUCAGUGGAGCAACUCUUUCUGAAGAGGAGGCAAUGAUGGAAUGAAAGAUCAAUUGAUCUUGACGUUUCCAAUAAAGGUAUGCUGGGUUUGGGGUGGAUACAGUUUCACUGCUAGAGGCUAAUGUUGGGUCUGGACAUGGAAAGGAUCCAUUUAUGUAUUUGAUAAGAUCAUAACCAAAAGCAAGGGAUAAAAACUGAGCUCGCCAAGUAAAAUAGUUUUCUGGUGUAAGUUUCAAAGGAAGUUGUGCAACAACAUUAAUAGAGAUAUACCCAGUAGAUUGUUGGGUUGAUUGGGUAGGGGAAAUGGCUGUAGAAGUAGGUGUUGUUUGAUCAGCCAUUAUAAAAAAGAAAAAUGUGCUCUUUAGAGACUAGAGCUCUGAUACCAUGAAGAAAUUAUAUGAAUCAAUAAUUUAUCAAUGAGUAACGUUACAAUUUAUACAAGUCAGGCAUACUUGGCUGAUAAGCCAAAUACUAUAAGAUAAGUCAUAGCCUAUAAGAUAAAUACAAGCUAAGGUAAAGAGCUAUAAGAUAAGAUUACAAGUUAUUGAAACAGAGAAUAGUUAUCUAUGUACAUGUUUGGCUAAUACUACCCUCCCAAGUUCGAAUCUUCGGUUGAAAAUUUUGAUUUAAACUUAGUCUUCAUCCCUCAUUUAUAAAUAAUAAAUAAAUUAAUUAAUACAUAAAUAAAUAAAACCUACGUGAAUGUAGAAAUGAAUCAGAUGAAAAGUAAAUAUUGUAUAAAUACCCGCACAAUGUGGUUCAGCUGCAUUGAAUAUUAUGCCAAGAAUAUGCAAAUCUGUUGGUUAGUGUUGACUUUGAACUACCUGAAGUACACAAGGGACUUUAACAUAGACUUAAUAACCAGUGGAAUUUCUGGCAAUUUAAGAAAAAAAGGGAACUAAGAUUCAUUUUAUUAUUCUUCCUUCCUGAACCUUAACAAAGAAAUUAAUCACAAAAAUAGUUUUUUGAAGUCUUUAAAAGUAAACCUUUUAGGAUCUCUUCAGAGAGCCGAAGAAAUGAAACAUGAGAAAACUUUGAAGUGAAAAGUAAUUUGGAGCUUACACAUCUUGGCACUCUUAAUCGGUGAAGCAACUGUGAUGUAACCUAACAGAAUGAUUAGAAUUUUCUGAGUAUAUAUGUUAACCCAUCCAUCAUAUUAUCUAUAUGUGUAUUCAGCACAAACCUUUUAAUCUUGUAUAAACUUAAAAUAGAGAACUGUUAUUCGUUCAAUACUUGCAGCCUUUAGAAGCUCAUCAAGUCCUUCACAAGUCCCAUUGUCCACUGUCGCAAGAGUUUGUUAAAAUCAUGAAUCAGUAUUGUGAAUUGGUUUAGUUAUAUUCUAUUAAGUUCGUUGCUAUUUUUCAAAAAAAAAAAAGUUCGUUGCUGAGGUGGCUUGAUGAGCUGGCGUUUGUGGGAACCUUAGUGGUUAAGUUGUUACAACAGUCCUACAAGUUUUUGGAAUUAAAUAUAAAAGAAAGCAAUGCUGGCCGGUGCAGCACCUAAAGACAAGAUCUUGACUAACUUUGAGAUAAAUUUUGUUAAUUCUUCAUUGAAGGGAUUUAUUCUCUGUGAUCUCAAGAAUUGUAGUAAUCAAUAUCUUAAUAAAAGUUUAUUAUCAGCCAUGGAUACAGGUACUAUGGUACCAAACCACGUAAUAUUACAAUGUUCUUUUUCUCUACUUUUUUAGUUUCUUUGUCAUAUAUGUUCUUUGUUCUUUGAUCUAGUGUCAUUAAUUCUUUGUGCCAUUAAUUGGACUGGUUAAUUGGCUAGUUUGAUUAAGAGCCGAAAGAGAAGAAAAGGCCUUGAUUUAUAGAAAAUUGGUAUCAGAGCCUUGGAGCUCUUUGCUCUUGAUCUUCAAAUGGAAAAGUAUCAGAUUUGAUCUCAAAAAAUUCAAUGGUGAAAAUAAUUUCUACUUGUGGAGUCUCAAAAUGCGUGCAAUUCUAUUUCAAGAAGGGUUUGAUAGUGCUCUUGAUGAUGAUGAAUAUCCAAAGGAUAAGAAAGAGAUUGAAGAAGGUUCAUCAAGUUCUGGAGGAGACAUGGGGUCCAUUAACAAUAAGGCUCACAACAGCAUUAUUUUACAUCUUUCAAGUGAAGUGUUGAGAGAAGUGGGAAAAGAAGAGACUACUUCUGGUCUAUGAGCAAAACUUGAAGAGUUAUUCUUGAAGAAAUCUUUGGCCAAGAGGCUCUGUAUAAAGAGGAAGUUGUACACAUUUUCAAUAAAGGAGAGGACAACUAUGAAAGAUCAUUCGGAUGAAUUUAACAAGCUGAUAUUGGAUCUUAAGAAUGUUAACAUUAUUCUUGAAAAUGAGGAUAAAAUUCUUAUCUUACUAAGCUCACUCCUAGAUUCAUAUAAGCAUUUUGUGGGUACUUUGUUGUAUGGAAGACAAUCACUCACUUUGAAGAAUGUGAAAAAUGCAUUAGAAUCUAAAGAUUUAAAAAAAAGAACAGAAAUAAGGGAUCAAAAUCUUGGAGAGGGCCAUAGUUGUCAGAUUCAUAUUAGAGAAGAAAGCCAAUAAAGACAAAAAGAAUAAUAAUAAGAGGGAUAAAGUUGAUAACAAGAAGAAACAAAAUGCUACUUAUGUCAUAAAGAAAGACAUUAUAUUAAGGAUUGCUUUGAGAAGAAAAAGCUUAAGAGGCUGUAAAAGGAACCAAAUGGGAAGGUUGCCAUUGUAUUUGAAGAUAAGGGAGAUUCAGAAGGAGCAGAUGUCCUUAUUACACUGAAAAAUAACUUACUGGUGAGUGGAUACUGGACACUGUAUGUUUUUUUUUUCAUAUGUGCCUAAAUAGAGAUUUGUUCAAGACCUUUGAAAGCAUUGAUGGGGGCAAAGUCUUGCUUGGAAACAAUCUUACUUAUAAGGUUAUUGGAAUUAGAACCAUUAGUAUCAAGAUGUUUGAUGGGGUAACUAAAGAUCUAAAAUCAGUGAGAUUGAAAACUUUUUGUAUUUCUCUAUAUCGUAAAAGGUUACACAGAUUCCUCUUAUAGAGAAGAAUACAUAAAAUCAGGAAACUGACAAUAAAUUAGCUAUCUAGUUGUACUAGCUAUUUCCUAAUUUACACCAUUGACUUAUUCUUAUUUACAGCUAACAAUCCUCUCUAACUACAAAUAUUUUUUUCCUUUUCUACACUCCCCCUGAAGUUGGUUUGAAGAUAUCCUCCAUAGCCAGCUUGCCAAUUAGCUCGUUGAAUUGCCGAGUAGGAAGCCCCUUAGUAAGUACAUCUGCAACUUACUGAGUAGUGGGAAUGUUAGGCAUACAGAUUAACCCUUUCUCAAGUAUUUCCUUGAUGAAAUGUCAUCUUUAUUGUCAUAAGUAGUUGAUCUAAACUAAGUUUCUAUGCUGCUUCUUGCCACCACAUUUUGCUUUUUACUUCGCCAUGUAAAACGAUUGCCACCAAUAAACGUGCAAUAGCCAGAAGUUAAUCGUUUAUCAACAGCACUUCUAACCCAAUCCGCAUCAGUGUAGGCUUCAACUUGUAAGCGCCCACGAUUCUUGAAUAACAAACCUCUUCCAGAAGUCCCCUUCAAAUACCUGAGAAUUCUAUAGACUGCAUUGAAGUGUUCUUGUCCAGGGGAAGGCAUAAACUGGCUAACUAUGCUCACUGCAAACGCUAUAUCUAGACGAGUAUGCAAUAAGUAAAUCAAUCUUCCAACAAGUCUCUGGUAUUGUUCUCUGUCCAGGACUUCUUCAGGUUUAAGAGGCUAUAAUUUGAGGUUGAGCUCAAUAGGUGUUUGUGCUGGUUUACACUCUAGCAAGCCCGUUUCAUUAAGCAAAUCAAGGACAUAUUUACGUUGAUUCACAAAUACACCUUUUUUGGAUCUAGCAAACUUCAUUCUAAGAAAGUAUUUCAAUGUCCCUAAAUCCUUGAUCUCGAAGUCAGCUGCAAGUCUCUUUUUCAAAUUUUCUAGUUCUUCACUGUUAUGAUAUGUCAUGACUAUAUCAUCCAUAUAAACAAUUAGUGUAGCAAUUCUGCCUUCUCUACUAUGUUUAUAGAACAUAGUAUGAUUAGCUAGGCUUUGACAAUACCCACAAUUCUUUACAGAUUUCCUAAAUCUCUCAAACCAAGUUCCAAGGGAUCACUUGAGGCCAUACAACAACUUCUUUAGUCUACAGACUUUCUUUGAUCCCAAAUUCUUCUCAAAACCGGGUGGUAGACUCAUAAAAACCUCUUCCUUAAGAUCACCAUUCAAAAGGCAUUUUUUACAUCCAAUUGGUAUAAUGGCCAGUUCAGAUUUACAACCAAAGAUAAUAGAAUUCUAAUUGAGUUUAUCUUCGCUAUCGGAGAAAAGGUCUCCUGAUAAUCAAUCUCAUAGGUUUAAGUGAAUCUCUUAGCUACUAAUCUUGCCUUAAAGAUUUCUAUGCUACCAUUUGCUUUAUACUUCACAGUAAAGACCUACUUGCAACCUACAAUCUUCUUCUCUUUAGGCAAGUCAACUAUCUCCCAAGUACCAUUUCUCCUAAGAGCAUUCAUCUCUUAUAUCACUGCCAAUUUCUAAUUUGGAUCACCAAGAGCUUCUUGAAUGUUUCUUGGGAUAAAAACAGUGUGAGAUUUUUUAAGUAAAUGCCCUAUAAGUGUGAGAAAGUUUGUCAUAAGAAAGAUAUUGAGCAAUGGGAUAUCUAGGAUUCUUAGUGAGAUUUCGAAUUCCUUUUCUAAUAGCAACGAGAAUAUUAAGGGCUGAUGAUUCUUUGCUAGGGAAAAUGAUGGGAAUUGAAGAUGAGUUAGGAUUGAAAAUACCUGUGAUAUUUGCAGGUCCAAUCCCCGAGGGUUGUGAUUGCUCGUUACCAAGAGUAACUGGUUGCCUUUGACUUUUUUUAUGAUGUUUUCUCCAAGUAUAAACCAAAAGCUCAAUGUUAGAAUCAUUUUGAUCUGGCAGUAGUAGUGAUUCUCCCCAUGUUUCAGAUACAAUAAUGUUUGGCAUUAUAUUGCCAGAACUUCCCUCAUUAUUCUCAGUGUUUUUAUCAUCACAUUGUUCCUGACUUUGAAGGUCGGGAAUGGUAGGAUGAGAGGAAUGAGGUAUAGUAGUAAAAAAUACUUUUGGUAAAGAGUUAGGAGAUAUAUCCCAAAAAGUUUAUUCCAUUACCUCAUACUCCCCCUGAAGAGAAUUUUUGUGAAAGUAGGAUUUAUUUUCAAAACACGAGAUAUCCAUACUCGCAUAAAUUUUCCUUGUUUGGGGAUUAUAGCACUCAUAUCCCUUUUAUUGGAGGCAUGCCCUUGGAUCAAGUUUGGACUGAGUGUUAUUAGGUAUACGAACAAAGACAGUACAACAAAAAACUUUAGAGGUAAAUCUUAAUACAUUCUAGAUAGGGGAAAGCAUUUUUUAAAACAUUCUAGAGGUAUAUUAUAUUUUAAAACACAUGUAGGCAUCUUAUUAAUUAAAUAAGUUGCUAUUAAAAUAACUUCUCCCCAAAGAUAUUUUGGAACAUUCAUCGAAAGCAUUAUAACACUUGUUACUUCAAAUAAAUGUUUAUUUUUUCUUUUAGCAAUCCUAUUUUGCUGAGGAGUAUCUACACAAGUGGACUGGUGAUAAAUACCUUUUUCUUUCAAUUUUUUUUUCAAAAUACCUUUAUAGUACUCGGUUCCAUUAUCAUUGUGAAGAACUCUAAUUUUCUUUUGAAAUUGAGUUUCAACUAUUGUGUAAAAGUCUUUAAAAAAAUUUCCAACUUCAGAUUUUUUACUCAUUAAGUAAACCCAAUAUAGACGGGUGUGAUCAUUUAUGAAUGUGACAAAUCAUUUUUUCUUUGAAAUAGUAGUAACUCUUGAAGGUCCCCAAACAUCACUACAUAUUAAAUAAAAUGGUUUUGAAGGAAUAUAAGGUUUUGGCAGAUAAGUAGUACAAUGAAUCUUUGACAUACAACAACUUUCACAGUAAAAUGAUGAAAAAUCCAAACCCUUAAAUAAAGUAGGAAACAAAUGUUUAAGAUAUGGAAAGCUAGAAUGUCCUAAUCUUAAAUGCCAAAGCAUUAUUUGUUCAUAAAUAGAGUUAGAACUAACACUACUAAGGCCCUGAGCCUUUUUAUUCCUAGAGAAAUCAUCAUCAAAGUAGUAAAGGCCACCAAUCAAUUUAGCACUGCCAAUCUUCUUCCCCGAGGUUUGGUUCUAAAAUUCAAAGUAAGAAUCACAAAAAAUCACUCGGCAAUUAGAAUCUUUAGUUAUUUUACUCACGGUUAAAAGAUUACAAGCUAACUUGGGAACAUGAAGAAUAGAAUUAAGGUUUAAUUUUUUGGAUAAUUUAAUCAAACAUUUCCCUACUAUUGGUGAGAAAGUACUAUCUGCAAUUCUUAUUUUGUCAAGACCAUAACAUGGUGAGUAGGUGCAAAACAAAUUUGAAAGGUUGGUCAUAUGAUCAAAAGCUCUUGAAUUUAUGAUCUAAUGAGCAUAAUUUGAACAUAAAGAAAGAGCAUUGGGUGUGCUAUCUGUUUAUGCAAGAAAAACAGUAGGAAUACUACUUGGUGAGUAAUUGGGUUUUAUCAACUGCAGACGGUAAUCCAUCUGCUCCUUGGCGAAAGGGCCUGUCUCGGCUUCAUUUGCAGUACAAAUCAACCAGGUAUUUUUAUCACCAGGCUUGCUGCUCUUUCAAUUUACUGGUUUUUCAUGGAUUUUCCAGCAUGUUUCUCAGGUAUGACAUUGUUUGUUGCAAUAGUCACACUAUACCCGUAGCUUCUCUACAGUUUUAUGUUGAAAUCUGGCUAUUUUGUUAAAAACAACCAAUGCACUAAAAAGGGCAGAACUUUCAGUAGGCCCGUCAGUUGUCUUCUUUCGUAGCAUUAUAUGUAUACGGCUUUCUUCUCUUCGAACCUCAAUAAACACCUCGCCAAUUGGAGCAACUGGCUUUCUGCCAAUGAUCUGCCCCCGAACCUCAUCAAACUCAACGUUGACUCCUACAAGAAACUUGUAAAUACGAGAAGCCUCAACAAUAUUGUUGUAAUAUUUGGCAUCUUCUGUGGAUUUCAUUUCAUAAUCAUUGAACAGAUCUAAAUCUUGCUGAAUGGAUUGAAACUACCUUAAACAAUUAUCACCAUUAAGGUAAAUAAUGGUAAUUUGAAUUAGAUGAGUAUCAGUAUUGGGAGUUUGGGUUUGUGUUAGAGAGUUGGUUGAAGCAGAUAUAAUCAGUUGAUUAUGAUGGCUCUAAUACCAUGAAAACUUUUUUGUAUUUCUCUAUAUUGUAAAAUGUUACACAGAUUCCUCUUAUAGAGGAGAAUACAUAAAAUUAGGAAACUGAAAGAAAAAUUAGCUAUCUAACUGUACUAAUUAUUUCCUAAUUUACACCAUUGACUUAUUCUUAUUUACAGCUAACAAUCCUCUCUAAUUGCAAAUAUUUCUUCCAUUUUCUACAGAGAUAUAUGCCAGACCUUACAAGAAAUCGCAUGUAUCUAUGGAUGAUUGAUCAAUUGGGCUGUAGCAUUAAGGUAGAAUAUGGUCAAAUACAGGUUAUAGAUAAGGGUAUGAAGGGAAUUAGAAGGAAUGGUUUGUGUGUUUUGGUUGGGUUAUUACCUCAGCUAGGGAUAAAUGCUAGUGUAAGUAGUGACAAAACCAAACUUUGGCAUAAUAAGAUAGAAUAUAUAAGUGAAAAAGGUUUGAAAGAACUAAGAAAGCAAGAGUUAUUUGGUCAUAAUCAAAUUUCCUCACUAGAGACAGAAGUUCAGGACAGGAAGACAUGAAACAAAGAGACAUUGGAUUAUGUUCAUUCAGGUUCCAUCUCAUGGUAGAGCUAGGUACUUUAUUACCUUAAUGGAUGACUUCUCAAGGAAUCUUUGGGUUUAUGUGUUGAAACAUAAAAGUGAAGCCCUAAAGAAAUUCAAGGAAUGGACAGCCCUAAUGAAGAACCAAAUUGGAAGAAAAGUGAAGAGAUAAAGAACAGACAAUGGCCUGGAGUACUGCAACAGCGAGUUUGAUGAGUUUUGUAAAAAGCAUGGCGUUAUAAGGCAUAAGACAGUAAGGCAUACACCACAACAAAAUGGCCUUGUUGAAAGAAUGAACAGAACCUUAAUUGAGAAGGUCAGAUAAUAUUAUUUCUCUAACCAUUUUUGGGCUGAAGCAAUCUCUAUUGCUGCAUACCUUAUCAAUAAAAAUCCCUCAUCAACUUUGGACUUUAAAACUCCACAAGAAGUCUCGUCUAGCAAACCACUUGAUCUAAGUAACCUAAGAAUCUUUUGUUGCCCAGCUUAUGCACAUAUAAGUUUGGGAAAGCUAAAACCAAGGGUUGUUAAAGGUUAUUUUAUAGGAUAUUCUGAAUGAAUUAAAGGAUAUAAGAUUUAAAGUAUUGAUGGGAAGCCCAUUAGAACCUUUAUCAGUAUAGAUGUUGUGUUUAAUGAGGAGGCAUUGAUACAAACAAAAGUUGAAACAUAGAUCUUUACUAAUUUUAAAGGAGAUUCACAUCUGAUGGUGGAGUCAGAUGUGCACAAACAUUCAGAAUUAGAAGGGUAUCAUCUUGUAAGAAAUAGAGAAAGAAGAGUUGCUGCAAGGCCUAAAAGAUAUGGUAUUGUUGUUUUAAUUUCAUAUGCAUGUAUGGUUAUUGAUUAUGUAAGUGGUUGAGAACUUAUCAGCUACAAAAAGGCCAUGAGUAGUAGGGAGAAGUCAAAAUGGCUUGUAGCAAUGAAAGAAAAAUUGCCUUUUUCUAGAAAAAUAAUACGUAGAUCCUAGUUGACAAGCCUUUAAACAAGAAAUUGGCUAGCUAUAAAUGGGAUUUCAAGCUCAGAAAGUGAUCAUGGGCAACCUAGAUAUAAGGCUAGACUUGUAGCAAAAAGGUUUACACAAAGGGGAGGAAGCAUUUUCACCAAUAGUUAAACAUAGCUCUAUAAGGGUUUUGUUGGCUAUCACUGCAUUCUUAUAUCUAGAAUUAGAUCAAAUGGAUGUCAAAAUAGCCUUUUUGCAUCGUAACUUAGAUGAAGAAAUUCUAAUGGACUAACCAGAAGGAUUCAUUAAAGAAGGAACUAAAGAUAUGGUUUGCUUAUUACAUGGCUCGAAGCAAUCCCUAAGACUAUAGUAUUUAAGGUUCAAUGAAUUUAUGAUCACUCAUGGAUACUUCAGAAGUCAAUAUGACAGUUAUGUGUAUUGUAAACUCUGCCUUUUAAAGAUACUAUCUAUCUUCUUUUAUAUGUUGAUGACAUACUUAUUGCAUAUAAACAAAGAGAAUAAAUAUAGAGGCUUAAAGAUGAACUAAGUUCUGAGUUUAAUAUAAAGAUCUUAGGCCCUACAACAACGAUUUUAGGAAUGCAGAUCAUAAGAGAAUGAGGUGAAAAAACUUUGUUCCUUUUUCACAAGCUAAUUAUGUCAGAAAGGUGCUUAACAUAUUUGGUAUGCUUAGUUCUAAACUUGUUACUAUACCUUGUUGCACAUUUGAAACUGUCUAAACAACAAGAACCAACUGAAGGAGCAAAUGUUGAACACAUGAUGAAAAUACCUUAUUCUAGUGUAAUGGGGAGCAUCGUGUAUGAUAUGGUUGUUUUAGACCCGAUGUUUGCAUAUGGAAUAGGAGUUUUCAGCAGGUUUAUAAGAAAUCCAGGGAAAGAACAUUGAGAUGCUAUUAAGUGGAUACUUAGAUACCUUAAUGGUACAACAAAUAAUGGUAUUUUAUUUGGAGGAAUUAAUAAUACACAAGUAAAAUCUUAGGCUAUGUGGACUCAGAUUUUGCUGGCAAUUUGGACAAAAGAAGGUCAGUUACUGGAUUUGUCUUCACAUUGUAUGGAGGUGCAAUGAGUUGGAAAGAAUCAUUGUAAUUAGUUGUUGCUUUAUCUAGAACUGAAGUUGAAUAUGUUGCACUCAUAGAGGCUACAAAGGAAACAAAAUGGCUCAUAGGCUUGGCAUCAGAAUUAGGAUUGAGGCGAGAGUCGAUUUCCAUUAGUUGUGAUAGUUCUAAUGCAAUACAAUUGAGCAAAAACCCAAAAGAACAUGAAAGAACAAAGCAUAUUGAUGUUAGGCUACAUUUUAUCAUAGAAGAAAUUGGUUCUGGUGUGGUGAAUAUUAUCAAAAUCCCCUUAGUAAUCAAUCCUACUGAUAUUCUAACAAAACCUUUGCCUAUAGUCAAGUUCAUGGGCUCUUUGAACUUGAUUAGGGUUGUUAGCUUGUAAAUCAAGCUAUGUGUUGCUGCUACAGAGUUCGGGUGAAGCUUGAAAAUAAUAUAAAUGAAGAGGAGAUUUGUGAAUUCGGUUAGUUAUAUUCUAUUAAGUUAGUUGCUGAGGUGGCUUGAUGAGCUGCUGUGUGGGACCCUUGUAGUUAAGUUGUUACACGGUCCAACAAGCUUCUGGAAUUAAAUACAGAAGAAAGCAACGCUGGCUGGUGCAACACCCGGAGAAAAGAUCUUGACUAGCUUUGAGAUAGAUUUUGUUAAUUCUUCAUUGAAGGGAUUUGUUCUCUGUGAUCUCAAGAAUUGUUCUAAUCAAUAUCUUAAUAAAAACUUCAAGUCCAAAGGGGUAUUAUCAGCCGUGGAUGUAAAUACUUUUGUAGCAAACCACGUAAUAUUGCAGUGUUCUUUUUCUCUGCUUUCUUAGUUUCAUUGCCGUCUUUAUUCUUUGUUCUUUGAUCUAGUGUCAUUAAUUCUUUGUGCCAUUAAUUAGAUUGGCUAAUUGGCUAGUCUGAUAAAGAAUCGAAAGAGAAGAAAAGGCCUUGAUUUCAUAACAAGUAUUCUGUCCAUUAAGGCUUCAAGUCAAUUAUUUUCUUAAACAAUUUAAGAGAAACUUUAAUUGCUUCAGUCUUCACUCUUCAACGUGUAUGAGUCUCUAUGAUAAGAGUUUUCUCCAAAUUCAAAUCCAACUUUAGCACCCAAAUUUUUGGCCUAAAUGGAAAAAAAAAAAAUUAAAGGCUUUACGUACUGGAUACUGAGGUACACACUUCACAUAUUAAUGUAAAAACUAAAAAGUUAACAUAUAUAUCGAAGGCUUUAUGAACUGGAUAAGAGUCUUGACAUUUUUAUGUAAAAAUUAACAUAUCAAAGGCCUUAUGAACUGGAUGAGAGUCGAUCAUUUACCCCCAUUGGGGACUGAUACAAAGUUAUUCCAGUUGGCGCACAAUGUCUUGCAAAGCAAGCAAACGUUCCCCUCACUAGAUGUAAUUGAACAAACAAUAAUCACAAUAUUUUUUUUUUUGGAAAAGUAAUUAAUUCAUUGAUUAGUACCAAAAAAAUCAUUGAAAUUUAAUCAAAUUAUACGGAGUUGCAUACCAUUUUUGCUCUUUGUUAAGAAUUGAUGGUUUCUUAAUAAGAUUAUAAUUGAAAGAAUUAGAAAUGGAAUGAGGAAGAUCUUUUGGGGGUAAAUUGAUUGAAGAAUGAAUGGAGAAUUUGUUUCAGCCGGAAAGAAAUCAGAAAGUAUUUGAGAUGGAAUUAAGAAGAUUUUUGUGGGUAAAUUGAUUAGAGAAUGAAUGAAGAGUAAAAACGCAAAAUUUGGAAACUCGGAUACUUGGAAAUCAAGUAAGGUCUGUGAAGUCGGAUAUUAGGAGAAUUAUACAGGCCGUUUGAUAUCUAAUUUGAACGGUUUAGGAAAUUGGGUGGAUAUUCUCUUGUGUGCAUAUUAAUUUUAUUAAUGAAGAGUGAUUCGUUCAAUUGACGAGUAGAAUUUUAAGCACUGUUAUAUGAUGGUGUUACGCAUUGUUUAGUACAAGUUUAACUAAUUGCAACUUAAAAAUUAUAGCACUAAAUUAUUUGUUAAACACUAGCCGCGCUGCUGUCACUUAAAAUUGAAAUUGAAUUGAUUCAACACUUUUAUGAAAAAAAAAAUUGAAUUUUUUUUUUAAUUUUUAUCAUAUUAUUAUUAAAAACAAUCAUGUUCGUCAUAUACUAUUAACUUUUAUUUUUAAUAAUAGCUUCUUUUACCACAAUAUGAGACUUAAAUAUUAUAGCACCUCAAUACUAAUCAAAUGCUUAGCGUAAAAUUUUUAAUAAAUAAAAAUAUAAUUUAAAUAGUUUAAUUUUUCUAAUAGACUAAUAAUAUUAGAAUAUUUUUAAUAUAAAAAUAAUUUUAAAACUAUAAAUGAUUAUAUUUAUUUUAAUAAUGUAUUUAUAUUUAUUCUAGAAUUUUUUAAUAAAUAUCUAGGUUAAAUAAAUUUUUCUAACAGACUAAUAACACAAUGCUCGCAAAAUGGUAAGCUUACCGAUUUGAGCCCUGGAGGCAAUUUUCGCUCAGAGAGAAUUUUCAAAUCUUGUUUUGACAAAUGACCGAGUUCGAGAUGCCACAUCAUCGUUGAUUCUUCUCCAUUUGACGUGACACACGCAUCAGCUUCUUGUGGUGUUUCCCCUUCAAGUACGAACAAAUUAGGACUGAUCUUUUCUGCCUUCAUCAAUACAAGCGCACCUUUAACAAUCUUCAUAAUCCCAUUUUCAACAUGGGUUUUACACCCAUGACAAUCUAUUGUCCCAAAGAUAAUAGAUUUUUCUUCAAGCCUUUGACAUGUUGUACCUCCUCAAUUGUACGAACCGUACCAUCAAACAUUUUUAUUUUGAUAGUACCAGUACCAACGAUUUCCAAGGCAUGAUCAUCUCCCAUGUAUAUAAAUCCUCCUGAGAUAGGUUCAUAUGUGUGGAACCAUUCUCUUUGAGAGGUCAUAUGCCAGGUAGCUCCUGAGUCUAUGAGCCACACAUCAGAUAACCAUUUUCUGCCUUCUGAAACAGUUGUUGUCUCCACUCUGCUUGUUUUUCCAACACUCUUUCUUGAAAUGCCCUUUCUUGCCACAAUUGUAGCAUUUGACAUUUUUCUUACUUUUUAAUUUUGAUCUACCAUGAUUGUGACUCCUAUUGGGGCCACGAUCUGUUGAUCUUCCUCUCGUCAUCGAUAGUGCUUUUACUUGCUGCGAACUUACUUGUUUGUCUUCCUUAUUUUUCCACCUAUUCUCCUCAUUUAAUACAGAGGCUGCAACAUCAUCGAAGACUAGACUGUCCGCUGGGUUGUUGUUUGUCAGGUUGAUGAUGACUUAGUCGUAUGAAUCUGGUAGACUUUGAAGUAGAAGCUCUACACGUUCAUUUUCCUCUAUUUUAUGACCCAACGUUGAAAGUUGUGAAAAUAGAGUCUUUAAGGUGUUGAUGUGGUCGGUCACAUAUUUUAAGAAGAUCUUGUUGUGCAGUGAUUUGGCCUUGUACAAUUUUGUGAGAGUAUCACAUAUUUCCUUUGCUGUCUUUUUCUUUGCCACAUUGGAUAAUACUCCAUCCACAAGCACCAAGUAUAGAUUAGAAAUGGUGUUGCCGUCUAUCUCGUUCCACUUGUCAUCAAUUAACUCCAUGGGCUUUUCUCCAAUUGCUAUCAAGCAUACAACUUUUAUCUUCAUUUUCCACAACGAAAAAUUAUUUCCGUUGAAUUUCUCAAUUUCGUAUUUUACCGCCAUCGCUUUUCACCAAAAACUAACUUUGCUAGGAUCGACUCUCAUCAUUUUCAAGUGAACAAUAAUUGUAUACGUGAACAAUAAUCAUAUACGUAAAUAGUGCCGUAUACGUUAACAGUACCCCGACUCCAAAAGAAAUACAACAAGUAGCUCUGAUACCAUUGUUAGGAAAUUGAUGGGUGAAACACGGCCACAGCUAAAAUGAAAUUGAAAGAAAAUUUACAAGUAUUGUAAUAUUUUGUCUCACUACCCAAAACCCUCUCACUCAAUAGACUCACAAGAGCUUUGUAAUUUUAAGCUCUUAAAAUCACUCAAAAUCUUUGUUUUUUCUCUCACCAAAAUUAGAUGCCUAAAAUCAAAUAAAGAGCUCCCUUUAUAUAGCCAAAAUUGGCUAUUAAAAUAUUAUUAUUAUUCUGUAACCGCCUUUAAUUUCUUCUUCUUCUAUUUUCUUCUUUCUUCUUUCUACUUCGGCGGUGCCAAACCCUUCAACAUUUGCUACUUCCAAAUUCUAUUUUUCUUUCCUUGGGUGGCACCUCCUUGGACUUCAAUUUGGGCAGCUUAUACAGCUUCUAGAUCUUCAAAAUAGGCUACUUCUGGAAGCCUUUUCGUGACACAUUACCUAGUAGAUUUACUCAAUCACAAAUUGGGUGGUUACAAACUAUGUUUGAAAACCUUUAAUUAAUAAAAUUCUUAUUUAUUUUCUUUCGUAAUACGAUUUACCUAUUAUGAAAUCAUUUGCAUUAGAUCGUGAAUAAUCUCAUUACUUUGGGGUAUUAUUUGCCUUGGACUUCUUUUUUUGGUCUAUCACUAUAUUACUUACCUUGGGCUGUCUCACUAUUCUCGUGUAAUAUUAUCUGCCUUGAGUCAUUCAUUUUUGUAUUGAGUGGUGAUAUUAUCUCAUCAGUUUUUAUAUUAAUUUCUAUUUUGCCGUUGUAUGAAAUUACUUAUUUUGGUGAAUUACUAUAUUAUUUCCCUUGGGCCGCCUCACCAUUUUGUUGCAUAAUCUGCCUUGGGUCAUUCAUUUUUGUAUAGAGUGGAGAUACGAUCUCAUCAGCUUUUAUAUUAAUUUCUGUUUUGCCAUUGUAUGAAAUUAUGAAAAAUGGAUAUUGAAGAGUUUCUUGCCACAAAUUGAACCUGCAUCUCUGGUAAGCAUUACUCUUUCAUUUUCGCGGAAAAGGCAGUAAGUGAAUGGCCUAAAUUCAUGGUUCAUUUCAUAUUAUGGAGUUUCUUUCUUCAGGAUGAUUUCGGCUGGAAUUCUCAUAAUUUGCUUCCAAAAAUCCACUACUGAUAGGCUUGGUGCUUGCCAUUUUUGCCUUUGCAGCUGGUAGUGGCUUGUAUGCUUGUUGGAUUAGUCAGAAAAAUCAAUUGGCAUUGGUCACAAAUUUUUUAUUCGAGCUGAGGGAUACAUACAGUAGUAGACGUCGUGUACUAUGUUCUCUUUCUCAUAUGUAUAAAUAUAGUAAGAGAUAUAUAUGGCUUUUAUAUAAUUCUCAAUAUCAUAAGCAGUAAACAUGGACUCUUGGCUUAAAGACAAUAUGAACAUGAAACCAUUUCACGUGGGUGAUCAAAUAAUAACUUUCAUUUGUUUAACUUCUUAUAGAAGUCAGAAGAGAGUGUACCUGCAACCAGUGGCGGUGCCAGAAAUUAUUUUUAGCGGGGCUAAGUUCACAUAAUAGUUUAAUUCAAGAAAGUAAUCAACAAAUAACAUAUAUCAAAAUAAAAAUUCAUUAAAGUAUUUAAUGCAACACACUUAUAAUUGUUCUCGACAAGGUUUCAUAUAUUGAAAACGUUGAAGAAUAACCUCAUUGUCAAGACUACAAAAUACAUCAUUUUUUUUAUGAAUACAACAAGGCUAUCAUUCAACCAUUGAUCUCCCAUCCGAUUUCGCAGAUGGUUUUUCACAAAAUUCAUAGCUGAAAAUGCCCUUUCUACUGUAACUGCGGCAACCGGUAAAAUCAAUGCCAAUGUCACCAAUAAAUAGACCAAUGAAUAUAAUUGAUCCUUUUUAGUCUCAACCAAUUUUCUUACUAGCUCACCAAUCCCUUUCAAUCCUGAAAAUUUGUUGUCAGAACCCACAUCCAUAAUAUAAACAUCAAAUUGAGUUUCAAGUGCCACAAGAUUCAUUAGAGAAAAAUCAUUCGGAUAAAACUCAGCAAGGUGAAGUAGUUUCUGUUUAUCAAAAGCUGCAAAUGAGUCAUUGGGGCAUAGACAUGCCACACAAAGAAGCAACUCAGUAUUCAUCUCAUUGAAACGAUUGCUUAAUUCUUUAAGUUGCAUGUCCAAAAUUGCAUAAAAUAAUUCAACUCGAAAAUAAUGCAAAUUCGUGAUCUUUUGAGCCUUGCGUUGUGAUCUUGCUUGUGAUAACUCAUAUGCAAAUCCAAGAAUAUUUUUCAUUAACAGCAGGCUAAACACAAAAGCAAAUGAUUGCAUUGACUUCGAUAACAUUGUAGCUUGAAAUCUUUGUUCAGAAUUUCCCUCAUUUGAAAUUAUCUCAAGCAUGUCAAUAAUAGAUGGAAACAUGGUGAUUAUACUCAAUAACGUACCAUAAUGUGGGCCCCAACGUGUAUCAGCAUAUCGCUUUAAAGUAACCUCUUGAUUUAAACCUCGUCCACUUGAAAGUUCACCAUCAUUGAGUGCUUUAAUAACUGCUUGAGCAUGUUUCUCUUGAAGAAUAUCACGACGUUUUGCUGAAGCACCAACAACAUUGAUAUCACGACGUUUGCCCGCGGGGAGUCGUGAUAUCAAUGAUUGCAUUCACCGUCCACAAGUUUAUCUUAUACACUUCAAUUAAUUUCAUAGCAUUCACAAUGUCUUGAUCCUUUUUUUUGUAAUGCUUGUGAUAACUCAUGUGCAAAUCCAAGAAUAAUAUUUUUCAUUAACAGCAGGCUAAACACAAAAUCAAAUGAUUGCAUUGACUUCGAUAACAUUGUAGCUUGAAAUCUUUGUUCAGAAUUUCCCUCAUUUGAAAUUGUCUCAAGCAUGUCAAUAAUAGAUGGAAACAUGGUGAUUAUACUCAAUAACGUACCAUAAUGUGAGCCCCAACGUGUAUCAGUAGAUCGCUUUAAAGUAACCUCUUGAUUUAAACCUUGUCCACUUGAAAGUUCACCAUCAUUGAGUGCUUUAAUAACUGCUUGAGCAUGUUUCUCUUGAAGAAUAUCACGAUGUUUUGCUGAAGCACCAACAACAUUGAUAUCACGACGUUUUGCUGACGCACCAACAACAUUGACUAACAUUGUGACUAAAUUGAAAAGAGAAGUAAUUAUAAGAAUUUAAAGAGAAACUGAAAACAAUUUCCAUGUCAAAAUGUAAAAAAAUACAAAAAUACAAAAUAUUAAUUUAAUAAACUAACUACCCAAUUAAAUCCCCAACCACUAAAUUACUAAUCCAUCAUAGCAUCACGCCAUGACCAAUGGCAUUGUUAUUCUAUUGUUUAUAAUAAGUAAAGUUAAAAGCAUUGCCACUUUGUCAAGAAGCAUCGCCACUUUAUCAAGAAACAUGCCACAAUCAUUCUAUUCAAAAAGCAUAAAAAAAUUCAAGAAUUAUAAUAUUAAAUUAUAAAGUGACAAAGAUGUUUAAUUAUCAAAAUAAUUUAAUCAAUUCUUAAUAAUUAAUCUAAAAGCUGCAAAGGUAUGACGGUAGUACCUGAAAAAAUGCAAAAAUGCAGACCAUGCGGUGGUGCAGGGCUCCAAGUGCGAGCUGCAAGUUGUAGCAUUUAUGGCAUGAAAACAAAGAGCUAUGAUGGCAUGAGAGUUUGAUAGAGAUAGAUGACAGGCUGAUCACUGAUGGUAGCCGAUGGAGUUUUUCUUUGGCAAAGGAUCGAUGGUGGUGGUUAGGGAUUUGAUUUUGAGUUUUUUUUUUUAAUUUCUAAUCGUUGUUUUAAAUUUUGGUCUUUUAGUUAUUUCAAAAAUAUUUCAGGGAUUUUAUUGUAAAUUCAAUAAAAAAAGAUAAAUUUAAUUUUUUUUUAAAUUCUAGGGGGCAUCAGCCCUAGCUCUCAAGUGGCGCCGCCUCUGCCUGCGACAUCAACCGUAUCAAGCGAAGAUAUUGGACAUUUAAUAAUGAAAAAAUUAGGAAUUUUCAUGGACACAUCAGUAGGUUUCGUAAAUAUGUAGAAUCAACUGAUUCUAGGUACCUUACAAUGUGACUUUUUUUUUUUCCCCUGAAGAUAAGGACUAUUUUUUAGGAUACUGGCCGUUGAGGCUUUGUUUGUAUUUUUGCAAGAAAAUGGAAAAGGGUGGGCUAAAGCGCAAAAAAUAAAGCUAACAACUGCUAAAUUUAAUUUUUUUAAGAGUGUUUUAAUGUGGCAUUUGAUUUGGGAACUUUUUUGUAGUUAUUGAAAUAGCCACACAGGGUAACAAUUGGGGCAUUCUUUCAUAAAUUGGACAUUAAUAGUACCGAGUACGAAUGAGGAUGGUUAAAUGCCUAAUCACCCUAUUAAUCUUGCAGUCCAAAAAAGCAAAAGCAAUAGCAUUACAAAUAGUAUAACUAUCAAAUUGAUUCACUCUGUCUAAACGACAAGUCAUCUGAUUACUAAAUUAUUUGACGCAACGACUGAUUUAGAAUUUUAAUGUAGAGGGAGCUUGGUACAAAUACUAUGAUUCACAGUAGCGUGUUCGAUGGUGCGAGUGAUCAACAACAGCAACAGACAAGUGAGGCAAUGAUGAUGUAUAUGUUGGAAAUAUAAAUUCAUAUUGUUUUUUGAAAGUACACAAUAUGAAUAGUAGCUGUUGGUACUGUUCACUUCACUAUUUACUAAUACUAUUGAUCUUACUGUUCACUCAACAACAAUUGUAAAUUCGUCAAGGCGUGUUCGAACUGUCCUUAAGACCAAUUUCUGCUUCUCCAGAAAGAUUUCCCGACACAAAAAAAAGAUAUAAAUAAAAUGGAUUGAUCCCUAGGAUAUAAUGACGUUAUUGUGAGCUUGUACUCCAAACACAACAGUUUAGAAUAACAAAAGAAAAAUUAAUGAAAAGAUAGAAGGAUAGGUUAUAAUGGCUGUGCCUUGAAGAUUUUGUAUUUUGAAAUAUCAAUAAAACUACAAGAAUAAGCUUAAAUAAUUUUAUCAAGAUUGCACUUUAAGAUGAAACACUAAUUAAUGGCCUUUCAAGACUUGAAUUGGGUUAAAUAGUUUAUGUACGAAAAUUGAAUUAUUGACAUCCAAAUGCACUUAAAUAAAUAUUUUCCCUAUCUCCUUUUAUAUAUUGUUGGUAAUAAAUCUAAUAACUUUAUGUUGUUGUGAUUCUUAAUGUAGUUUUUUUUUAAUCGGUAGCUGUGUACGUGUCAUUAUUAGCAAUGUGUCAUUUUCAUUACUGUGUUAUUGUUUGCAAUGUGUCAUUUUCAUUACUGUGUCAUUGGCCAAUAAUUUUGUAACAAAACCAACAUAUAGCGGUAAAUGAAAAAUUCACAAGUGGGGGACAUACACCCGUUUAAAAUAUUGUAAAUACAUUUUCUUCAUUCUAAGUGUGGACAUGCCAAUUUUGCAUAAUAGUCAUAUCCCAGAACAAAAGUCGCAUUAAAAUUUUAUUCAUUUAUUCAGGUUUUUUCCUGCAUUAACGAAUUCAUUGUGUAGGAUUUCAUUUUUAUGUAAACGAAUUUAGUUACGAUAAUCAACUACUAAUUUUUUUCCGUUAAUUGGCUACGUUUACGUUAAUUAACUGAUAAAUAACAUUGCAUUAGCGAAGCCAAGAGAUUCAUUUAAACCCCUAAGAUUCAAAUAUUCUUUCACUAGUACUACUGGAGAAAUUUGGCAAUCGAUAUUUCGGAAGACAUCAUUACAGAUGUCAAACAAAAGGUAAAAAUAAAAUAAAAAAUAGCUAGUCCCCCACUUGUAGGUAGGGCAUGCGUCUCAUGCGCUUUAAAUUUCCAAAAUUUAUAUCUUUUUGACAUGGAAACUACUCAGCAAGGCAAUGGUGACUCAACAACAUUAUAUAUAUGGAACUCUUUAGGUGAAUUGAAGAUGAGAACGAGGGAUUGCAUAAGCUACAAGAAUGAACGGUCAUUUGUAAAGUACAGCGAAUAGGGUCCAAUAGAUCAAAUCAAGUAGAGUAGAAGAAAAUGAAUUACACUUAUGGUACAAUCAGUUUCAAUUUCUUUCAUCUGUUAACCGUCUAUAAACAAGAUACAAGCUCGAAGCCACCAAUGGGCUAUAAACAGAGCUUCAUUCAAGAGAGUUAAAGGUAUCCCAAGUUCUGAAAAUUGAGAGCACGUACAAGUGAGCUUUUACAGAGAUUUUUCAGAGAAUGUUUUCUUAACUAUUCUAGAGGGAUUUAUAUCGGAUUUUGAGAAUUGUUCCCAUUCAAAGUCCAACCCCAAUUCAUGAGCCUAAAUAAUAAACCAAACAAAAGAGAAUAUUCUCUCCAUUUAUCUAGAAUUAUCUUUGCUAAAAAUAUCAUGAAUAAUUGGCGCUGUGGCAGUUUUAAAAUUUGGUGAUUGCUAAGAAAUUAAUGGUAAUAAGUUUAGAAUGUCGUUAUUUGUUAGGACCUGCAUUUAAAAUCUUAAAUAUUCGUAAUUAAUUAUAAAGAUCUCGGUUCACCUGCAAGCUACAACAAUUAGCUAACUGAUAUAUGGUAUUUUUUACAAAACUAUUCAAAAAGAAGGAGUAUAAUUAAUCAAACUGAUUUGGAUAGUACCACACGAUUUUUUUUUUAUUUUUAUUGACAAACCAACAUAAACAACAUAUUAACGUAACUAACGCAUUCACAUAUAAUUAUUUUAUUUAAUUAUUAAGAAAGACGAAGUACAUGGACGGUGGACACUAAGAAAUAUAAUCUCUUGUAGAUCAAGAAAUUUUAGAGGUUGAACUGAACUAAACUGACCCUCACACAAUUAAUUGACAGGUAAUAACAAUACCCAUCCUUUUAUUAACCAUAAUAGAAAAGAGUAAUAUUGCGUGCGUGCGCUGCGCUUAUUAACCAGUGUGGUCGGGAUUUCUUCCAUAUUGAGGGACAGCAAUCAGAUCAAGAUUAUCAAUUGUCUCGUCCUUAUCAUCAGCAAUACCAUAUACAGGUACUGGAGUACCCUCCAACCAUUCAUUCUUACCUGAAAGUUUAACAUUAGAAAAUGGAUUCAUAAAUGCUUAUAUUAAUAUAUGAAUUGUAAAUGAUAUCUAUUCAGCUGAAAUUGGCUAAAAAACCUGCGCAAGGAAAAGGAGUUUCCAUAUUCUUCAAAUCAGAAAAGAUCUCCAGGUGAAGCGUAAUCAAAACUAAAAAAUAAGUAGAGCUUGAGCGUGUUCUUAUUUCUGGUUUGAUCUGAUAUAUAUAGAUUCAAGAAGUCGACGUUGCCGAGGUGUGGGUGAUUGUGACGUAGCAAAACAUGUAAUAAUUAUUUAAGAUUAACGGCCAUGGCUAAACUGCACGUCGAAACGUGUUAGCAUGGUUCCAUAAAAUAAUAGUUAUUUAAGAUUAACGGCCAUGGCUAAACUGCACGUCGAAAUGUGUUAGCAUGGUUCCAUAAAAUAAUAGUUAUUUAAGAUUAACGGCCAUGGCUAAACUGCACGUCAAAACGUGUUAGCAUGGGUCCAUAAAAUAAAUAAUUUUAUCUAAUUAGGAGAGAAAUCGAUUCAGUAACAAGCUGCUGCUUGCACUUUCUAGAAAUUUUAAAUUUAUGAAUUGAAAUUACUCACGCCUUUUUAUGUGUGGUUAAGUAUGCAUACAGUUCAAGCUGAGGGAUACUGAUGUGAAGUGUAGGGACAUGGAUAUAUACUAUCGUUUACAUUAUUUUACAGCCUUGCUGUAUUAUUUUAUUUGGCAAUCAUAUAGUCAUUGUCUGCACUACACUUUGUCUUCACUACACUUGUCUCCACUUGAGUAUUCUUGAGUAGUAGCUGAGUCACAAGUCACCUUAUCAUGUCUGUUGAGCUUUCCUGUCGUGCUUGAUUUACUUUGUUCUAACCACCCCGCUCAAUCUCAGUUUUCUUAGCAUACUCUUAGGUCAUGUUUGGUUUGUAGAAAAGGGAGCAGAGGAAAAGAGUGGAAUGGAGAGGAAGAGAAAAGGAAGGAAUGGAGAAAAGUAGUGAAAUUAGAUUUUGUUGUUUGGUUUGAUAUAAAAUUUAAUAAGGAAUUAUAAUUUUUUUCAUUAAACUAAUUUACCAUUUACCUCAAAUAUUUAAUUAUUUAUAUUAGUAAUAUAUAUAUAAUGACGGUCCGUUGGCCGGUGGUGAAGGUCCGGCGACUUUUCGGCGAACGUCCAGCGACUUUCCGGCGGUGGUCCAUUUAUGAUAUUAAAUCAAUAAAAAAAAUUAUAAAUAAUAAUUAUUAAUGAUAUUAAACAAAUUAAAAAGUUGAAGGGUAAUUUUAGAAACUUUAGUUUCUAAAAUAAGAGGAAUUUAAAUUUUUCACUACUUGAUGUGGAAUUCAAAUUCUACAUUAUGAUGGAUAUUAAAUUUUAAUGGAAAUUAAAUUAUUAUAUAUUUUUUAUGGUUGUCGAAGCCAGCAAAAAUAAAUACCUACUCUAAAUAAAUUGUGUAUAGUGAUUGAGCAGGGUCGUGUCCACAGAGAUCGGUAAUUAUUUAAAUCAUUUUAAAUGUAAAAUGCAAAAUGGGGGGAUUGUUGACAAUAAUAAAAAUCAAAUUAAAAUAACAAGAAUGCAAAUUCAAAAUUGUAAUUCAAAUUGGGGAAAGCUCUGGUUGAAGGAAUUAAUUUAGCUUGAUUCGACUACUGAUCAUUGAUUCAAAUAUAAAUCAUUACUACUUAUGAAUAGACCGGUUAUAGCUACUGAGACACUCUAAUAGUCAAUCUCUCCUUAACUAGUCGAUAACCAAAGUACGACCAUUGGUUAUUUCCCUAAUCAAUAGAAAACCCUAGAUACGAUCAUAGGAUUUAAUCAAUUGACAACCUGAAAAACCAAAGAAACUCAAAUCCUAAUAAACAAACGCAUACGAUGGUUCAUUUAAAUUAGAUUGUUUAUUCUCAUAACACAACGCACUGCUAUGCUAUUUGUCACAAACAUUAAAAUCUUCAUACGAUGAAUCCUUUAAUUGACAAUAGAUUAAGUUGAUAAUUAAAUAGUGGCCAAUUAUCUAAUUAACAAACAUAAUCAUGACAAUAAUUUAGAGAAUAAACAAAUACCCAAAAAGCAAUAAAAUAAUUAAAGCAUAAGAAAUAUCUCACAGUAAUGAUGAAUCAAAACUUCAUUAACCUUCAACCAGAAUAAUAGGUUUAGUUCUUCAUAGAGAGAAGAGAAAAAUUUAGAUCUAGGGUUUCUUUUUUUCUUCCUUCUUCACCAGUAAUCCCGCGUCUUAUUCAUUUAUUACCCAAGUUUCAUGGUUUUGCAGGUGAAGAUCCUCAUAAACAUCUCAAGGAGUUUCAUGUUAUGUGUUCAAAUAUGAAGCCACAAGGCGUGACUGAAGAGCAGAUUAAGCUGCGUGCUUUUCCUUUCUCUUUAGAUGGACUAGCUAAAGACUAGUUGUACUACUUGCCUCCUGGAUCGAUUACCACGUGGAAUGGUUUGAAGAAGCAGUUCCUUGAGAAGUACUUUCCUACUUCAAGAGCUGCUAGAAAAUAUAUUUGUGGGAUUAGACAACUUCCUGGGGAGACUUUGUAUGAGUAUUGGGAGCGAUUCAAACAAUUGUAUGCCAGCUGUCCUCAGCAUCAGAUUUCUGAUCAACUUCUUAUUCAAUACUUUUAUGAAGGACUGUCAUUGAUGGAUAGGAGUACGAUAGAUGCUGCUAGUGGAGGUGUGUGUGUUGGUGAACAGGACCCCUACUCAAGCAAGGGAGUUGGUCUCAAAUAUGGCUGCCAAUGCACAACAAUUUGGCAGCAGGCAAGAUCCCACUUCAAGGAAGGUGAAUGAGGUAAAUAUUUCUUCCAUUGAACAACGUUUAGAUAAACUUACUUCUCUUGUGGAAACGUUUGUUGUAGGUAAUGUGCAACAGGUGAAGACUUGUGUCAUUUGUUCUAAUAUGGGUUAUUCAACUGAUAUGUGUCCUACACUUCAAGAAAAACCCAUUGAACAAGCCAAUGCAAUUGGAGGAUUUCCAGGCAUGCCUCAGAGGACGUAUGAUCUUUAUGCAUAAACAUACAAUCCGGGAUGGAAGGAUCAUCCCAACUUCAGCUAUGGAGUUAGGCCGUCAGGAAUCCCACAACAAUAUCCACCAAGACAACCAGCACCUCCACAGUCAAACUCCAAGUUAGGUAUAUCUCUUGAAGAAAUUGUUCAAUCACUUGCGACUAACACUCAACAAUUUCAGCACGCAACUACAACAAGCAUUCAAAAUUUGGAGAACCAAAUGAGUCAAUUGGCGACUACAGUGAGCUGUCUGGAGUCUCAAGUAUCAGGGAGAUUGCCUUCACAAUCUGAGGCGGAUCCAAAAUAAAACGCUAGUGUUGUCAUCCUUAGAAGUGGGAAGGAGUUGCAAGAGCCUAGUAAGAAAGCGACAAAGCAUGUAGAAGAUGAGCUUGAGAAGAAUGAAUUGAUGCCUAAAUCUCAAGAUGCGCAACCCACCAGAGCAAUACCUCUACCUGUGGUGAUACCUCCUCCUUUUCCAAGCCGGUUUGCAAAAUCCAAGAAAGAGGAACAAGAGAAAGACGUCCUUGAGACAUAACAAGAGAAAGACGUCCUUGAGACAUUUCGCAAGGUUGAGGUAAAUAUUCCUUUAUUAGAUGUUAUAAAACAAAUACCUCGAUAUGUUAAAUUCCUUAAGGAACUGUGCACCUCCAAGAGAAAAUUAAGAGGAGAUGAAAGAGUUCACAUGGGGGAGAAUGUUUCAGCAGCUCUCCAAAAGAAAUUACCUCCUAAGUGCAAGGAUCCAGGUAUGUUUACUAUCCCUUGCAAAAUUGGUAGUGUUAAAGUUGAGAAUGCUAUGUUAGAUCUAGGAGCUUCUAUUAAUGUCAUGCCUCGUUCCAUUUAUUCAUCUUUGAAUGUUGGUCCAUUAAAAGAAACUGGCGUGAUAAUUCAACUAGCUGAUAGGUCUAAUGCGUAUCCUGAUGGGGUAUUAGAAGAUGUCUUAGUACAAGUUAAUGAGUUGGUUUUUCCUGCUAAUUUUUAUGUACUUGAUAUGGAAGAGGAUAACUCCUCUAAUUCUGUCCCAAUUUUGCUAGGAAGACCUUUUCUUAAGACUGCUAGGACUAAAAUGGAUGUACAUAAAGGGACUCUCACUAUGGAGUUUGAUGGAGAGGUUAUAGAAUUCAAUAUGAAUGAUGCCAUGAAAUAUCCUAAUAAGGAACAUUCGGUAUUUUCUGUGGAUGUUAUUAACCCUAUAGUGCAGGAAGUUUUUUAUUUGGAUGUUGAAGAUUCAUUGGUAGCUGCUUUAAAUAACAGUUUGGGCCUCAAAGGAUUGUAAAAGGAUGAAAAUAAGUUUGUUUUAAAUUCUGUAUUGUAAGAGACAAUUUAUGAAUUAAAUUCUUUGAGAACUUUAACUCAUCAUAUGUCUUAUAUUGAAUUACCUUCAUCUCAUGCAAAACUUCUUCCAUCUAUUUUGCAGGCACCGAAAAUAGAGCUUAAACCAUUGCCGAGUCAUCUAAAGUACAUAUUUUUAGGAGAUGGUGAGACACUUCCGGUGAUCAUCUCUUCAAAACUUAGUACUUUAGAGGAAGAAAAACUUAUUAGAGUGCUGAAGGAUUACAAAAAGGCUAUUGGGUGGUCAAUUGCUAAUAUUAAAGGGAUAAGUCCGUCCACGUGCAUGCAUAGAAUAUUGCUAGAGGAAGAUGUCAAACCUUCGAUUCAAGCUCAACGCCAUUUGAAUCCACUCAUGAUGGAAGUAGUGAAGAAAAAAAUUCUGAAACUUCUUGAUGCAGGUAUAAUCUAUCUAAUUUCGGAUAGCAAAUGGGUAAGUCCAGUACAAGUGGUACCAAAGAAAACUGGUAUAACAAUUGUUGAGAAUUCUUAUGGUGAGUUAGUACCCACCCGAGUUCAGAAUGGGUGGAGGGUUUGUAUUGAUUUUAGAAAGCUUAAUUCACUCACUAAGAAGGAUCAUUUUCCUAUUCCUUUUAUUGAUCAGAUGCUUGAAAGGUUGGCAGGAAAAUCUCACUUUUGUUGUCUUGAUGGCUAUUCAGGUUUUCAUCAGAUACUAGUUGCACCUGAGGAUCAGGAGAAGACUACCUUCACAUGUCCUUUUGGAACCUUUGCGUACCGACGUAUGUCAUUUAGUUUUUGUAACGCUCCUGCUACCUUUCAAAGGUGCAUGGUCAGUAUUUUUUCAGACUAUGUAGAGAACAUUAUAGAGGUAUUUAUGGACGAUUUUACAGUCUAUGCUGAUUCUUUUGAUGAUCGUCUCUAUAAUCUAAAGAAAGUGCUUGAAAGAUGCAUUGAAACAAACAUUGUCUUGAAUUAUGAAAAAUGUCAUUUUAUGGUAGAUCAAAGCAUUAUUUUGGGUCAUGUAGUCUCUGCUAGAGGAAUUGAGGUAGAUAAAACUAAGAUAGAUGUUAUUAAAUAUUUACUUAUCCCACAUGUGUGCGGGAAGUUCAUUUUUUGCUUUUGAAAAAUUUUGUUCCUAUUUAUUGGGUACUAAAGUGAUUUUUUUUUCUGAUCAUGCAGCUCUCAGAUAUUUGCUCGCCAAGAAGGAAGCGAAACCAAGACCCAUCCGCUGGACCCUACUACUUCAAGAGUUCAACUUGGAUAUGCGUGACAAGAAAGGAGUAGAAAACUUGGUUAUAGACCACCUUAGUAGGUUGACCAUGAGUGAAGAAGCAGCACCUUUGAAGGAUGAUUUUCCAGAUAAGCAUCUCUUUGUAACUCAAGGUAUAGUUCCUUGGUACGCUGACAUUGUCAAUUACUUAGUUACAAGAACACUACCUAGUAAUCUGACGAGGGCUCAAAAAGAUAAGAUUAAAAGCGAUGCUAAGUACUAUGUUUGGGAUGACCUUUACUUAUGGAAACAUUGCUCUGACCAAGUCAUCAGAAGGUGCGUAUCUGAGUUUGAAAUUCCUUCUAUUCUUCAGUUUUGUCACUCGUAUGCAUGUGGUGGUCAUUUUGGUCCCAAAAGAACAUCAUCUAAGGUGUUAGAAUGUGGUCUAUUUUGGCCUACUUUAUUUCGUGAUUCAUACAUAUUUUGUAAGUCGUGUGAGAAUUGUCAAAAAACUGGUAAUUUAAGUUAUAGAAAUCAAAUGCCACUUACCCCUAUUCUUGUUUGUGAAAUAUUCGAUGUGUGGGGCAUUGAUUUUAUGGGACUUUUUCCCUCAUCUUUUGGCAAUGCUUACAUUCUUUUAGUAGUGGAUUACGUUUCUAAGUGGGUAGAGGCUAAGGCCACCCAGACUGACAAUACUAAAGUUGUUGUAGAUUUUGUCAAGUCUAAUAUUUUUGCCAGGUUUGGUGUAUCGAGAGCGGUGAUAAGUGAUAGAGGCAUUCAUUUCUGUAAUCGAGUGGUGGAGGCUUUGUUCAAGAGAUAUCAUGUUACCCACCGAGUGUCUACCACCUAUCAUCCACAGACAAGUAGACAAGCUGAGAUAUCAAACAUAGAAAUCAAGUCUACUCUUGAAAAGACGGUUAGUCCAAAUCGAAAGGAUUGGAGUUUGCGAUUAGAUGAUGCAUUGUGGGCGUAUCGCACCGCGUACAAAACUCCCAUAGGUAUGUCUCCUUAUCGUUUAGUAUUUGGUAAGACUUGUCAUUUACCUGUAGAGCUUGAGCACAGAGCAUACUAUUAACUUUUAUUUUUAAUUAUACCUUCUUUUACCACAAUAUGGGACUUAAAUAUUAUAGCACCUCAAUACUAAUCAAAAGCUUAGCGUUAAAUGUUUAUUCAGUGAAUUGACAUUGUGUUUGUACUACACAUCUUCUCUACAUAUAAGAUAGGCCAUCCCUUAUAUUUGUAUAAUACGGACAUGUCAUCUAUAUCAUAUGGUGAGCCAAAAAUUUAGAAAAAUUUCAUAUGCAGUCCUUCUAAAUAGAUUUAUCUGUAAAUUGUUGUCAAUAUUUUUUGAAAAAGACAUUUGUACCCAUAAAAUUUGGGUGAUGAUAAUGUAAACCACAAGUUUUUAAUAAGGGACACUAAAACUCUUUUUUUAAUAUAAUACCCUUUAUAAAUAGCAACUAAAAAAUUGACCAUAAAAUUUUUAAUAAAUAAAAAUAUAAUUUAAAUAGUUUAAUUUUUCUAAUAGACUAAUAAUAUUAGAAUAUUUUUAAUAUAAAAAUAAUUUUAAAACUAUAAAUGAUUAUAUUUAUUUUAAUAAUGUAUUUAUAUUUAUUCUAGCAUUUUUUAAUAAAUAUCUAGGUUAAAUAAAUUUUUCUAGCAGACUAAUAACACAAUGCUCGCAAAAUGGUAAGCUUACCGAUUUGAGCCGUGGAAGCGAUUUUUGCUCAGAGAGAAUUUUCAAAUCUUGUUUUGACAUAUGACCGAGUUUGAGGUGCCACAUCAUCGUUGAUUCUUCUCCAUUUGACGUGACACACGCAUCAGCUUCCUGUAGUGUUUCCCCUUCAAGCACGAACAAAUUACGCCUGAUCUUUUCUGCCUUCAUCAAUACAAGCGCACUUUUAACAAUCUUAAUAAUCUCAUUUUCAACAUGGGUUUUACACCCAUGACAAUCUAUUAUCCCAAAGAUAAUAGAUUUUUCUUCAGGCCUUUGACAUGUCGUACCUCCUCAAUUGUACGAACCGUACCAUCAAACAUUUUUAUUUUGAUAGUACCAAUACCAACGAUUUCUAAGGCAUGAUCAUCUCCCAUGUAUAUUGAUCCUCCUGAGAUAGGUUCAUAUGUGUGGAACCAUUCUCUUUGAGAGGUCAUGUGCCAGGUAGCUCAUGAGUCUAUGAGCCAUACAUCAGAUAGCCGUUUUCUGCCUUCUGAAACAAUUGUUGCCUCGCUGUAGAGAAUCUCACCAUCAUCUGAGGUACUUGUCAUACACCCCUGAGCAUUUGAUGACUCAGAUUUAUUGUCUCCACUCUUUCUUGAAAUGCCCUUUCUUGCCACAAUUGUAGCGUUUGACAUUUUUCUUACUUUUUGAUUUCGAUCUACCAUGAUUGUGACUCCUAUUGGGGCCACGUUCUGUUGAUCUUCCUCUCGUCAUCGAUAGUGCUUCUGCUUGCUGCGAACCUACUUGUUUGUCUUCCUUAUUUUUCUGCCUAUUCUCCUCAUUUAAUACAGAGGCUGCAACAUUGUUGAAGACUAGAUUAUCCGAUGGGUUGUUGUUUGUCAGGUUGAUGAUGACUUAAUCGUACGAAUCUGGUAGACUUUGAAGUAGAAGCUCUGCACGUUCAUUUUCCUCUAUUUGAUGACCCAACGUUGAAAGUUGUGAAAAUAGAGUCUUCAAGGUGUUGAUGUGGUCGGUCACAUAUUUUAAGAAGAUCUUGUUGUGCAGUGAUUUGGCCUUGUACAAUUUUGUGAGAGUAUCACAUAUUUCCUUGGCUGUCUUUUUCUCUGCCACAUUGGAUAAUACUCCAUCCGCAAGCGCCAAGUGUAGAUCAGAAAUGGCGUUGCCGUCUAUCUCGUUCCACUUGUCAUCAAUUAACUCCAUGGGCUUUUCUCCAAUUGUUGUCAAGCAAUUAUUUUUCCUCAAUACAUCUUUUAUCUUCAUUUUCCACAAUGAAAAAUUAUUUCCGUUGAAUUUCUCAAUUUCGUAUUUUACCGCCAUCGCUUUUCACCAAAAACUAACUUUGCUAGGAUCGACUCCCAUCAUUUUCAAGUGAACAAUAACUGUAUACGUGAAAAGUAAUCAUAUACGUAAAUAGUGCCGUAUACGUUAACAGUACCCCGACUCCCAAAAAACAUACAACAAGUAGCUCUGAUACCACUGUUAGGAAAUUGAUGGGUGAAACAUGGCCACAACUAAAAUAAAAUUGGAAGAAAAUUACAAGUAUUGUAAUAUUUUGUCUCACUACCCAAAACCCUCUCACUCAAUAGACUUACAAGAGCUUUAUAAUUUUAAGCUCUUAAAAUCACUCAAAAUCUCUGCUUUUUCUCUCACCAAAAUUGGAUGCCUAAAACCAAAUAGAGAGCUCCCUUUAUAUAGCCAAAAUUGGCUAUUAAAAUAUUAUUAUUAUUUUGUAACCGCCUUUGAUUUCUUCUUCUUCUAUUUUCUUCUUUCUUCUUUCUUCUUUCUACUUCGGCGGUGCCAAACCCUUCAACAUUUGCUGCUUCCAAAUUCUAUUUUUCUUUCCUUGGGCGGCACCUCCUUGGACUUCAAUUUGGGCAGCUUAUACAGCUUCUAGAUCUUCAAAAUAGGCUACUUCUGGAAGCCUUUUCGUGACACAUUACCUAGUAGAUUUACUCAAUCACAAAUUGGGUGGUUACAAACUAUGUUUGAAAACCUUUAAUUAAUAAAAUUCUUAUUUAUUUUCUUUCGUAAUACGAUUUACCUAUUAUGAAAUCAUUUGCAUUAGAGCGUGAAUAAUCUCAUUACUUUGGGGUAUUAUUUGCCUUGGACUUCUUUUUUUGGUCUAUCACUAUAUUACUUACCUUGGGCUGUCUCACUAUUCUCGUGUAAUAUUAUCUGCCUUGAGUCAUUCAUUUUUGUAUUGAGUGGUGAUAUUAUCUCAUCAUUUUUUAUAUUAAUUUCUAUUUUGCCGUUGUAUGAAAUUACUUAUUUUGGUGAAUUACUAUAUUAUUUCCCUUGGGCCGCCUCACCAUUUUGUUGCAUAAUCUGCCUUGGGUCAUUCAUUUUUGUAUAGAGUGGAGAUACGAUCUCAUCAGCUUUUAUAUUAAUUUCUGUUUUGCCAUUGUAUGAAAUUAUGAAAAAUGGAUAUUGAAGAGUUUCUUGCCACAAAUUGAACCUGCAUCUCUGGUAAGCAUUACUCUUGCAUUUUCGCGGAAAAGGCAGUAAGUCAAUGGCCUAAAUUCAUGGUUCAUUUCAUAUUAUGGAGUUUCUUUCUUCAGGAUGAUUUCGGCUGGAAUUCUCAUAAUUUGCUUCCAAAAAUCCACUACUGAUAGGCUUGGUGCUUGCCAUUUUUGCCUUUGCAGCUGGUAGUGGCUUGUAUGCUUGUUGGAUUAGUCAGAAAAAUCAAUUGGCAUUGGUCACAAAUUUUUUAUUCGAGCUGAGGGAUACAUACAGUAGUAGACGUCGUAUACUAUGUUCUCUUUCUCAUAUGUAUAAAUAUAGUAAGAGAUAUAUAUGGCUUUUAUAUAAUUCUCAAUAUCAUAGGCGGUAAACAUGGACUCUUGGCUUAAAGACAAUAUGAACGUGAAACCAAUAGUUAUUUAAGAUUAACGGCCAUGGCUAAACUGCACGUCGAAACGUGUUAGCAUGGUUCCAUAAAAUAAUAGUUAUUUAAGAUUAACGGCCAUGGCUAAACUGCACGUCGAAACGUGUUAGCAUGGGUCCAUAAAAUAAAUAAUUUUAUCUAAUUAGGAGAGAAAUCGAUUCAGUAACAAGCUGCUGCUUGCCCUUCCUAGAAAUUUUAAAUUUAUGAAUUGAAAUUACUCACGCCUUUUCUUGUGUAGUUAAUUAUGCAUACAGUUCAAUCUGAGGGAUACUGAUGUGAAGUGUAGGGACAUGGAUAUAUACUAUCGUUUACAUUAUUUUACAGCCUUGAUGUAUUAUUUUAUUUGGCAAUCAUAUAGUCAUUGUCUGCACUACACUUUGUCUUCCCUACACUUGUCUCCACUUGAGUAUCCUUGAGUGGUAGCUGAGUCACAAGUCACCUUCUCAUGUCUGCUGGGCUUGUCGUGCUUGAUUUACUUUGUUCUAACACCCCGGCUCAAUCUCAGUUUUCUUAGCAUACUCUUAGGUCAUGUUUGGUUUGUAAAAAAUGGAGAAGAGGAAAAGUGUGGAAUGGAGAGGAAGAGAAAAGAAAGGAAUGGAGAAAAGUAGUAGUGAAAUCACAUUUUGUUGAUUGGUUUGAUAUAAAAUUUAAUAAGGAAAUGAAUUAUAAUUUUUUUCUUUAGACUAAUUUACAAUUUACCUCAAAUAUUUAAUUAUUUAUACUAGUAAUAAAAUAUAUAUAUAUAUUAAAAUAAAAUGACGGUCCGGUGGCCGGCGGUGAAGGUCCGGUUACUUUUCGGCGAACGUCUGGCAUCUUUUCGGCGAACGUCCGGCAGGAUUCCGGCGAAGUUCGGUGGGAUUCCUGCGAAGUCCGGCAGCUUUCCGGCAACGUCCGGCGACUUUCCGGCGGUGAUCCAUUUAUGAUAUUAAAUCAAUAAAAUAAAAUUAUAAAUACUAAUUAUUAAUGAUAUUAAACAAAUUAAAAAGUUGAAAGGUAAUUUUAGAAACUUUAGUUUCUAACUUAAGAGGAAUUUAAAUUCUUCACUACUUGGUGUGGAAUUCAAAUUCUACAUUAUGAUGGAUAUUAAAUUUUAAUGGAAAUUAAAUUCUUAUAUAUUUUGUCAAACCAAACAAUGGAAAUGAAAAGAGAAUUUAAAUUAAUUUCCUCUUCUCCAUUCUCUCCUCCCAACCAAACACCACCUUAAUUUAUUUGUAUGGAAUUCAAAUAGCUCAUGUCCCAAUGCCUUUGUCAUAAUGUCCGCCACUUGCCUUUUACUCAGCACAUAUUUAAGAAUUAUUUCUCUUUUCCCGAUUUUUCAGUGUAAAUAAAUUAAGCCAAUAUCUUGAGAAUCCAAGCGAUACAUACAGUAGAAUUUGAAAUGGUGCAAGACCUAAUCAAGUUUGAUAUAUACUAAGUUACAGAGGCCAUUGAUGACAUACGUAGGAAAUUAUCUGUAAUUGUUGCUUGACUCCCACGUAUGUGUGUAUAUAUAGUUCUUUUCAAGUGAGGGCAUCCUCAUUUUGUUAAAGUGAGGAUGCCCUCACUAGAAAAUUCCAGUAGUGAUAUCGUUGUUGGAUUUUUUAAUCUACUAUUGUUGGAUCCGUAAUCCAAUACUGGGUUUAUAUGUGAAAAUUUUAUAUAUUGCAGACUGUCAUAUAAGAUUAAGUACAAUUAAAAGUGAACUAUUUAGGUUUUCGGUAUUAUGGACUUUAAUGUGUCUAAUAGGGUGUGAGCUUUAAUGUGUAGAGAUUCAAUGAUAUUUUAAUUUUAUGAUGGACAUAAUUAGAAAUAUCCAGUGACAAUAAGAAAAUGUUGUCUAUAUAAGUGGUUAUGGUUCCCAAAUCACAAGUAUGUUUCUAUUCUAUAUUGACAUCUCAUCAUCAGAGAGAGAGAGAGCGCAGAGAGAAUUAAAGGACUUUCUAUUAUCUUUUUAAGUGAGGAUACGCUCACUAGAAAAUUACAAUAGUGAUAUCGCUAAAACAACUAUUUUAGAGUUUGAUUAUUUGAACAAGUAAUUUUAAUUCUGCUUGGCUAGAAUUAGAGUAGUAUGUUAUUAGUCUUUCUAUUUAUAUUUAGGUAGAAUUCUAUUUCUAUGUUUGAGUGUACAUUGCCUGGUAGAUUUACUCAAUUACAAAUCACGUGGUUACAUAAUAUGUUUGAAAACCUCUAAUUAACAAAAUUCUUAUUUUAUUUUCUUUCGUAAUAUGAUUUACCUAAGUCUCUCUUAUAAAAUCAUUUGCAUUAAAGCAUCAAUUAAUCUAAUUACUAUGAUGUAUUAUUUGUCUUGGACUUCUUAUUUUGGUCUAUCACUAUAUUACUUACCUUGGGCUGUCUCACCAUUUUCGCAUAAUAUUAUCUGCCUUGAGUCAUUCAUUUUUGUAUAGAGUGGUUAUAUUAUCUCAUCAGUUUUUAUAUUAAUUUCUAUUUUUCCGCUGUAUGAAAUUACUUGUUUUGGUGAAUUACUAUAUUAUUUCCCUUGGGCCGCCUCACCAUUUUGUUGCAUAAUCUGCCCUGGGUCAUUCAUUUUUGUAUAGAGUGGAGAUAUGAUCUCAUCAGCUUUUAUAUUAAUUUAUGUUUUGCCAUUGUAUGAAAUUAUGAAAAAUGGAUAUUGAAGAGUUUCUUGCCACAAAUUGAACCUGCAUCUCUGGUAAGCAUUACUCAUGCACUUUCGCGGAAAAGGCAGUAAGUGAAUGACCUAAACUCAUGGUUCAUUUCAUAUUAUGGAGUUUCUUAAUUUCUUCAGGAUUAUUUCGCCUGGAAUUCUCCAAAAAUCCACUGCUGAUAGGGUUGGUGCUUGCCACAUUGCCUUUGCGGCUGGUAGUGGCUUGUAUGCUUGUUGGAUUAGUCAGAAAAUUCAAUUGGCAUUGGUCACAAAUUUUUUUAUUCAAAUUUUUAUUCGAGCUGAGGGAUACAUAUAGUAGUAGACUUCAUAUACUAUGGGUGCGUUUUUGGGAUUGAGGUUGGGUAGCUGUGACUUUUAAGUUAGAGCACUAAAGUGUUUGGUAAACACUAGCUGUUGUACCUUUUAAGCUAUAUUAAUAUGAUUUUUUAUUUGUAUAAUGAAAAAUUUAUUAUAUCUUUAAUUAUUAUUUAAAAUUUAUAUUUACUAUAUAUUAUUAACUUUUGUUUGAUAGUUACUGUUUUUUUUUUAUAACUGUAGUUUUUAAGUUACAGCACCUCAAUUCCAAAUAGGACCUAUGUUGUCUUUCUCAUAUAUAUAAAAUAUAGUAAGAGAUAUAUAUUGCUUUCAUAUAAUUCUCAAUAUCAUAGGCGGUUAACCUGGACUCUUGGCCUAAAGACAAUAUGAGCAUGAAACCAUUUCGCGUGGGUGAUCAGUUAAGCCACCAAUGGGCUAUAAACAUAGCUUCAUUCAAGAGAGUUAAAGGUAUCCCAAGUUCUGAAAAUUGAGAGCAAGUACAAGUGAGCUUUUGCAGAGAAUUUUGAGAGUGUUUUCUUAACUAUUCUAGCGGGUAUUAUAUUGGGUGUAUUUAGGUUAUCGAGUUUUGAGAAUUAUGAAAUACAAGUAUGCAACCCAAGAGGGGGGGUGAAUUGGGAUUCUAAAAAAUUAUUCAAUUUAAAGAAAAACUUAAUGCAAAUACACUCCAAAUUCAAAGCAAUAAUAAUUAAGUUGAUCACAAUAUAAAAAGAUAAGGGAAGAGAAAUUCAAACACAGAGAUUUUUACGUGGUUCGGCCAACCUCGCCUACGUCCACGCCUCCAAGCUUUCCAGGCUUGAGGAUUCCACUAAGCAAGCCUCCAAGGCUUCAAAUGCUUACACUUGACUUCCAAGGUGUCAAUAAACCUUUACAACAAGAGAUUAUCCACAAUCUCUUAACCCAAGUGUAUCCCAACACUUACAAUCACUCAAAGUAAAAGAUUACAAAUUAUUUUUCUCUCACACAAUAUCUAAGAUAACAAAUCAAUGCCCAAUGUGUUAAUAGAUGAAAAGAGAGUGAGUUUAAAGCUCUAUGAAGAUUGUAUUCGCGGAUAUAAGCUCAGAGGUAGUGUUGUGAUCAACCUUCUUUGAAUUUAAAUGAGCUUAUUUAUAUCUGGAGCUGAAAAUCUAGCCGUUACAAACUGUCAGACAGAAAACGGUUCGCCGUUAACCCUAAACGGUUAACCGUUUCGGUUGGUCAAAGUUAUCGUUGGGCCAGAUUUUAAAUAAACGGUUUGCCGUUUGGGAUUACCCUUUCGCCGUUAACUUCCAGAGACUUGCAAGAUGAACAUUGGUUAUCCGUUUACACUAAACGGUUAAGGACUUGCGUGAAGUGGCUUAUCUGGAUAUUAUCGGUUAACCGUUUGUAAUAAACGGUAAGCCGUUUGACUCCAGUAACCUGCAAAACAAACUAGCCUUAUCAGGUUUUGUUAAUAAGUGCCAGAGGAGGACAACCUUCAAUUCUGGACGUUACCGGUUAACCGUUUAUAAUAAACAGUUCACCGUUAAGUUCCAGUUGCCUUUCCAUCCUUGGUGUUUUCCGUUUUUCAUAAACGGUUAGAGCUUAAGCAAUAUGUUGCUUUCUGGUGUUAAUCGGUUAACCGUUUUAAAUAAACGGUUCACCGUUAAGUUCCAGUAACCUUCCCAUCUUUUGUGUUUUUCGUUUUUCAUAAACGGUUCAAGGUUUAGAAAAUAUGUUGCUCUCUGGAUGUUAUCGGUUAACUGUUUAAAUAACCGGUUCACCGUUAAGUUCCAGUAGCCUUCCCAUCUUUUGUGUUUUCCGUUUUUCAUAAAUGGUUCAAGGUUUAGAAAAUAUGUUGCUCUCUGGAUGUUAUUGGUUAACCGUUUAAAGGAAACGAUUUACCGUUUAUUUCUAGAAUCGCACUUUAAAACAGAUUUUAUAGAGAAUCAUUUUUGAAUUCGAAGGACCCUUUUAUGAAACAAUAAAUGGAAUGAUUAUUAAGGCUUUCAUUUAUUAAGGAAUAGCUCCAACAUUUUUAUCAAAAAUCAUUUAAAGUUUGUUAUCAUCAAAAUCAAUAUUAUUAACAUAUUCAUGUUAACAAUCUCCCCCUUUUUGAUGAUGACAAAUUUUAUUCAAUAUUUAGCUCCCCCUUAAUAUGUGCUCCCCCUGAAUGUAUGUCCAGAUUAAGAAAUGUUCAAUAACAAGAUUUUUGCUCAAGAAAACCUUUUUAAAUUCAUUCUUAAUCUCCCCAAUUUAAAUACCAUAAAUCCGUUUUAAAUACCAUAAUUAUCUCCCCCUUCAUCAUAAAAAAGAAAAGAUAGAAUAGGGAAAAAAAAUUGCAAAUCCGUGAAAGAAGUUACCCGGUUUUGGCGAGCGAAAAAUUUGGCAGAGUUUCCCCUUAAAAAUGAACAAAACCACUAAUACAAAAUGAGAUUAAAACACUUCCAAAAUAGAUUAACACCAACUUCAACUUUCAACAAGCCAACAACUCCAUGAACAAAACAAAACAACACUCCAAUAUCCACAAACAUACCAACAUUACAAUAUCCACAAAUAAACCAAUACUUAUGCAUCAAAAUCCAAAAAACAUCUAAUCAUCAAGAACAUCACACACAUAUGCAUCAAAAUAAAAAAAAAUAUAAAUGCAAAACACCAAAAUAUGAAAUGUAUGUGCGAAAACAGAACUCAGAAACUACGGAGGCGGAGAAGAUGUGCUCCCCGGAUCAUAGCCGAAAUAGCCGAGAAGAAUGCGCUGUCCGGCGAUAAGCUCGAGCUGCUGGUCAAUGCUCUGCUGCUGGAAAGUCUGAAAGUUAGAGUGGAGCUGCUGGUGGUCACGGGAAAUGGUGUCCAACCGAUCAAGAAUCAGCUGCUGGCGCUCCGAGAACCGGCGAACAUCAGUAACCAACUGCUGCACAACGUCUGAAGCAGGGGGCGGAACUGGAGCUGGAGGUGGCAUAGAGGUCGAUGGCUGCUCGGGAACAGCAGAUGGCUCAGGAGCAGGAGGCGGCUCGGAAGAGGAGGGAAUGUCAGCAUCCAUCGCACGCUCCUCAGAGUCUGAGUCAGCUGGAGGCCGAGGGACAAAAUGGCGACGCGGAGGAUGAGGAUGAGCUCCUAAUCUAAAGUCAGGAAGCAGAUCGGGAGAAUAGACAUCAUUGAGCAUCCGAUCGUCCUCUGGAGCAAUCAAGGUAUCCCGGUUUUUGGAGUUGCUUGUCUUUAUCCACACUCCAUUCUUUCUAGAGAAACCGAUACUAGUCAUGGCCUCGGGACCAAUCCGUUGAGUCUCCAUAUGUCCAGUAUCAAGAAGUGGAACCUCAAAGCGUCGCAGUAUCUUAGUGAUAAUACUGCCAUAAGGAAGCAAGCGGUGAUUGACCGCGGGAGUACUCAACAUAUGUCGAACAAUAAUAUACCCGAGGUUAAUGAGACGGUCUGUAAGAAGGCUAUCUAAUAGGGCAACGUCCAACCUCGUAACCUCAUCAGAGUGACCCUUCCUAGGUGUCACUAUGUGCUAUAAAAUAGAGUGAAGAAUACGAACUUGGAGAGGUAAGAGUUGAGACCGAAACGGAAGCAAACAAAUCUCAUCCGAUAAGUCUCGACGACGACAUAUAUUACGGACGCCAUGAGUAUGAGAAAAACUGUCAAAGGAGAGGGCUUUCCUAGAGGUGUAAAUAUCAAGCCCCUCACAAGAGAUACCAAGAAGGUCAGCUAGGUCCGCAUCAUCAAACUCUAUUGGCACACGGCCGACUUGAGUAACUAUCCUAUUUAGGCGAGUGUCGGAGAUUUCCAUGUUCGAAUAAAAGACUCGCACUAAGUUUGGAUAAACUCGGUCAUCAAAAUCAAUGCCAGACUCCCAAGGCAGAAGCAUAUCCCGAAUACUUCUACCACAUACAACCAAAUGACGGAAAUCAUCAAGGUCAACAAAGAAGGAGUCAAGUACCUUUCGACCAUCGAAGCGUUCUUCGAACCGCUUGGCCAAGGAAGGAGUGGGGAAGUGAAUCCUUGCAAAUUCAGAGACUUCCCGAGGUGGUAUGGGAUUCCUUGGAGGCACAGAUUUACGCCUGGGGUUUCUCCGAGAGGGUUCAGCCAUGGAAAAUACAGGAGAUAAGAAAGAGAAUAGAUGAUUGGCUUAUGGAUGAAUAGGAGAUGUGAUUUGGGUGCUCAAUUUGGUUGAAGAAGGGGAAGAAUCGGAUUAAAAACGAAGAAAUCCGACCCGCGGCAGUUAGGGUUUUGAUUUUGGGAUUUUUGAAUGUUGGGCUUGAUUUGAAGUUUUGAAUCGGUAGAAUUGUUCUAAAGGGGAUAAGAAAAGAUUUUGAAGGUUUGAUUUGGCAAGGAAAGCAAGAAAAAUGAGGGUUUGAGGACAGAGAAACCUUCGGCUGCGCAACAAUGGUGGAAACGGUGAAAGGGUAACUGGAGAAAGAGAAGAAAACCUUUAAACAGUAUUUAUACUUCGCGAAAACGGUUAACCGUUUAUUUAAACGGUUAAAGGGUAACUUCCAGAGGCUGAAGAGAGGGAAACGGUGAAAGUCUAAGCGCUUAACAGCUAAGGAGUAACUGUUAGAGGACUCUCUAUUGACAAACGGUUCACCGAUUGUGGAAAACGGUGAAAGAGUAAACGAACAGACACAUAAUCUCGUUUCUGGAAUUAAACGGUGAUCCGUUUAUAGGAAACGGCUAACCGUUUAUUUUAUCUGUAAUUUCGCACAUUUGAUUUAAUUUUUGGCUGGCAAAUAAUAUAUUCCAAGAUCAUUUAAUUGAUUUGAAAAUAUUUAAUGAGCCAUUUUAAUGCAUGAUUCAUGAACAUAUUUUUCAACCAAUUAAUUCAUAUAAUCACAAGUUAUCAAGGCAAAUUCAUCAUUUGACGAUCAAGCUCAACCAUUUCAUAAAUAAUAGUCAAUCAAUUCAGUACACUCAAUAGCAUGAAUAGAGAUGUUAAUGCAAAAAUUUCAUCAUCCCAAGUUCAUGCCGAAUUUUUGAAAAUUGUUCUUCGCAAAGCGGUUUUGUGAAAAUAUCGGCAAGUUGUUUUUCCGUGGAAAUAAACUCUAAUGCAAUAUCUCCCUUUUGAACAUAAUCUCUCAAGAAAUGAUGUCUUAUUUCUAUAUGCUUGGUUCGAGAGUGUUGAAUGGGAUUUUUUGAAAGGUUUAUAGCACUAGUAUUAUCACACUUAAUAGGAAUUUGUUCAAGAUUAAUGCCAUAAUCUCUAAGUGUUUGUUUCAUCCAAAGUGCUUGUGCACAACAACUUCCGGCAACUAUUUAUUCAGCCUCAGUAGUUGAAAGUGCAACAGAAUUUUGUUUCUUGCUAAACCAUGAAACAAGAGAGUGUCCUAGAAUAUAGCAAGUUCCACUAGUGCUCUUCCUAUCCACUUUAUAACCGGCAAAGUCCGCAUCCGAAAAACAUGUUAAAUCUAUAUGAGUUCCCCUAGGAUACCAAAGGCCAAUAUCUAUGGUUCCACUUAAAUAACGGAAAAUUCUUUUAACAGCGAGCAAAUGAGAUUCCUUGGGACAUGACUGAAAUCUUGCACACAAACAUACACUAAACAUGAUAUCGGGUCUACUUGCAGUCAAAUAAAGUAGGGAUCUGAUCAUACCUCGAUAUAUUUUGAUAUCCACUUCUUUACAUUUUUCAUCUUUGUCCAGCUUGGUUGUUGUGCUCAUUGGUGUAUUCUUGGUCUUUGAAUCAUCAAUGCCGAAUCGUUUGAGUAGAUCCUUUACGUACUUGGCUUGAUUUAUGAAAAUUCCUUCCUCAUUUUGUUUGAUUUGAAGUCCAAGGAAGUAUUUCAACUCUCCCAUCAUACUCAUCUCAAAUUCCUUGCUCAUACAUGAUGAAAAUUCUUCACACAACAACUCAUUAGUAGAACCAAAAAUAAUAUCAUCAACAUAAAUUUGAACAAUAAGUAUGUCUUGGUUCUUAUGCUUAACAAAUAGAGUAGUAUCUGCUUUACCCAUAGAAAAAUCAUUUUCAAGCAAGAAAUUUUUAAGUCUAUCAUACCAUGCUCUAGGUGCUUGUUUUAAUCCAUACAAGGCUUUAAGCAACUUAUAAACAUGAUUUGGAAAUUUAUCAUUUUCAAAACCAGGAGGUUGUUUCACAUAAACUUCCUCCAAAAUAUAUCCAUUUAAGAAAGCACUCUUGACAUCCAUUUGAUAUAAAAUAAAAUCCUUAUGACAUGCAUAUGCUAACAACAUCCUAAUGGAUUCUAACCGGUGCAAAGGUUUCAUCAAAAUCAAUUCCUUCUUCUUGGUUGUAACCUUGAGCCACUAAUCUAGUUUUAUUUCUUACAACCACACCAGAUUCAUCCAUCUUAUUUCUAAACACCCAUUUAGUACCUAUUAUAGAUUGAUGUUCUGGUUUAGGAACUAAUUCCCACACAUUAUUUCUUUCAAAUUGAUUUAACUCCUCUUGCAUUGCCAAAAUCCAAGAUUCAUCAUUUUCAGCAUCCUCAAAAGAUUUUGGUUCAAUUUGAGAGAUGAAUGCAUUAUGCUCACAAGUAUUUCUAAGUGAUGAUCUAGUUGUAAUACCUCGUGAGGGAUCUCCUAAAAUUACAUCUUUAGGGUGAGAAGAGACAUACCUCCACUCCUUGGGGAGUGUUUGAGAAGUACCUUCAUUUUGCUCCACGUUUGGUUCUUCAUGAUGUUCCUCUUGAAUUCCAUGUGGUGCGUCUUCUUGAUUGUCAUUUGAUGCUUCUUCUUCUUGCUGUUCUUCUUCUGCAUUAUCAUCAACAACGACUUUCUCCGUAGAGGAGGGGUUAGACUCAUCAAAUGUGACAUGCAUAGAUUCUUCCAUAACUAAAGUUCUUUUAUUAUAGACUCUAUAAGCUUUGCUUGAGUUUGAAUAACCAAGAAAAAUACCAACAUCAGAUUUUGGAUCAAAUUUACCAAGAUUGUCUUUUGUGUUCAAAACAAAACAUUUGCAUCCAAAAACUUUAAAAUAGCCAAUGUUGGGUUUUCUAUCUUUCCAAAGCUCAUAUGGAGUUUUAUUAAGAUUAGGUCUAAUCAACACCCGAUUUAAAACAUAACAAGCGGUGUUGACGGCUUCGGCCCAAAAAUAUUUUGGUAAUGCAUUUUCAUUUAACAUGGUCUUAGCCAUUUCUUGAAUAAACCUAUUCUUUCUCUCAACAACUCCAUUUUGUUGUGGAGUUCUAGGUGAAGAAAAUUGAUGCUCAAUGCCUAGAUUAUUGCAAAAACUCUCAAAUGCAUGAUUUUCAAAUUCUCCUCCAUAAUCACUUCUAAUGUAUACAAUACCAUGCCGUUUUUCAUUUUGUAAUUUCUUACAAAGCACUUUAAAAGCAUCAAGAGCAUCAUCCUUAUUGGCUAAGAACAAUACCCAUGUAUAUCUAGAAUAAUCAUCCACUAUCACAAAUGCAUAAUAUUUGCCAUUUAGACUAGCAUAUCUAGAUGGCCCAGAAAGAUCUAUGUGAAGAAGUUCAAGUGGUUUUGAAGUGGAAAUAUGGUUUUUAUUCUUGAAAGAAGUUUUAAUUUGUUUUCCAAAUUGACAAGCUUCAUAAAUUUUAUCCUUUUGAAAACCAAUUUUCGGAAGACCUUUAACUAAAUCAUCUUUCGAAAUUUUUGAAAUCAAAUCCAUACUUGCAUGUCCUAACCUUCUAUGCCAUAACCAACAAUCAUCAUGCAAUGCCGAAAAACAUUUAUCAAGAGAAGAUGCACAUUCUAUGUCAAUGAUAUAAACAUUACCACAUCUAUUUCCAACAAAUAAGGUUUUGCCAUCACAUGAGUUCUCAAUAACACAACUAAAUUUAUCAAAGAUAACUUUGUAACCUUUGUCACAUAAUUGACUAAUGCUAAUUAAGUUGUGUUUCAAGUUCUCAACCAAACAUACAUUCUCAAUUAGAGUUGAAGAGACUUUACCAACAUUUCCAAUUCCAAGAAUUUUUCCUUUUAAGUUGUCUCCAAAAGAUACGUCUCCACCAUUUUCAAUUUUGGUGAAGCUUGAGAACCAUGCAUAGUUUCCGGUCAUGUGCCUUGAACAACCGCUGUCCAAGUACCAUUUAUUUUUCUUCUUCUUCAAGCCCUACAAGAAAAAGUCUCAAGUUUUAGGUACCCAAAGCUUUUUGGGUCCUUGAGAGUUAGUAACGGUUCCUUUUGGAACCCAAAUGUAUUUGACACCAUAAUAUGCAUUCCUUUUCACGGGACAUCUAUAUUUCAUGUGACCAUUUUGAUUACAAUAAUGACAUACAAUCUUAUGAUCAUUUGUGGAGGUAGCUUUAACAAAAUAAUUCUUAUAAUACUUUUGCUUCAAGUUAGGCUUAUAUCCAAGUCCUCUUUUAUCAAAAACACAUUUUUGUAAGUUAAGCAUAUUAUCCAACAUUUUUUGCCCAUUUGUAAAUUUCAAAACAAUUUCAUUCAAUUCAUUACUCUUUUUCUUGAGCAUUUCGUUCUCAUUUUUCAACUCAUCUAUGUGUGAUUCUAAAUGCUCAUGUAAGAUGCUAGGUUUCUCAUUUGAUAAUGCAAUUUCAUCAUGCAAUGUUUUGUUCCCUACUUCUAGGCAUGCAAUUCUAGCAUUUAGAGAUUCAUUUUCAUUUUUAAGCUUUGCCAUUUCCUUUUUAAGACAUACAUUCUUUUUACCAAUCUUCAUCAACUCAUUAUGUAAAUCUUUAAAAGCAUCAUACAAUUCAUCAUAGGUGGGAUCACUUACCUCAUUGAAAUCAUCAUCCCCUCAUAUUGCCAUGAGUGCUAGGUUUGAUACUUCUUGCAAUCCUUCUUCAUCACUUGAUUCUUCCUCACUAUCAUCCCAAGUUGCAACCAUUGCUUUCUUCUUGAGUUUGUUGAUAAGUGGGCACUCCGAUCUUAUAUGUCCAGGCUUUUUGCAUUCAUAGCAUGUGAUUGCCUCCUUCUUCUCCCUGUGGUUCUUGAAGUUUCUGAAAUUUCUUCGCUCUCCGGUUUUCUUGAAGAAUUUUCUGAACCUCCUUGCUAGCAUGGCUAGCUCUUCAUCAUCCGGUUCACUCUCCCCAUCACUCUCAUGUUUAGAAGCUUUGAGAGCAAUGCUUUUCUUCUUCUCUUCAAGUCCUUUUUCUGCAGCUAAAUCCUCUUCAUAUGAAAUAAGAGAACCAAUUAAAUCAUCAAGAGGUAAAGUAUUUAAAUCUUUGGCCUCUUCAAUGGCAGUUCUUUUAGGUCUCCAUUCUUUUGGAAGAGAUCUAAUGAUUUUCUUAACUUUCUCACUAUUUGAGAAGGUCUUCCCCAAGGCACCUAGAGUGUUUACUAUGUCCGUGAAUCUAGUAUACAUAUAAUACACAUUCUCAUUUUUUUCCAUUUGGAAUAGCUCAUAUUGACGAGUGUAUCUACUAAUUUUAGACUCUUUAACUUGAUUUGUCCCUUCAUAGACAACUUCAAGUUUAUUCCAUAUUUCUUGUGCACUUUCACAACUAGAUACUCUAUGGAAUUCUUUCUUAUCAAGGGCACAAAACAAAGCAUUCAUAGCCUUGGAGUUUAGAGACAUCUUUCUCUUUUCUAACUCACUCCAUUGACUCGAUGGUUUAGGAAUAUCAUCUCCUACUUCAUCUUUAAAUGUAGGCAUGAAUGGACCAUCACAAACAACUUCCCAAAUUUCAUAAUCUAAGGCUUGCAAAUAGAUUCUCAUUCUAGUUUUCCAAUAAGCAUAGUCAUUACCAUCGAAAAAUGGUGGUCUAGUGGUGGAUUGCCCUUCUCUAAAGGUUGAGUCAUUUAGGGUUGCCAUGGAUCUUUUACUCUUAGAUGAUUAAGUCCUAACAAGAGAACAAGGCUCUGAUACCAAUUGAAAUACAAUUAUGCAACCCAAGAGGGGGGGUGAAUUGGGAUUCUAAAAAAUUAUUCAAUUUAAAGAAAAACUUAAUGCAAAUACACUCCAAAUUCAAAGCAAUAAUAAUUAAGUUGAUCACAAUAUAAAAAGAUAAGGGAAGAGAAAUUCAAACACAGAGAUUUUUACGUGGUUCGGCCAACCUCGCCUACGUCCACGCCUCCAAGCUUUCCAGGCUUGAGGAUUCCACUAAGCAAGCCUCCAAGGCUUCAAAUGCUUACACUUGACUUCCAAGGUGUCAAUAAACCUUUACAACAAGAGAUUAUCCCCAAUCUCUUAACCCAAGUGUAUCCCAACACUUACAAUCACUCAAAGUAAAAGAUUACAAAUUGUUUUUCUCUCACACAAUAUCUAAGAUUACAAAUCAAUGCCCAAUGUGUUAAUAGAUGAAAAGAGAGUGAGUUUAAAGCUCUAUGAAGAUUGUAUUCGCGGAUAUAAGCUCAGAGGUAGUGUUGUGAUCAACCUUCUUUGAAUUUGAAUGAGCUUAUUUAUAUCUGGAGCUGAAAAUCUAGCCGUUACAAACUGUCGGACAGAAAACGGUUCGCCGUUAACCCUAAACGGUUAACCGUUUCGGUUGGUCAAAGUUACCGUUGGGCCAGAUUUUAAAUAAACGGUUUGCCGUUUGGGAUUACCCUUUCGCCGUUAACUUCCAGAGACCUGCAAGAUGAACAUUGGUUAUCCGUUUACACUAAACGGUUAAGGACUUGCGUGAAGUGGCUUAUCUGGAUAUUAUCGGUUAACCGUUUGUAAUAAACGGUAAGCCGUUUGACUCCAGUAACCUGCAAAACAAACUAGUCUUAUCAGGUUUUGUUAAUAAGUGCCAGAGGAGGACAACCUUCAAUUCUGGACGUUAUCGGUUAACCGUUUAUAAUAAACGGUUCACCGUUAAGUUCCAGUUGCCUUUCCAUCCUUGGUGUUUUCCAUUUUUCAUAAACGGUUAGAGCUUAAGCAAUAUGUUGCUUUCUGGUGUUAAUCGGUUAAUUGUUUUAAAUAAACGGUUCACCGUUAAGUUCCAGUAACCUUCCCAUCUUUUGUGUUUUCCGUUUUUCAUAAACGGUUCAAGGUUUAGAAAAUAUGUUGCUCUCUGGAUGUUAUCGGUUAACCGUUUAAAUAACCGGUUCACCGUUAAGUUCUAGUAGCCUUCCCAUCUUUUGUGUUUUUCGUUUUUCAUAAACGGUUCAAGGUUUAGAAAAUAUGUUGCUCUCUGGAUGUUAUCGGUUAACCGUUUAAAGGAAACGGUUUACCGUUUAUUUCCAGAAUCACACUUUAAAACAGAUUUUACAGAGAAUCAUUUUUGAAUUUGAAGGACCCUUUUAUGAAACAAUAAAUGGAAUGAUUAUUAAGGCUUUCAUUUAUUAAGGAAUAGCUCCAACAUUUUUAUCAAAAAUCAUUUAAAGUUUGUUAUCAUCAAAAUCAAUAUUAUUAACAUAUUCAUAUUAACAAAUUAUUCCCGUUCAAAGCCCAACCCCAAUUUCAUGAACCUAAAUAAUAAACCAAACAAAAGAGAAUAUUCUCUCAAUUUAUCUAGAAUUAUCUUGGGUAAUAAUAUCCUGAAUAAUUGGCGCUGUGGCAGUUUUAAAAAUUUGGUGAUUGUUAAGAAAUUAAUGACAAUAAGUUUAGGAUGUCGUUACUUGUUAGGACCUGCAUUUAAAAUCUUAAAUAUUCGUAAUUAAUUAUAAAGAUCUUGGUUCACAUGCAAGCUACAACAAUUAGCCAACAAAUAUAUGGUCUUUUUGACAAAACUAUGCAAAAAGAAAGAGAAUAUAAUCAAUGAAACUGAUUUGGACAAUACCACACGAUUUUAUUUUUAUUGACAAACCAACCUAAAUAACAUAUUAACGUAAAUAACGCAUCCACAUAUAAUUGUUUUAUUUAAUUAUUAAGAAAGAUGAAGUACAUGGACAUUGGAAACUAAAAAAUAUAAUCUCUUAUAUAUCAAGAGAUUUUAGAGAUUAAACUGAACCAAACUAGCACUCGCAUGAUUAGUUGACAGAUAAUAACAAUACCCAUCCUUUUAUUAACUAUAAUAUAAAAAAGUAAUACUUUAGGUAUGUAUGUAUUUAUUAACCAGUGUGGUCGGGAUUUCUUCUAUAUUGAGAGACAACAAUAAGAUUAAGAUUGUCAAAUGUCACUUCCAUAUCAUCAGCAAUACCAUAUACAGGUACUGGAGUACUCUCUGACCGCUCACUCUUACAUGAAAGUUUAAUAUUAGAAAAUGAAUUCAUAAAUGCAUAUAUUAAAAUAUGAAUUGUAAAUGAUAUCUAUUCAGCUGAAAUUGGCUUGAAACCUGCGCAAGGAGGAGUUUCUAUGUUCUUAUCUCUGCUUUGACUGAUACAUAUAGAUUCAAGAAGCCGACGUUGCCAACGUGUGGGCAAUUGUGACCUAGCAAAACAUCUAAUAGUUAGUUAAAUUCCACCUGCGACACGUGGGAGCAUGGGUCCACAAAACAAAUAAUUGGAACUAAUUAGAACAGAAAUCGAUUCGGUAACCCGCCGCCGCAUGCACUUUCUAAAAGUUUUAAAUUUAUGAAUUGAAACUACCGACGCCUUUUUAUGUUUGGUUAAUUAUACAUAUAGUUCGAGCUGAGGGAUACAUACAGUAGUAGAGUCUUUAAAAUGGUACAAUACCUAAUCAACGUUGAUAUAUACUAAGUUACAGGGGCCAUCGAUGACAUACGUAGAUAAUUUUCUGUAAUUGUUGCUUGAUUCCCAUAUAUAUAUAUAUAGUUCUUUUCUAAAGGAUGUUAUUAAAUUAUAAAAAACGCAUAUUUCAAUACACUAAAAAUUAUAUAUUUUUUUAUUUAUUAGUAUAUUGAAAUUUAUGUUUUUAUUUUUUACUGACAUCCCUAACAUCCUCACUUUUACCCUCAUUAGAGAAUUACAAUAGUGGUAUAUCUAGGACAGCUAUUUGAGAGUUUGAUUAUUUGAGCAAGUAAUUUUAAUUUUUGUUGACUGGAUUUAGAGUAGUAUGUUAUUAGAGUCUUUCCAUUUGUAUUUUAGGUAGAAUUUUACUUCUAUGUUUGAGUGUACAUUGUCUAGUAUAUUUACUCGGUUAUAAAUUGGGUGGUUAUGUAAUAUGUUUGAAAAUCUUUAAUUAAUAAAAUUUUUAUUUUAUUUUUUUCAUGAAAUUAUUUAUCUAAAUCUCUCUUAUAAAAUCGUUUACAUUAGAGCAUUAAUUAAUCUUAUAACUUUGAUGUAUUAUUUGCCUUGGACUUUUAUUUUGGUCUAUCACUAUAUUAUUUACCUUUGGCUGUCUCACCAUUUUCGUGUAAUAUUAUCUGCAUUGAGUCAUAUUUUUGUAUAGAGUGGUGAUAUUUAUCUCAUCAGUUUUUAUAUUAAUUUCUAUUUUGCCGUUGUAUUAAAUUAUUUGCUUUGGUGAAUUGCUAUAUUGUUUGCCUUGGGCCGUCUCACCAUUUUGGUGUGUAAUCUGCCUUGGGUCAUUCAUUUUUGUAUAGAGUGGUGAUGUGAUCUCAUCAGCUUUUAUAUUAAUUUCUGUUUUGCCAUGGUAUGAAAUUAUUAAAAAGGAUAUUGAAGAGUUUCUUGCCACAAAUCGAACCUGCAUCUCUGUUAAGCAUUACUCUUGCAUUUCCACGGAAAAGGCAGUAAGUCAAUGGCCUAAAUUCAUGGUUCAUUUCAUAUUAUGAAGUUUCUUUCUUCAGGAUGAUUUCGUCUGGAAUUCUCCUAAUUUGCUUCCAAAAAUCCACUUGCCACAUAGCCUUUGCAGCUGGUAGUGGCUUGUAUGCUUGUUGGAUUAGUCAGAAAAAUCAAUUGGCAUUGGUCACAAUUUUUUUAUUCGAGCUGAGGGAUACAUACAGUAGUAGACGUCGUGUACUAUGUAUGUUCUCUUUCUCAUAUAUAUAAAUAUAGUAAGAGAUAUAUAUGGCUUUUAUUUAAUUCUCAAUAUCAUAGGCGGUAAACAUGGACUCUUGGCUUAAAGACAAUAUGAACAUGAAACCAUUUCACGUGGGUGAUCAAUUAUAUAACUUUCAUCCUUCUUACGGAAGUCAGAAGAGGUGUGUACCUACCACAUCAACCGUGUCAAGCGAAGAUAUUGGACAUUUAAUAAUGAAAAAAUUAGGAAUUUUCAUGGACACACCAGUAGGUUCCGUAAAUAUAUAGAAUCAAUUGAUUCUAGGUACCUUACAAUGUGACUUUUUUUUUUUUUUGUCCCUGAAGAUCCGGACUAUUUUUGAGGAUACUGGCCGUUGAGGCUUUGUUUGUAAUUGUGCAAGAAAAUGGAAAAGAAUGGGCUAAAGCGCAAAAAGUAAAGCUAACAGUUGUUUAAUUUAAUUUUUUAAGAUUGUUUUGAUGUGGAAUUUGAUUUGGGAACUUUUUUGUAAUUACAAGAAACAGCCACACAGGGUGACAAUUAUGGCAUUCUUUCGUCAAUUGGAUAUUAAUAGUACAAUGAGGAUGGCUAAAUGCAUAAUCACCCUAUUAAUCUUGCAGUCCAAAGCAAAAGCAAAAUAGCAUUACAAACAGUAGAACUCUCAGAUUGAUUCACUGUAUCUAAACGAUAGGUCAUCUCAUUACUAAACUAUCUGACGUAACUGAUUCAGAAAUUUAAUUUAGAGAGGGCUUGGUACAAAUAAAAUAAUUCACGAGGCGCGUUCGAUGGUGCAAGUGAUCGGCGGCAACAACAAGCAAGUAAGGUAAUGAUGAUGUAUAUGUUGGAAAUAUGAAUUCAUAUUGUUUAUUAAAAGUUCAAAACAUGAAUAAUAGUUGUUGCUACUGUUCACUUCACUGUUUAUUAAUACUAUUAAUCAUACUGUUCACUUAGCAACAAUUGUAAAUUUGUCAAGGCGUGUUCGAACUGUCCUUAAAACAAAUUUCAGCUCUUCUAGAAAGAUUUCUCGAUGCAAAAAGGAUAUAAAUAAAAUGGAUUGAGCUCCAUGAUACAAUGAUAUUGUUGCCAGGUUGCACUCCAAGUACAAUAGUUUAGAAAAGAAAAAUUAAUGAAGAAACUAUGAGAUAGAAGGAGAGGAUAUAGUGGCUGUGCCUUGAAGACUUUGUAUUUUAAAAUACCAAUAAAACUCGAAGAAUAAACUUAAAUAAUUUGGAUCAAGAUUGCACUUUAAGAUGAAACACUAAUUAGUGGCCUUUAUGUAUAACUUAAUAAUUUGAUAAAUAACUUCGCACUAGCAAAGCCAAGAGUUUCAUUUAAACCCCUAAGAUUCAAAUAUUCUUUCCCCCUUUACUACUGGCAAAAUUUGGCAAUCGAUAUUUCGGAAGACAUCACACAUGUCAAAAAAAAAAAAAAAUAGCUAGUCCCAUCAAAAUCACCAAAUGCAAUCCAAUAACAUGCUCCACUUAAGUAUAGACUUUCAUGAGAAUCGACGGAAAAAAUAAAUAAUAAUAACUUCAUUUAGUUAAGCAAAUAACAAUUUGUGAUUGUUCGUUAAUCUUAUUAAUAAUCUAAUUCUUAGUUUCUUACUAUUGUUCUUUUACUUGAUUAUAUUGUCGAAUCUUUCUGAAAAAGAUUGUUUUUGUAAUUGACAUGUUUAAAGUUUAAACAAAAAAAAAAAAGAACUAAAUCCAAAUCAAAUAUAAAUACAAAUCCAGGUUCUAAAAAAAUCAAGUACAAAUACAAAAUCUAAAUUCUAAAACUUAAAGUUUCAAAGCGAACAUCAAGGAAUCAACAUCCCACGAAGCAACACGAACGGCGAAGGCGAGCUAGUUCAACCUGUAUCGGGGCUGGUUACUGGUCGCGAUAGCAGCUAGUGAUGAUGAACAUUGAACACAGCCACGAUCACGAUUAGCGAAGGUGGCGUUCAACUCGUAUCACAACUUGUUACUGGUUGUGACAGAGAAGAAGAAAUGAUGGCUGAUGAUGAUGAUGAGAUUAACACAACCGCAAAGAUAGUGAAGCGAUGACGACGAUGAUUUAAUUUGAUGAAGAAAAGACCUGAAAAGAGACAGACAGGAAAUGUUUGGCCUUGGCAGCCGCAGCUAUGAAUGCAAGUAGGGCACUUGGGCUUUUUUUGUAUUUUUCUAAUUGUAUUAUAUAAUCUAAAAAAAUUAAUAUUAAAAUAAAAGCUUCCGGGUCUAGAUUCUGUAUCUAUGGGUUAACAUAAACCCAGACCCGGACCUGGAUACGUCUGGGUUCAUUAAAUUGCAUCCGAAUUCCAUAUAAAAUUUGCUCCAGUAUGGGUUGAAGCCAGCCUAUUCUCUGGGUUCAUCUAGGUUUGGGCGGGGAUCGGAUUAAAUUGGCAUCGCUUUUAUGUCCAAAUUAUCAAUAAGAUCCUUUGGUGUUAGUAAAUUCCUUUAUCACGUAAAUGGUUUCAAUUUUGAACAUAUUAGUCCUAUUCCAAUUUUCAACCGUUCCCAAUUUUAUAACUCCAUUUAUUAAUAACAUUGUCUUAAAAGUUCAUCAUUGCACGGCACUAGAAUGAUUAUAAGGUUUAAUAUUUUUGAAUUAUGAAGCUCGUUCUCAGUAAGACAAGGCUAUUUGCACUCUAAAACUUAGUCUAAACAAUCUGUCACCUUGGAUACUCAUGUACUAAAUUUAAAAAGAUUAAGUUUUAUUUUCUUCACACUUUAAAAUACCUAAAAAGACCUUAUUGAAACUCGCUAAAUUAAUUUACUCAAAACACCAAUCAAACUAUUUAGCACAUCCAAAAUGAAUUAGUAAUAAUUUAGAAUACACUGCAAUGGAAUCAAAGUAUGUUCUAAAGAAAUUUUUUUAACAUAAGUUUUAUUUAUUAGCUUUUGUUUAUUAAAGAAUAUGUUCAGCAUUGGUUUUUAAACCCCAAACUUUUAACCCAACAAUUGGAAAAAAUGGUUAUUUGGCCCAAAAAGGGAAAAAAAGAAAGAAAGAAAGAAAGAAAGAAAGCAAGAAAGAAGAAAAGAACACAAAGAAGAAGGAGAAGACUGCAAAAAAUAUUUUUAAAAAACUAAAAAGCAUAAAUAUGUUCAAAAUAUAUUAAAAGUAUUCAUUUGCUCCUAGCUCCUAGUUUAACUAAAUAUUGUUUAAGAGAUUGGAAAUAAAAUUUCUAGGGCUUAUGCCAAAAGAAUUAUAUAUUCAAUAACAAGUGUGCUAUAUGAGUAUUUAGAGUAAUUAUAUAAUGUUAAUUUAUAAGAAAGAGUCCUUAUUAGUAAUUCAUAUGAUGUGUAUUUUUGUAAUAGAAUAAUUUAUUAAAAUAAAAAUGUGCAGAAUAUUUUUUGUAUUGUAAAUAUGUAAAUAUUCUCACCCUUCUCAAUAUAUUGACUUGAGUGAUAAUUUUAAAUUGCAUCAGAAUGAGCUAAAAGAAGAGGAAUUGUCGAAAUUCAGCUUAUGGCAAUUGAACAAUUAAUGGUUAAGAAAUACAGUAAAUCAAUAAUACUAAAACAUAAACAUAAUAAUUAAAGACUACCAUUAAAAUCUUUUUAGGAAUUUAUCUUGCAAACCAUCUAUUAGACGUCAAAAAUAUAAUUAGCCACCAAAAAUUUAAGAUAAUAGCUCUGCACUGUUGAGUGUUAGAAAAUGUAUAUUUAUAAAGGAGAAAAUCGUCAUUUUACACUUCCAAGUUUUACUAACACUUAUACUUUUAUGUAUUUUAGUCUCUUGUAAUUUAAUUAUGUGUAUUUGAUUUUAAUUAUGUAUUUUAUGCAUUUUAGGAGUUUCAUGGUCAUUUCACAAUGAACGAGAGCGGCAAAACGACAAAACGGACAUCACUUUUGAUGAAACUUAUUUUAAGCAGAUAGUGGGAAGUCUCAUGUACCUCACCACCACUAGACUUGAUAUGAUGUUCAUUGUGAGUUUAAUUAGUCGUUACAUGUCUAAGCCUAUAGAGCUACAUCUGCAAGUACCUGAAAUAGCUCUUAGGUACUUGAAUGGCACAAUAAACUAUGAGAUACUUUACAAGAAGGGUGGAGCUGAAGAGCUUCUUGCAUUCACUGACAGUGAUUACGUCAGGGAUGUCGAGGAUAGGAGAAGCACCUCAGGAUAUGUUUUUUUAAUGAAUUCUGGAGUUGUGUCCUGAUUGUCAAGGAAGCAACCACUAGUCACUUUUAGAGAUGGCCAACAGGCCGUGCCGUGCCGGCCCAGACCCAUCCAAGGAAGCCCACACGUGCUGGUGCUCGUGUUGUGCCUAAUUUUUGUUGCUUAGGCCUGGCUCAGCACCACUGAUACCGUGCCCACACGUGUCGUGCCGUGCCGUGCCCAGGAAAAAAAGCCCACUAAGUUUUUUUCAUUUUUUAUUUUUUUAAAAGCGUAUGCCAAGUUGUUGUCUUAUUUUUUUUAAGCCUAUGUACUUUUUUGGAUCCAUGUGCCUUUAUUCAAAUUUAAUAGAAUCAAAAAUUCAAAACUCAAGUCUAUAUUCAAUAAUAAUAAAUUAAUAAUAAUAAGAGAAUGUAAUAUUAGUUACUAAAUUUGACGUUGUGGUAUUAGAAUUCUUUUUUAGUACCUAACAACAACAAUAAUAAUUUUUUUAAGGGUUAACUUAAUUGUUAAUUUAGAAUUAUGUACAAUCAUAUAUCAUAGUUUAUAAUAAUAUUAAUACAUAUUUAUAAAAUCAUGAUAUCAAUUAUUUAAUUAAUAAAUUAUAAACAUAAAUCAAUUAUAAUUUUUUUGAAACUAAGAAUUAAAUAAAUUUAAAAAACUUGAGCUAAUAAAAUAUAUUAAAAGAUUCAAUUUCAAGUUAUUUAUAAAAUCAUAAAAUUUUAAGUUUACUUUCAUUAAAAAAUGAAACGUACUUAUUGCGUGCUUUUUCGCGUACCGUGUUUUUAAGGCCCAUGUGCUUAAAAUUCUAAGCCCGGCCCAACCCACGUGCGUGCUGUGCCAUAUCGUGUGCUCUACGGAAACGUGCUCAUGCCAUACCAUAUUGUACGGACACGUACCGUGCCUCGUGCCAUCCAGCCCAUUAGCCACGUCUAGUCACAUUAUCAAUCACUGAGGCUGAAUUUGCGGCAGCUGUAGCCUAUGCUUGUCAGGCUGUUUGGAUGAGAAGAAUACUACAGUAGGAUUAUUUGCUGGAAUAAAUCCCUAACUUUUAGGGUGUUAGUUGCAUUGUUUGACAUUUUCUUUGUUACUUGUACCACAAUGCUUUAGUUGUGCAUUAGUGGGCUAUUAUUUCUCUUUUUCUGUUACUUUGUAAAGCUAUUUAAGCCAAGUUCAUCUAUUCAAUAAAGUAAGCAAUUUUCAAAUUGUUUAGAGUUCUUGAUUUGCAAUUUCUUCUGCGAUCAUUAAUUUCCUACGCCAGCAACUAGCUGUUAUUUGGCAGUUUUAGUUAUGGGUUUGGAAGAUAUAGCUUUUGGAACUAAUUUUUUUAAAAUUGAUUUUGGAACGUCAGUUUUGUUUACGUUUCACGACUCACACGUGUUGUGGAGGUAAAGUUAAAUUAAAUUUUGUAUUUUUCUUUUGUUGAAUUGAAAUUGUUAAUUUUAAUUUUCUAAUCAACAAAUGAUUUUAAUUUUUUUUGGAAUUACCAUUGUUAAUUAUAGAAAUGUUUAUUCAUGAUGAAAAUUUUCAUCUCAGACUCAUUAUGGUAUAAUUGUACUGGUCUCUACACCCAAUCUAUGUUAGGUAAUAGUCGUUUUUUGUACUCUCAUUAAUGAGAUAAUUUGACAACACUAAUGAUUUGAAUAAUACAUAAAGUGUCGCAUCAUUUGAGAUAAUUUUUAACCAUAUAUAUUGUUAUUCUAUAAAAAAAAAAGUGUUGGAAAAAUAGGAUAAUGAGUUGCUAUUUAAAAACAUAAUUUUGAGUGGUAUACACUUAGUGUGAGUAGAAAGUCAAUAAUAAUUCGAAAUCUCCUCCAUGAGUACUCCAAAAUGAUGUAUUUGUAUACUGAAUAUGAUGUUGGUUAAAUAGGAAAUUGAUCCUCAAAAUAAAGCAAGAGUUACAGAGAUUGUAAUGGCUAGUUAAAUUCAAAAUUAACUAUGCAAUCCAUUCCAAGAAUUUAUUAUUUGUAACUGCUAAUUAAAUGUAGAAUUUAUUAUGAGAUUAUAAUGGUCAAUUAAAUUUAGAUUUUGAUAUAAAAUUAAAUCCAAAAUUUAAUAUAUGAUUAAUGAGGCAGCGAUUACAUUUUGAAUUUAAUUUAAAGAUUUAAUAAGCAGCGCUUUUAAUGGAUAUUAAAACCAACGGUUAAAAGUGUGUUUAAUAAGAUAUUAAAUUGCAUCUGAAGAAAACUUAAAGCAAUCAAAUUUGUCACCAAAAUGCCGUGAUAUAAUUCUAUAAAUUGGCAUAUUCUUCUACCGCAUUUGUAGAGACACGAGAUAGUGUAAGUGGUGGAAAAUAAUGAGAAUACAAGUGAAGAUAGAUUGAAGAGUAGGAAUAGAUGAUCUGCAAUUCAUUCUUUGUCAUAUAUCCAUUUUGAUAGAGUUUUAAACACAAUUGAAAUUCGCUGCGAAAUAACCUAUUGCCGCACCAAAGCUAUCCAUCACCAUUGUAUCCUGAAAACAGAUGCCAUUCGAAUCCUAAGACACCCAAAGUAGGAAGCAAAGCUUUUUAAACAAACUAUGCUAUCACAUAAGCCUCCAUUUGCAUUCUAUUCUUUGGUUUUACUUUAUGUUAUUAUUUCAUUGUAGUAAUUAUUAUUUCUGCACUUAUUAUUCUAUAAAGUCACAAUUUAUGAUUUGUAAUUUUAGAAUCUGUUCAUCCUAUAUCAGUUGUAUAUAAUGUGUUUUUCUCUUGCAAAAAUUUGAUGAAAUCUUAAUCCAUUUUGAUUUCUAAAAAGGGGAGAAAAAAAAUAAAAUAGAUUAGUAAUGCGUCAGCUUUCCAACGGCUCAUUUGUGACUUUUUUUAUUUUUAGUCUUUUAAUCACUAACCCUCUCAUGAACACUAGAUAGCUAUCAUGUUCAUGCAAUACAAGUCACUUUCAAGAAGCCUUGCUAUUGAAAUGGUAGACAUGCAACACUCAAAAUCUCAUGCUCAAGAGCAUGGCGGUUCGAGUCCUCUUCAAGGCAUAAUAUUGAGAAUGCUCGUUGAAUGAGCAAUUCAAUAAGAGAUCUCGGAUUGAACUAAUAUAUUGAUUCAAAUUUGAGUGACUAAUUAAAUAAAACUGCUUGAAAACUACACCUGCAUAAGUCCACGUGGGUUCUCAAGUUCUAUGUUAACUAUUAUUCUUCUCGGCAAGUAUCAAUUCUUCUAUUGCAGAUGCCAUUGUUGCAGAAUAGAAGUCAGUUGAAGCUCUUAAUAUUAUGAUUGAAGUUUAUGCAAGUGCAGAUUGCAGACAGCAGAUAUCGACUUGAAGCCUCAUGUAUGGAAAUAAAGAUUGGUUUUCAACCAAAUAUGACGACUGGGACAAUGUCGGGUGGUUAAGGAAGAUGCAAUGGUCGUCUCAAAAAAUUGGGUUUCAUUGGCCAGAUAGGACUGCGAUGUCAACUUUUUUUUUUCUUUAAUAUGAUUAAGAAUGAAAGAGUAAUUUUGACACAUUGACUUGGGCUUGUGAUUGUUAAUAAAUUUAUUACUUCUUUUCAUUAAUUUGACCUGCAUAACAAUUAAUUGAGUGAUUUUUAUUUUUCAAGAUACUUGCUACCCUCCCGAGUUCGAAUCUUCGGUUGAAAAUUUUGAUUUAAACUUAGUCUUCAUCUCUCAUUUAUAAAUAAUAAAUUAAUUAAUUAAUACAUAAAUAAAUAAAACCUACGUGAAUGUAGAAAUGAAUCAGAUGAAAAGUAAAUAUUGUAUAAAUACCCGCAUAAUGUGGUUCAGCUGCUUUGAAUAUUAUGCCAAGAAUAUGCAAAUCUGUUGGUUAGUGUUGACUUUGAACUACCUGAAGUACACAAGGGACUUUAACAUAGACUUAAUAACCAGAGGAAUUUCUGGCAAUUUAAGAAAAAAAGGGAACUAAGAUUCAUUUGAUUAUUCUUCCUCCCUGAACCUUAACAAAGAAAUUAAUUACAAAAAUAGUUUUUUGAAGUCUUUAAAAGUAAACCUUUCAGGAUCUCUUCAGAGAGCCGAAGAAAUGAAACAUGAGAAAACUUUGAAGUGCAAAGUAAUUUGGAGCUUACACAUCUUGAAACUCUUAAUCGGUGAAGCAACUGUGAUGUAACCUAACAGAAUGAUUAGAAUUUUCUGACUAUAUAUGUUAACCCAUCCAUCAUAUUAUCUAUAUGUGUAUUCAGCACAAACCUUUUAAUCUUGUAAAAACUCAAAAUGGAGAACUGUUUUUCGUUCAAUACUUGCAGCCUUUAGAAGCUCAUCAUGUCCUUCACAAGUCCCAUUGUCCAGUGUCGCAAGAGUUUGUUAAAAUCAUGAAUCAGUAUUGUGAAUUGGGUUAGUUAUAUUCUAUUAAGUUCGUUGCUAUUUCUCAAAAAAAAAAAAAAAAGAAAGUUCGUUGCUGAGGUGGGUUGAUGAGCUGGCGUUUGUGGGACCCUUAGUGGUUAAGUUGUUACAACAGUCCUACAAGUUUUUGGAAUUAAAUAUAAAAGAAAGCAAUGCUGGCCGGUGCAGCACCUAACGAAAAGAUCUUGACUAGCUUUGAGAUAGAUUUUGUUAAUUCUUCAUUGAAGGGAUUUAUUCUCUGUGAUCUCAAGAAUUGUAGUAAUCAAUAUCUUAAUAAAAGCUUAUUAUCAGCCAUGGAUAUAGGUACUAUGGUACCAAACCACGUAAUAUUACAAUGUUCUUUUUCUCUGCUUUUUUAGUUUCUUUGUCAUCUUUGUUCUUUGUUCUUUGAUCUAGUGUCAUUAAUUCUUUGCGCCAUUAAUUGGACUGGUUAAUUGGCUAGUCUGAUUAAGAGCUGAAAGAGAAGAAAAGGCCUUGAUUCAUAACAAAUUGGUGUCAGAGCCUUGGAGCUCUUUGCUCUUGAUCUUCAAAUGGCAAAGUAUCAGAUUUGAUCUCAAAAAAUUCAAUGGUGAAAAUAAUUUCUACUUGUGGAGUCUCACAAUGCGUGCAAUUCUAUUUCAAGAAGGGCUUGAUAGUGCUCUUGAUGAUGAUGAAUAUCCAAAGGAUAAGAAAGAGAAUGAAGAAGGUUCAUCAAGUUCCGGAGGAGACAUGGGGUCCAUUAACAAUAAGGCUCACAACAACAUCAUCUUACAUCUUUCAAGUGAAGUCCUGAGAGAAGUGGGAAAAGAAGAGACUGCUUCUGGUCUAUGAGCAAAACUUGAAGAGCUAUUCUUGAAGAAAUCUUUGGCCAAGAGCCUCUGUAUGAAGAUGAAGAUGUACACAUUUUCAAUAAAGGAGGGGACAACUAUGAAAGAUCAUUUGGAUGAGUUCAACAAGCUGAUAUUGGAUCUUAAGAAUGUUAACAUUGUUCUUGAAAAUGAGGAUAAAAUUCUUAUCUUGCUAAGCUCACUUCUAGAUUCAUAUAAGCAUUUUAUGGGUACUUUGCUGUAUGGAAGACAAUCACUCACUUUGAAGAAUGUGAAAAAUGCAUUGGAAUCUAAAGAUUUAAAGAAAAGAACAGAAAUAAGGGAUUAAAAUCUUAGAGAGGGCCAUAGUUGUCAGAUUCAGAUUAGAGAAGAAAGCCAAUAAAGAGAAAAAGAAUAAUAAUCAGAGGGAUAAAGUUGAUAACAAGAAGAAAAAAAAUGCUACUUAUAUCAUAAAGAAAGACAUUAUAUUAAGGAUUGCUUUGAGAAGAAAAAGCUUAAGAGGCUGUAAAAGGAACCAAAUGGGAAGGCUGCCAUUGUAUUUGAAGAUGAGGGAGAUUCAGAAGGAGCAGAUGUCCUUAUUACACUGAAAAAUAACUUACUGGUGAGUGGAUACUGGACAAUGUAUGUUUUUUUUUUUCAUAUGUGCCUAAAUAGAGAUUUGUUCAAGACCUUUGAAAGCAUUGAUGGGGGCAAAGUCUUGCUUGGAAACAAUCUUUCUUGUAAGGUUGCUGGAAUUAGAACCAUUAGUAUCAAGAUGUUUGAUGGGGUAACUAAGGAUCUAAAACCAGUGAGAUUGAAAACUUUUCUAUAUUUCUCUAUAUCGUAAAAGGUAACACAAAUUCCUCUUAUAGAAGAGAAUACAUAAAAUUGGGAAACUGACAAUAAAUUAGCUAUCUAGUUGUACUAACUAUUUCAUAAUUUACACCAUUGACCUAUUCUUAUUUACAGCUAACAAUCCUCUCUAACUACAAAUAUUUCUUUCCUUUUCUACACUCCCCCUCAAGCUGGUUUGAAGCUAUCCUCCAUAGCCAGCUUGCCAAUUAGCUCGUUGAAUUUCCGAGUAGGAAGCCCCUUAGUAAGUACAUCUGCAACUUGCUGAGUAGUGGGAAUGUAAGGCAUACAUAUUAACCAUUUCUCAAGUUUUUCCUUGAUGAAAUGACAUCUUUAUUGUCACAAUACACUUUCAUAGGUAGUGAAUUAGAAACUUUCAAUUCUUCUAAGAGUCUUUUAAUCCACAACACCUCACAAAUCCCGAAAGCAGUUGAUCUAAACUCAGCUUCUAUGCUGCUUCUUGCCACCACAUUCUGUUUCUUACUUCGCCAUGUAAAAAGAUUGCCACCAAUAAACGUGCAAUAGCCAGAAGUUGAUCGUUUAUCAACAACACUUCCAAUCCAAUCCGCAUCAAUAUAGACUUCAACUUGCAAGUGCCUACGAUUAUUUAAUAACAAACCGCAUCCAGAAGUCCCCUUCAAAUACCUGAGAAUUCUAUAGACUGCAUUGAAGUGUUCUUGUCUAGGGGAAUGCAUAAACUGGCUAACCAUGCUCACUACAAACGCUAUAUCUAGACGAGUAUGCGAUAAGUAAAUCAGUAUUCCAACAAGUCUUUGGUAUUGUUCUAUGUCCAAGACUUCUUCAGGUUUAAGAGGCUAUAAUUUAAGGUUGAGCUCAAUAAGUGUUUCUGCUGGUUUACACUCUAGCAAGCCCAUUUCAUUAAGCAAAUCAAGGACAUAUUUACGUUGAUUCACAAAUAUACCUUCUUUGGAUCUAGCAAACUCCAUUCUGAGAAAGUAUUUCAAUGUCCCUAAAUCCUUGAUCUCAAAGUCAGCUGCAAGUCUCUUCUUCAAUUUUUCUAGUUCUUCACUGUUAUGAUAUGUCAUGACUAUAUCAUCCAUAUAAACAAUUAGUAUAGCAACUCUACCUUCUCUACCAUGUUUAUAGAACAUAGUAUGAUCAGCUAGGCUUUGACAAUACCCACAAUUCUUUACAUAUUUCCCAAAUCUCUCAAACCAAGCUCUAGGGGACGCUUGAGGCCAUACAACAACGUUUUUAGUCUAUAGACUUUCAUUGAUCCCAAAUUCUUCUCAAAACUAGGUGGUAGACUUAUAACAAUCUCUUCCUUAAGAUCACCAUUCAAAAAGACAUUUUUUUUACAUCCAAUUGGUGUAGUGGCUAGUUCAGAUUUACAGCCAAAGAUAAUAGAAUUCUAAUUGAGUUUAUCUUGGCUACCGGAGCAAAGGUCUCCUGACAAUCAAUCUCAUAGGUUUGAGUGAAUCCCUUAGCUACUAAUCUUGCCUUAUACAUUUCUAUGCUACUAUUCGCUUUACACUUGACAGUAAAGACCUAUUUGCAAGCUACAGUCUUCUUCUCUUUAGGCAAAUCGACUAAUCUCUCAAGUACCAUUUCUCCUAAGAACAUUCAUCUCUUUUAUCACUGCCAAUUUCCAAUUUGGAUUACCAAGAGCUUCCUGAAUGUUUCUUGGGAUAAAAAAGUGUGAGAUUUUUUAGGUAAAUGCCCUAUCAGUAUGAGAAAGUUUGUCAUAAGAAAGAUAUUGAGCAAUGGGAUAUCUAGGAUUCUUAGUGAGAUUUCGGAUUCCUUUUCUAAUGGCAACAUGAAUAUUAAGGUUUGAUGAUUCUUUGCUAGGGAAAAGCAUGGGAAUUGAAGAUGAGUUAGGAUUGAAAAUACAUGUGAUAUUUGUAGGUCCAAUCCCCAAGGGUUGUGAUUGAUCGUUACCAAGAGUAACUGGCAGCCUUUGAGUUUUUUUUAUGAUGUUUUCUUUGAGUAUAAACCAAAAGCUCAGUUGUUAGAAUCAUUUUGAUACGACAGUAGUAGUGAUUCUCCCCCUAUUUCAGAUACAAUAAUGUUUGGCAUUAUAUUACCAGAACUUCCCUCAUUGUUCUCAGUGUUUUUAUCAUCACGUUGUUCUUGACUUUGAAGGCCAGAAAUGGUAGGAUGAGAGGAAUGAGGUAUAGUAGUCAAAAUUAUUUUUGGUAAAGAGUUAGAAGAUAUAUCCCAAAACGUUUCUUCCAUUACCUCAUACUCCCCCUAAAUAGAAUUUUUUUGAAAGUAGGAUUUUUUUUUUCAAAAACCGAGAUAUCUAUACUCACAUAAAAUUUCCUUGUUUGGGGAUUAUAGCACUCAUAUCCCUUUUAUUGGAGGCAUGCCCUAUGAACACAUAUUUUUCUGCCCUUGGAUCAAGUUUGUACUGAGUGUUAUUAGGUAUACGAACAAAGAUAGUAUAGCAAAAAACUUUAGACGUAAAUCUGAGUACAUUCUAGAUAGGGGAAAGCAUUUUUUAAAACAUUCUAGAGGUGUACUAUAUUUUAAAACACAUGUAGGCAUCCUAUUAAUUAAAUAAGUUGAUUUUAAAACAGCUUCUCCCCAAGAUAUUUUGGAAUAUUCAUCGAAAACAUUAUAACACGUGUUACUUCAAAUAAAUGUUUAUUUUUUCUUUCAGUAGUCCCAUUUUGCUGAGGCAUAUCUACACACGUGGACUGGUGAUAAAUACAUUUUUCUUUAAAAUUUUUUCCAAAAUACCUUUAUAGUACUCGGUUCCAUUAUCAUUGUGAAGAACCCUAAUUUUCUUUUGAAAUUGAGUUUCAACCAUUGUGUAAAAGUCUUUAAAAUUUUUUCCAACUUCAGAUUUUUCACUCAUUAAGUAAACCCAACAUAGACGGGUGUGAUAAUCUAUAUUAAGUAAACCCAACAUAGACGGGUGUGAUCAUCUAUGAAUGUGACAAGCCAUUUUUUCUUUGAAAUAGUAAUAACUCUUGAAGGUCCCCAAACAUCACUACGUAUUAAAUAAAAUGGUUUUGAAGGAAUAUAAGGUUUUGGCAAAUAAGUAGUACGAUGAAUCUUAGAUAAGCAACAACUUUCACAGUAAAAUGAUGAAAAAUCCAAACCCUUAAAUAAAGUAGAAAACAAAUGUUUAAGAUAUUGAAAGCUAGAAUGUCCCAAUUUUAAAUGCCAAAGCAUUAUUUGUUCAUAAACAGAGUUAGAACUAACACUACUAAAGCCCUAAGAAAUCAUCAUCAAAGUAGUAAAGGCCACCAAUCAACUUAGCACUGCCAAUCUUCUUCCUCGAGGUUUGGUCCUGAAAUUCAUAGUAAGAAUCACAAAAAAUCACUCGGCAAUUAGAAUCUUUAGUUAUUUUACUCAUGGUUAAAAGAUUACAAGCUAACUUGGGAACACGAAGAAUAGAAUUAAGGUUUAAUUUUUUGGAUAAUUUAAUCAAACCUUUCCCUACUAUUGGUAACAAAGUACUAUCUGCAAUUCUUAUUUUGUCAAGACCAAAAGAUGGUGAGUAAGUGCAAAACAAAUUUGAAAGGUUGGUCAUAUGAUCAUAAGCUCUUGAAUUUAUAAUCCAAGGAGCAUAAUUUGACAUGAAGAAAGAGCAUUGGGUGUGCUACCUAUUUGUGCAAGAGAAACAGUAGGAAUACUACUUGGUGAGUAAUUGGGUUUUAGCAACUGCAGAAGGUAAUCCAUUUGCUCCUUGGUGAAAGGGCCUGUCUCGGCUUUAUUUGCAGUAGAAAUCAACCAGGUAUUUUUAUCACCAGGCUUGCUGCUCUUUUAAUUUGCUAGUUUUUCUUGGAUUUUCCAGCAUGUUUCUCAAGUAUGACGUGGUUUGUUGCAAUAGUCACACCAUACCCGUAGAUUCUCUUCAGUUUUAUGCUGAAAUCUAGCUGUUUUGUUAAAAACAACCAAUGCACUAAGAAGGGCAGAACUUUCAGUAGGCUCGUCAGUUGUCUUCUUUCCUAGCAUUACAUGUCUACGACUUUCUUCUCUUCGAACCUCAAUAAACACCUCGCCAAUUAGAGAAAGUGGCUUCCUGCCAAUGAUCCACCCCUGAACCUUAUCGAACUCAACGUUGACUCCUAUAAGAAACUUGUAAAUACGAGAAGCCUCAACAAUAUUGUUCUAAUAUUUGGCAUCUUCUGUGAAUUUCCAUUCAUAAUCGUUGAACAUAUCUAAAUCUUGCCGAACAGAUUAAGACUACCUUAAAUAAUUUUCACCAUUAAGGAAAAUAAUGGUAAUUUGAAUUAGAUAAGUAUCAGUAUUGGGAGUUUGGGUUUGUGUUGGAGAAUUGGUUGAAGCAGAUAUAAUCGAUUGAUUAUGAUGGCUCUGAUACCAUGAAAACUUUUCUGUAUUUCUCUAUAUCGUAAAAUGUUACACAAAUUCCUCUUAUAGAGGAGAAUACAUAAAAUUAGGAAACUGAAAAAAAAAUUAGCUAUCUAACUGUACUAGCUAUUUCCUAAUUUACACAAUUGACUUAUUCUUAUUUACAACUAACAAUCCUCUCUAAUUACAAAUAUUUCUUCUCUUUUCUAUAGAGAUAUAUGCCAGACCUUACAAGAAAUCUCAUAUAUCAAUGGAUGAUUGAUCAACUGGGCUGUAGCAUUAAGGUAGAAUAUGGUCAAAUACAAGUUAUAAAUAAGGGUGCUGUUAUUAUGAAGGGAAUUAAAAGGAAUGGUUUGUGUGUUCUGGUUGGGUCAUUACCUCAGUUAGGGGUAAAUGCUAGUGUAAGUAGUGACAAAACCAAACUUUGGCAUAUGAAGAUAGGACAUAUAAGUGAAAAAGGUUUGAAAGAACUAAGAAAGCAAGAGUUAUUUGGUCAUAAUCAAAUUUCCUCACUAGAGACAAAAGUUCAAGAGAAGAAGACAUGAAACAAAUAGACAUUGGAUUAUGUUUAUUCAGGUUCCAUCUCAUGGUGGAGCUAGGUACUUUAUUACCUUCAUGGAUGACUUCUCAAGGAAUCUUUGGGUUUAUGUGUUGAAACAUUAAAGUGAAGCCCAAAAAAAAUUCAAGGAAUGGACAGCCCUAAUGAAGAACUAAAUUGGAAGAAAAGUGAAGAGAUAAAGAACAGACAAUGGCCUGGAGUACUGCAACAGUGAGUUUGAUGAGUUUUGUAAGAAGCAUGGCAUUAUGAGGCAUAAGACAGUAAAACAUACACCACAGCAAAAUGACCUUGUUGAAAGAAUGAACAAAACCUUAAUUGAGAAAGUCAGAUGAUAUUAUUUAGUUUUAAUCUCUUUAACCAUUUUUGGGCUGAAGCAAAUUGCUGCAUAUCUUAUCAACAAAAAUCCCCCAUCAGCUUUGGAGUUUAAAACUCCACAAGAAGUCUAGUCUGGCAAACCACUUGAUCUAAGUAACCUAAGAAUCUUUUGUUGCCCAGCUUAUGCACAUAUAAGUUUGGGAAAGCUAAAACCAAGGGCUGUUAAAGGUUAUUUUAUAGGAUAUUCUGAAGGAAUUAAAGGAUAUAAGAUUUAAAGUAUUGAUGGGAAGCCUAUUAGAACCUUUAUUAGUAUAGAUGUUGUGUUUAAUGAGGAGGUAUUGAUACAGACAAAAGUUAAAAUAGAGAUCUUUACUAAUUUUAAAGGAAAUUCACAUAUGAUGGUGGAGUCAAUAGAUACUCAGAGAUCCAGAGAAGAGAGAGAAUAAAGAGUGCACAAACAUUCAGAAUUAGAAGGAUAUCAUCUUGUAAGAAAUAGAGAAAGAAGAGUUACUGUAAGGCCUAAAAGAUAUGGUAUUGUUGUUUUAAUCUCAUAUGCAUUUAUGGUUAUUGAUGAUGUAAGUGGUUGAGAACUUAUCAGCUACAAAAAGGCCGUGAGUAGUAAGGAGAAGUCAAAAUGGCUUGUAGCAAUAAAAGAAAAAAUUGCCUCUUUCAAGAAAAAUAAUACGUAGAUCCUAGUUGACAAACUUUUAAACAAGAAACUGGCUAGCUAUAAAUGGGUUUUCAAGCUCAGAAAGUGAUCAUGGGCAACCUAAAUAUAAGGCUAGACUUGUAGCAAAAAGGUUUACACAAAGGGGAGGAAGCAUUUUCACCAUUAGUUAAACAUAGCUCUAUAAGGGUUUUAUUGGCUAUCACUGCAUUCUUAUAUCUAGAAUUAGAUCAAAUGGAUGUCAAAAUAACCUUUUUGCAUGGUAACUUAGAUGAAGAAAUUCUAAUGGACUAAUCAGAAGGAUUCAUUAAAGAAGGAACUAAAGAUAUGGUUUGCUUAUUACAUGGCUCGAAAUAAUCCUUAAGACUAUGGUAUUUAAGGUUCGAUGAAUUUAUGAUCACUCACGGAUACUUUAGAAGUCAAUAUGAUAGUUAUGUGUACUGCAAACUUUGCCUUUUAGAGGUACUAUAUAUCUUCUUUUAUAUGUUGGUGACAUGCUUAUUGCAUGAAAACAAAGAGAAGAAAUAGAGAGGCUUAAAGAUGAACUAAGUUCUGAGUUUAAGAUAAAGAACUUAAGCCCUACAACAAGGAUUUUAGGAAUGCAGAUCAUAAGAGAAAGAAGUGAAAAAACUUUGUUCCUUUUCACAUGCUGAUUAUGUCAGAAAGGUGCUUAACAGAUUUGGUAUGCUUAGUUCUAAACUUGUUACUAUACCUUCUUGCACAUUUCAAACUGUCUAAACAACAAGAACCAACUGAAGGAGCAGAUGUUGAGCACAUGAUGAAAAUACCUUAUUCUAGUGUAAUGGGGAGCAUCGUGUAUGCUAUGGUUAGUCUAGAUCCGAUGUUUGCAUAUGGAAUAAGAGUUUUCAGCAAGUUUAUAAGAAAUCCAGGGAAAAAACAUUGAGAGGUUGUUAAGUGGAUACUUAGAUACCUUAAUGGUACAACUAAUAAUGGUAUUUUAUUUGGAGGAAUUAAUAAUACACAAGUAAAAUCUUAGGCUAUGUGGACUUAGAUUUUGCUGGCAACUUGGAAAAGAAUGCCAGUUACUGGAUUUGUCUUCACAUUGUAUGGAGGUGCAAUGAGUUGGAAAGAAUCACUGUAAUCAGUUGUUGCUUUAUCUAGAACUGAAGUUGAAUAUGUUGCACUCAUAGAGGCUACGAAGGAAACAAAAUGGCUCAGAGGCUUGGCAUCAGAAUUAGGAUUGAGGCAAGAGUCGAUUUCCAUUAGUUGUCAUAGUUCUACUGCAAUACAAUUGAGCAAAAAUCCAAAAGAACAUGAAAGAACAAAGCAUAUUGAUGUUAGGCUACAUUUUAUCAGAGAAGAAAUUGGUUUUGGUGUGGUGAAUAUUAUCAGAGAAGAAAUUGGUUCUGGUGUGGUGAAUAUUAUCAAAAUCCCCUUAGUAAUCAAUCCUACUGAUAAUCUAACAAAACUUUUGCUUGUAGUCAAGUUCAUGGGCUCUUUGAACUUGAUUAGGGUUGUUAGCUUGUAAGUCAAGCUAUGUGUUGCUGAUACAGAGUUUGGGUGAAGCUUGAAAAUAAUAUAAAUGAAGAGGAGAUUUGUGAAUUGGGUUAGUUAUAUUCUAUUAAGUUAGUUGCUGAGGUGGCUUGAUGAGCUGCUGUGUGGGACCCUUGUAGUUAAGUUGUUACACGGUCCUACAAGCUUCUGGAAUUAAAUAUAGAAGAAAGCAAUGCUGGCUGGUGCAACACCCGGAGAAAAGAUCUUGACUAGCUUUGAGAUAGAUUUUGUUAAUUCUUCAUUGAAGGGAUUUGUUCUUGUGAUCUCAAGAAUUGUUCUAAUCAAUAUCUUAAUAAAAACUUCAGGCCCAAAGGGGUAAUAUCAGCCGUGGAUGUGAAUACUUUUGUAGCAAACCACGUAAUAUGGCAGUGUUCUUUUUCUCUGCUUUCUUAGUUUCAUUGCCGUAUUUAUUCUUUGUUCUUUGAUCUAGUGUCAUUAAUUCUUUGUGCCAUUAAUUAGAUUGGUUAAUUGGCUAGUCUGAUAAAGAAUCGAAAGAGAAGAAAAUGCCUUGAUUUCAUAACAAGUAUUCUGUCCUUAAAGGCUUUAAGUCAAUUAUUUUCUUAAACAAUUUAAGAGAAACUUUAAUUGCUUCAGUCUUCACUCUUCAACGUAUAUGAGUCUCUAUGAUAAGAGUUUUCUCCAAAUUCAAAUCCAACUUUAGCACCCAAAUUUUUGGCCUAAAGGGAAAAAAAAAAAUUAAAGGCUUUACGUACUGGAUACUGAGGUACACACUUCACAUAUUAAUGUAAAAACUAAAAAGUUAACAUAUAUAUCAAAGGCUUUAUGAACUGGAUAAGAGUCUUGACAUUUUUAUGUAAAAAUUAACAUAUCAAAGGCCUUAUGAACUGGAUAAGAGUCGAUCAUUUACCCCCAUUGGGGACUGAUACAAAGUUAUUCCAGUUGGCGCACAAUGUCUUGCAAAGCAAGCAAACGUUCCCCUCACUAGAUGUAAUUGAACAAACAAUAAUCACAAUUUUUUUUUUUUGGAAAAGUAAUUAAUUCAUUGAUUAGUACCAAAAAAUCAUUGAAAUUUAAUCAAAUUAUACGGAGUUGCAUACCAUUUUUGCUCUUUGUUAAGAAUUGAUAGUCUCUUAAUAAGAUUAUAAUUGAAAGAAUUAGAAAUGGAAUGAGGAAGAUCUUUGGGUGAUGAUAAUGUAAACCACAAGUUUUUAAUAGGGGACACUAAAACUUUUUUUUUAAUAUAAUACCCUUUAUAAAUAGCAACUAAAAAAUUGACCUUAAAAAUUUUAAUAAAUAAAAUAUAAUUUAAAUAGUUUAAUUUUUCUAAUAGACUAAUAAUAUUAGAAUAUUUUUAAUAUAAAAAUAAUUUUAAAACUAUAAAUGAUUAUAUUUAUUUUAAUAAUGUAUUUAUAUUUAUUCUAGAAUUUUUUAAUAAAUAUCUAGGUUAAAUAAAUUUUUCUAAUAGACUAAUAACACAAUGCUCGCAACAUGGUAAGUUUACCGAUUUGAGCCCUGGAAGCAAUUUUCGCUCAGAGAGAAUUUUCAAAUCUUGUUUUGACAUAUGACCGAGUUUGAGGUGCCACAUCAUCGUUGAUUCUUCUCCAUUUGACGCAACGCACGCAUCAGUUUCCUAUAGUGUUUCUCUUUCAAGCACGAACAGAUUAGAACCGAUCUUUUCUACCUUCAUCAAUAUAAGCGCACCUUUAACAAUCUUCAUAAUCCCACUUUCAACAUGGGUUUUACACCCAUGACAAUAUAUUGUCCCAAAGACAAAAGAUUUUUCUUCAGGCCUUUGACAUGUCGUACCUCUUCAAUUGUAUGAACCGUACCAUCAAAUAUUUUUAUUUUGAUAGUACCAAUACCAGCGAUCUCCAAGGCAUGAUCAUCUCCCAUGUAUACAGAUCCUCCUGAGGUUUAUAUGUGUGAAACCAUUCUCUUUGAGAGGUCAUGUGCCAGGUAGCUCCUGAGUCUAUGAGCCAAAUGUCAGAUAGCCAUUUUCUGCCUUAUGAAAUAGUUGUUGCCUCACUGUAGAGAAUUUCGCCAUCAUCUGAGGUACUUGCCAUACACCCUUGAGCAUUUGAUGACUCGGAUUUAUUGUCUCCACUCUGCUUGUUUUUCCAACACUCUUUCUUGAAAUGCCCUUUCUUGCCACAAUUGUAGCAUUUGACAUUUUUCUUACUUCUUGAUUUUGAUCUACCAUAAUUGUGACUCCUACUGGGGCCACAUUCUAUUGAUUUCUCUCUCGUUAUUGAUAGUGCUUCUGCUUGCUGCGAACUUACUUGUUUGUCUUCCUUACUUUUUCGCCUACUCUCCUCAUUUAAUACGGAGGCUGCAACAUCAUCGAAAACUAGAUUGUCCGCUGGGUUGUUGUUUGUCAGGUUGAUGAUGAGUUGAUCGUAUGAAUCUGGUAGACUUUGAAGUAUAAGCUCUGCAUGUUCAUUUUCCUCUAUUUUAUGACCCAACGUUGUAAGUUGUGAAAAUAGAGUCUUUAAGGUGUUGAUGUGGUCGGUCACCGAUGUACAUUCUGCCAUUUGAAGAGUAUAGAGUCUCAUUUUUAAGAAGAUCUUGUUGUGCAGUGAUUUGGUCUUGUACAAUUUUGUGAGAGUAUCUCAUAUUUCCUUUGCUGUCUUUUUCUCUGCCACAUUGGAUAAUACUUCAUCCUCAAGUGCCAAGUAUAGAUCAGAAAUGGUGUUACCGUCUAUCUCGUUCUACUUGUCAUCAAUUAACUCUAUAGGCUUUUCUCCAAUUGCUGUCAAGCAAUUAUUUUUCCUCAAUACAACUUUUAUCUUCAUUUUCCACAACGAAAAUUUAUUUCCGUUGAAUUUCUCAAUUUCGUAUUUUACCGCCAUCGCUUUUCACCAAAAGCUAACUUUGCUAAUAUUGACUCCCACCGCUUCACGUGAACAGUAACCGUAUAAGUGAAUAGUAACCAUAUAAGUGAUAGCCGUAUACGUGAACAAUACUUUUAUGUGAACAGUACCAUGACUCCAAAAAAAAAUACAACAAGUAGCUCUAAUACCACUGUUAGGAAAUUAAUGGGUGAAACAAGGCCACAACUAAAAUGAAAUUGGAAGAAAAUUUAUAAGUAUUGUAAUACUUUGUCUCACUACCCAAAACCUUCUCACUCAAUAUACUCACAAGAGCUUUAUAAUUUUAACCUCUUAAAAUCACUCAAGAUCUUAGCUUUUUCUCUCACCAAAAUUGGAUGCCUAAAACAAAAUGGAGAGCUCCCUUUAUAUAGCCAAAAUUGGCUAUUAAAAAAAUUAUUAUUAUUUUGUCCGCCUUUGAUUUCUUCAUUCUUCUAUUUUCUUCUUUCUUCUUUCUACUUCGGUGGUGCCAAACCCUUCAACAUUUGCUGCUUCCAAAUUCUAUUUUUCUUUCCUUGGGCAGCACCUCCUUGGACUUCAAUUUGGGCAGCUUAUACAGCUUCUAGAUCUUCAAAAUAUGCUACUUCUUGAAGCCUUUUCGUGACACAUUGCCUAGUAGAUUUACUCAAUCACAAAUUGGGUGGUUACAUAAUAUGUUUGAAAACCUUUAAUUAAUAAAAUUCUUAUCUAUUUUCUUUCGUAAUACGAUUUACCUAAGUCUCUCUUAUGAAAUCAUUUGCAUUAAAGCGUAAAUAAUCUCAUUACUUUGGGGUAUUAUUUGUCUUGGACUUCUUCUUUGAUCUAUCACUAUAUUACUUACCUUGGGCUGUCUCACUAUUCUCGUGUAAUAUUAUCUGCCUUGAGUCAUUCAUUUUUGUAUUGAGUGGUGAUAUUAUCUCAUCAGUUUUUAUAUUAAUUUCUAUUUUGCCGUUGUAUGAAAUUACUUAUUUUUUUGAAUUACUAUAUUAUUUGCCUUGGGCCGCCUCACCAUUUUGUUGCAUAAUCUGCCUUGGGUCAUUCAUUUUUGUAUUGAAUGGAGAUACUAAAGAAAUGUGUUUUUAUUUCUUGAAAUAAAACAUUAUACACUGAGAGUUAUUUAUAGAUGCAGAUGCUAUAUUUUUUCAAAGAUUACAUAUGUGAAUACGGAAGGAAAUGUGUCAAUCCGUUCGGCGCGGAUCGUGUCUUUGAAAAAUGCAGAUUAUCCCUUUGACAAGUGCGGAUUAUGUCUUUGAAAACUUUCUCCAAUGCCAUUUUAUUCAACACUCCCCCUCAAGCUGGUGCAUAGAUGUCUUGCAUACCCAGCUUGUCUAGGAAUUUUGUAAAUGCCCUGCUUGAAAUGGCCUUCGUUAAAAUAUCUACAAGUUGAUCUUCUGAUCGAAUUUUCGGCAGUUCUAAGAUUUUUUCAUCUAAUUUCUCCUUGAUGAAAAAUCUAUCUACCUCGACAUGUUUUGUUCGAUCGUGUUGAACUGUGUUAUGAGCAAUAUCUCGUGCAGCUUUGUUGUCACAGUAUAGUUGUAUUGGUUGUUAUAAUGGAUAACCCAAAUCGUUUAAGAUAAAGCUUAUCCAUAGCCCUUCACAUACCCCAAGGGCCAUGCCUCGAUAUUCUGUUUCAGCGCUCGAACGGGCAACGACAUGUUGUUUCUUGCUUCUCCAUGUGACAAGGUUGCCUCCCACAAAGGUAAAGUAUCAUGAAGUAGAGCAUCUAUCACUAACUGACCCGGCCCAAUCUGCAUCAGUAUAAACUUCUAUGUUGUUGUAAUCUUCAUUUUUUGAAAAUAGGAUUCCUUUCCCUGGAUUUGUCUUCAGGUACCUCAGGAUCGGCAUUACUGCUUUCAUGUGUUGUUCUUCGGGAUUAUGCAUAAAUUGACUUACAAUACUCAAUGCAUAAGCAAGAUUUGGCCUUGUGUGGGACAAGUACAUCAAUCUUCCAAUCAGUCUUUGAUAUCUUCCUUUGUUUACUGGAACUUGGUCUGAGGUAAUACAAAACUUCAGUCCUUCUUCUAUUGGGGUGUCAAUAGGCUGACAAGCUGUUAUUCCUGUUUCGUGCAAUAGAUCUAAGGCAUAUUUCCUUUGAGAUAAAAAGAUUCCUCCCUUAGAUCGAGAAACCUCAAUUCCAAGAAAGUAUUUUAAGGCUCCUAAAUCCUUCAUCUCAAACUCUCUCGACAAGUACUUCUGAAGAGCCUCUCUUUCUUCCUCGUCGUUGCCUGUAACUACCAUAUCAUCUACAUAGACAAUAAGGGCAGUGAUUUUCCCUUGUCGUUUUUUAAUAAACAAGGUAUGAUAUGAAUUGCUUUGGUUAUGCCCAAAAAGAACCAUAACCUUUGUGAAUUUCCCGAACCAUGCUCUUGGGGAUUGCUUCAACCCGUACAAUGAUUUCUUCAAUUUGCAUACUUUCUGAUUGAGUCGUUCUGAUCCACUGCAUCCUGGUGGCAGAUCCAUAUAUAUUUCUUCAGACAGGUCUCCAUGGAGGAAAGCAUUCUUUACAUCGAACUGUUGCACUGGCCAAUCCAAGUUGACUGCUAAUGAUAACAAGAUACGAAUAGUAUUAUUUUUUGCUACCGAUGCAAACGUAUCGGUAUAAUCUAUCCCGUAGGUUUGGGUGUAACCCUUAGCUACAAGUCUUGCUUUGUAUCGUUCAAUAGAGCCAUCUGCUUUGUACUUUAUAGUGUAGAUCCAUCGGCAACCCACUAGUUUCUUUCCUGGUGGAAGAUCAACUAGUUCCCAUAUUUGAUUUUUUUGAAGAGAUCUCAUUUCGUCAUUCAUAGCCACUUUCCACUUUGGGUCUUUUAAGGCUUCCUGCACACUGUUAGGAAUAGAUACAAUAGAUAAUUGAUUCACAAAUGACUGAUUUGCUUCUGACAAGCGAUGGUUAGACACAAAAUGACUCAUAGGGUAUUUGACUCUACUAGAGAGGUUGGGCUCAUAUGUGGGUUUAGCGAUACCUCUAUUUUGACGUUGGGGAAGAAUUCUUCUGAUUGGACUUGUGGUAGGAACAUCCUCUGCAGACGAUUGGUUAGGUAUUUCUUCAUGUGACUCAUUCUCGAUUGCAGUUGUGUCUAAGUUAUUGUGCUCCCCAAAUGUGUCUUUACUUAUCUUAGCCUGAGAAUCAUCACCAUUUUCUUUUCCAGUAUCUUGAAGGUUUACUACCUCAAUGGAAGAUUGACCUUCUUCAGGUGGAAGAUACGUAAGAGUAUGAUUUUCCUCUUCAUUAUACUCCCCCUGAAAUUCAGGCUCUGACAAGUAGUACAUGAUAUCUUCAUGAAAGACGACAUCCAUGGUGAUGUAUAUUUUUCUUGAUGGUGGAUGAUAGCAUCGGUAUCCCUUUUGAUGUAAGGCAUACCCUACAAACACACAACGUAGUGCUCAAGGAGAUAAUUUGUAUUGUUGCAGCAAAUGUACGAAGGCAACACAGCCAAACACAUGUGGGGGUGAAUUUGGCACAUUUGGUGACAUAAUUGUAUCAUUCAGAACCUGGAAAGGAGUCUGGAAUCCAAGGGAGCUUGAAGGUGUUCGAUUGAUUAAGUAUACUGCGGAUGCCAGUGCUUCUCCCCAAUAAGAUAGUGGCAUGUGGGCUUGGAUUAAUGAUGCUCGAACAACUUCUAGUAAAUGUCUAUUUUUUCGUUCAGCAACGCCAUUUUGUUAGGGUGUCCCCACACAAGUGGUUUGAUGGACAAUUCCUCAUGAUUUCAUAAAUUGUUGAAUUGCUGUGCUUAUAUACUCGCCUCCAUUAUCAGUAUGUAGAACUCGAAUUUGUGUCUGAAAUUGAGUCGUCGCCAUCUUAUGAAAUCUUUGAAAUAAAGAGUUUACUUCGUCUUUCGAUUUCAUCAGAAAAAUCCAUGUCAUUCUGCUACAAUCAUCAAUAAAUGUAAGAAACCAACGAGCACCUCCAAUUGUAGAAACUUUAGAUGGCCCCCAUACAUAAGAAUAUACUACCAUGAAAGGAACUGGAUUCUUAUUUAAGGACAAUGGAAAAGUAGUUCGAUGGCUUUUUGAAAGUUCACAAACAUCACAUUUAAAGUUACAAACAUCAAGUUUCAGAAACAAACUAGGAAAUAAUUUUUUUAAGUAACCAAAUGACACAUGCCCUAAAUGUCUAUGCCAUAACCAAAUUUCUGAUUUCCCUUUUUUUAUGGUAUUAUCUGCGACUAGUGUGGGGCUUAGCUUUCCAGUGUUUGUUGAUGACAUCUCCAAGUAGUACAAGUUGCCUCGUCUAAUACCAUAACCAAUCGUUUGCUUCGUUUGGAUGUCCUUAAACACACAAUGAUCAGGCCAAAAAAUUACAACUGUUAGAGUGCAAUUUAAGCACUAGUUUUGCAUUGUUUACUUCCCUUAAUAUCGAUGUUUUGCACUUAAUAAUAGUGAUUUACUUGUGUUUUACUUUUGUAGGUGCAAUUCUAUUGAUUGGUGACAAAAUUAAGCUACAAGAUUAUAUUUAAUGAUGAUUGUUCUCUUGGAGAAAUUAUGAGCGUCAGAAGAACUUUAUUGAUAAGGCGUGGGCACAUGCUGUCAACUACGAACCUGCAGUUUUUAGUUUAAACGUGUUUUGUAUUUUUGGUUAUUUUUGUAAUUACGAAUUUAAUAUUUCAGAUAUUAGUAUUUUAUUUUAAAUAGAAUUCUAGAGGAGAAGAGAGGGAGAGUAUUUAAGGGAGGAAUCUAUUGUGAUAAGGGAGAUGUAUGUUUUAUUAUUGUCAACGAAACCCCCAUUUUAUGUUUUACGUUUUAAAAGGAUUUAAAUAAUUACCGAUCUCUGUGGACACGACCUUGCUCAAUCACUAUACACAAUUUAUUUAGAGUAUGUAUUUAUUUUUGCUGGCUUCGACAACCAUCAAAUUUUGGUGCCGUUGCCGGGGAUUGGUGUGAUUUAUUUAAUCCUUUUUACGUUUUACUUGGUGUAUGGUUCGUUCUUCUCGUACAGGUACACUUUCGUUUGAUCCUGAAAUUGAGAAGACAGCUCGCCAGCUGAGACAGCAGACGAAGUGAGCUAAGCAACGAUCCUCGUCGCCUUUGCUUUCUGAAACAGAUACGGUGCCUGAUUUAGUUGAAUCAUCUAGCGAUUCGGAAGAACAAGUGAUGGAUAGAGCUGCACUUGUAGAAAGAACUCUUAGAGAGUUAGCUGAACCAGACUUGAAUCAGCAACCACUCUGCAUUCAAUAUGUAGACUUGGAGGUAAAUUUUGAAUUAAAGUCUGGUCUUAUUCAUUUAUUACCCAAGUUUCAUGGUUUUGUAGGUGAAGAUCCUCAUAAACAUCUCAAGGAGUUUCAUGUUGUGUGUUCAAGUAUGAGGCCACAAGGCGUGACUGAAGAGCAGAUUAAGCUGCGUGCUUUUCCGUUCUCUGUAGAUGGGCUAGCUAAAGACUGGUUGUACUACUUGCCUCCUGGAUCGAUUACAACGUGGAAUGGUUUGAAGAAGCAGUUCCUCGAGAAGUACUUUCCUGCUUCAAGAGCUGCCAAUAUCAGAAAAGAUAUUUGUGGGAUCAGACAACUUCCUAGGGAGACUUUGUAUGAGUAUUGGGAGCGAUUCAAACAAUUGUGUGCCAGCUGUCCUCAGCAUCAGAUUUCUGAUCAACUUCUUAUUCAAUAUUUUUACGAAGGACUGUCAUUAAUGGAUAAGAGUAUGAUAGAUGCUGCUAGUGGAGGUGUGUUGGUGAACAAGACCCCUACUCAAGCAAGGGAGUUGAUCUCAAAUAUGGCUGCCAAUGCACAACAAUUUGGCAGCAGGCAAGAUGCCACUUCAAGAACGGUGAAUGAGGUAAAUAUUUCUUCUGUUGAACAACGUUUAGAUAAACUUACUUCUCUUGUGGAAAAGUUUGUUGUAGGUAAUGUGCAACAGGUAAAGACUUAUGGCAUUUGUUCCAAUAUGGGUCAUUCAACUGAUAUGUGUCCUACACUUCAAGAAGAACCCAUUGAAUAAGCCAAUGUAGUUAGAGGAUUUCCAAGCAUGCCUCAGAUGAGGUAUAAUCCUUAUGCACAAACAUACAAUCCGGGAUGAAAGGAUCAUCCCAACUUAAGCUAUGGAGUUAGGCCGUCAGGAUUCCUACAACAGUAUCCACCAAGACAACCAGCACUUCCACAGUUAAACUCCAAGUCAGGUAUAUCUCUUGAAGAAAUUGUUAAAUCACUUGCGACUAUCACUCAACAAUUUCAACAGGCAGCUACAGCAAGCAUUCAGAAUUUGGAGAAUCAAAUGAGUCAAUUGGCGACUACAGUGAGCUGUCUGAAGUCUCAAGUAUUAGGGAGGUUGCCUUCACAAUCUGAAGUGAAUCCAAAGCAAAACAUUAGUGCUGUCAUCCUUAGAAGUGGGAAGGAGUUAUAAGAGCCUAGUAAGAAAGUGACAAAGCAUGUAGAAGAUGAGCUUGAGAAGAAUGAAUUGAUGCCUAAAUCUCAAGAUGCGCAACCUACCAGAGCGAAACCCCUACCUAUUAUGAUACCUCCUCCUUUUCCAAGCCAGUUUGCAAAACCCAAGAAAGAAGAACAAGAGAAAGACAUCCUUGAGACAUUUCGCAAGGUUGAGGUAAAUAUUCCUUUAUUAGAUGCUAUAAAACAAAUACCUCGAUAUGCUAAAGUCCUUAAGGAACUGUGCACCUCCAAGAGAAAAUUAAGAGGAGAUGGAAAAGUUCACAUGAGGGAGAAUGUUUCAGCAGUUCUCUAAAAGAAACUACCUCCUAAGUGCAAGGAUCUAGGUAUGUUUACUAUCCCUUGUAAAAUUGGUAGUGUUAGAGUUGAAAAGACUAUGUUAGAUCUAGGAGCUUCUAUUAAUGUCAUGCCUCGUUCCAUUUAUUCAUCUUUGAAUGUUGGUCCAUUAAAAGAAACUGGCGUGAUCAUUCGACUAGCUGAUAGGUCUAAUGCAUAUCCUGAUGGGAUAUUAGAAGAUGUCUUAGUACAAGUUAAUGAGUUGGUUUUUCCUGCUGAUUUUUAUGUACUUGAUAUGGAAGAGGAUAACUCCUCUAAUUAUGUCCCAAUUUUGCUAGGAAGACCUUUUCUUAAGACUGUUAGGACUAAAAUGGAUGUACAUAAAGGGACUCUCACUAUGGAGUUUGAUGGAGAGGUUAUAGAAUUCAAUAUGAAUGAUGCCAUGAAAUAUCCUAGUGAGGAACAUUCGGUAUUUUCUGUGGAUGUUAUUAACCUUAUAGUGCAGGAAGUUUUUUACAAGGAAAAGACGAAGACAUUUCAUGAUAGAAUGAUUUUGAGAAAGGAGUUCUCUAUUGGUCAAAAAGUUCUUCUUUUUCAUUCUAAGCUUAAACUUUUUCCGGGUAAAUUACGUUCUUGUUAGGUUGGACCUUUAAUUGUUACUAAUAUUUUUCCUCAUGGUGCAGUUGAGAUUCGGAGUCCGACCUCUGACAAAGUUUUUAAGGUUAAUGGUCAUCGCUUAAAACCUUUUUAUGAAGGUUUUUCAGUGAAUAUUGUGGAGGAUGUGGCUCUCGAGAGUCCCAAUUAUGGAGAUUGAUGCAUAAAUGUGUCUAGCCAAAGACAUAAAACAAAUGCAUUUUUUGGGAGGCAACCCAAAUGAUUUAUUUAUUUUGGUUUUUGUUAUAUCUUCUUUUAAUUUUGAUUCAGAUUUUUUUUAAAAAAAAAAUUAAUGUGUUUGCUUAUUUUGGUCAGAAGAAAAUUUUUAAUAAGGCGUGCCCACGUGCUUAUUAGAAAUGUACUUCUGAAAUUUUUAGUGUCUCAAAGUGAUUCAUCACUAAAAAGAAAAAAGAAAAAAAAGAGUUUUUUCCCAUAUUUUCUUUCUUAUAUAUAUAUUUUUUAUUUAUUUAUAAAAAAAUGACAAAAAAAGUUUUUUUCCUUCUUUUCUUUCUUAUAUAUAUAUAUAUAUAUAUUUAUUUAUUUAUUAAAAAAAACACAAAAAAACAAAAAUCACAAAUCACUGUUCACAAAUCCCUAAUUCAAAAAAAUUCACUGUUGAUUAUCGUUUUCCCGCAGCAACCCUUAGCUCCAGCGUGCAGAACCAGCAGCAGCCGCAUCAGUCCCACCUGCAACGCAACCAGCCUACGCCAUGUAUUUCAGCCGGGUAAAUCGAAAUCCGUGAGUGCAAUUAUUGUAACAAUGCCGAAGAGGAAAGCAUCAACUUCCAAGUCAUCUAAAAAGACACCCAUCGCAAAGAAAUCCAAGAUUGCCGCUCCCACUACGAUUCCAUGGAACACAAUUUCAUAUUCACGCCAAGCCGUGAGACAAAGAUCGAAACAUGGAAAAGGCAUGAGUGUUUUGCCACUUGCGGAAUCCAAUCUCGGAGGAUGCCUCGCAUUCGCGACUCAACAAGAGAAAGAGAGGUACAAAGAUAUUUCCAUGCGCAAAAUACUUCCAGCUAAGUAUAUUCAUUACCCGACUCUUGAAAAAUUGAAUGUUAAGGAUAAUUUUGAUUCUUUGAUAGAUAAGAUUGGGUUGCGUAAGUUUGUUAAUGUUGAUUGUUUGGGUUAUAUUGAGUUGAUUAGGGAGUUUUAUGUUACUUUUCAAUUUAAUAUGCCGAAUGAUUUUACUUUGCAUACCCUGGAUGUCAUAAAGUUUAGGUUAAUGGGACAAAAUUUUUCACACUCUAUCACCGAUUUUAACCUAGCUUUAGGAUUCAUUGAUGAUGAUUAUUCUUCUAGUGAUGUAUAUUUAGGAACAACUUGUGACUUUAGCGAAAAUUUUGAGCCUUAUGAUCUUUGGCGUAAUUUAUCUGUUGAUCACAAUACCUAUGACCCGAGUAAAUCAAAGAGUUAUUUCUUACGUGAUCCUGUUUUGAAAUGUGUGCAUCGAUUCUUAGCAUAUAAUUUUGUAGGCAAGAAAGAUCACUCAGGAGUUUUCUCUAAAACUGAAUUUUAUUUUAUCUGGUGCAUGUUAAAUGAUGUGAGGCCUAAUUUAGGUUUUUGGUUAGCGGAUCAAUUUCAAAGUGUGCUUAAAUGGUAUAGGACUUUAUUUCUUGGUCCAUACAUUACUCUGUUAGCUAUAAACCUAUGUGCGCUUGAUCCUGACAAUAAUGAUUUGCAUUCUGCUUGCAAAAAGGAAUUUUUGGAUAUGUCUGUGUUUGAAAGAACAGGUGUGGUCGAAUUCAAGGAGGGAGAUUUCAGUUUACUGAACCAGGACCCACUCAACCUCCAAAGAAGCUUUAUCCUAGGAGUGGUGCUACCUCUGAUAACGAGUUUGACGACGACACUGCUGCCCCGCCAACUAUUCCUUCUACAUCCGCACCACCUUUGAGCAUUCAGUUAGAGAAAAUGGAGCACAAGCUGAACAUGAUGGAGCAGAAUUUGGCCGCAUACUUCGAGAGUGUGAGAUUUAUCCCACCAUUUCCGCCAAGCCCAUAAACGUUAUGUGGAUCAAAGCUCACAAUUCAGGGAAGUUUUUGCCUUUAAUCUUUUAUCCUUACGCUUUAAUUUUUAUGUGAGCUUUGAUUAUCUUACAUUGGGGACAAUGUAAGUUCUUGGUGUGGGGGAGGGAUUUUUGUAUUAUUGAUGUCUGGAAAUAUUAUUUUCACUCUACUCAUCUAUUUUCACUUUACUCAUCCUUAAAUAAUUUUGGAGUUAGUAUGCUUCAUAUAUUAUUAAUUUUCUUUUCCUUUCUCUCUCACUACUCUUUUCCCAUCUAUCUCAAAUUAUUUACAUCUAUUUUUUUUUCUAUCAUACUCUUUCAUCACUCACAUUUUAUCUUUCAUUUUUUUUACUACAUACAUCUUUCUCGCUUAUUAUCCUUUUUACCUUUCCUUUUAUAUCUCACUCAUACCUUCUUCUCAUUCUACACCACUAUUGAUGGUUGAUUCAUUUGAAGAGUGUACAUGAUUUGAUGGCAAAUUUACCAACUUUGUGAGGAUUUAAGCCUAUGAGCAACCACUUUGCUCUAAUUAUUUUUGUUAUGUGAAUAUCAAUCUUAGUUUGUAUAUUCUAGAACUUGCUUUGUUAUGCAUGUUGAAGCCACAUUACGGGAUUUUAUGCAUUAAAAUGAUAAGGGCAAACCAUUUACCAUUUUUAUAUUCUUGCAUUUUGUUUUUUCUCUACCCGAAGACAUUUAUUUGCUACCUUUGUUUGAGCCUUAACCAUUACCCAUCUAAUUCUCUCCGUCUACUUAACCAUUUUUCUUCUUUUUGAGCCUCAAUUUAAGGAGAUUUUUGGACUCAUUGUGUGGAUAUAUUUUGUUGCUUUUUCUACCUUGUAUUAAAGUUUCUCAAUUAGAUCAACAAGCAUUAUGCUUGAAUUAAAUUGUGCAAGGUUUGUUUCUUUUGUUUGAUUCAAAAAAAAAAAAAAACAACAACAAAAAAAAGGAAAAAGAAAAAAAAGAGAAAAAGAAAAAUCGAAAAAAAAAUUGAAAAAAAAGUUUACAUUCCUCAGUGACUUGAGUAGAAAUAAGCAUUUUGAUAUCAUAAGUUCAUUCAAUGAGUUCAUUAUUCUCAUUUUGAUCUCUUUUUCUUUCAUAGACCUUUCUUUUUCAUUUAACCUAUUUAACCCCAUUACAACCCUUUUAAGACCCUUAGAUUUUUGCAUUUUAUUAAUGUUUUGUGGAUUGAGAUGUGAUAUAUGAGCAAGCUUAUGGUAAUAGCAUUCUUUGAUUUGAUUUGAGUGAAUAAAUGACACCCUAAACACUUUGAGUGCAUGGAGUGAAGUCAAUGAGAGGGCUAUUAAAUCUUGUUGCACUUGAAUUUUGAAUGGAUCUUCUUGGUGGUUGAAUGUUCUUAUUCUAUCUUAUGAGAUUCUAUGCUUUAAAAUCCUUAUCUCUCGAAUGUUGAUCGACUUAAUUUUUUAGUUUAAACGUGUUUUGUAUUUUUGGUUAUUUUUGUAAUUACGAAUUUAAUAUUUCAGAUAUUAGUAUUUUAUUUUAAAUAGAAUUCUAGAGGAGAAGAGAGUGAGAGUAUUUAAGGGAGGAAUCUAUUGUGAAAAGGGAGAUUGGAGAAAAAGAAAGAAACCCUAGAUCUAAAUUUUUCUCUUCUCUCUAUGAAGAACUAAACCUAUUUUUUUGGUUGAAGGUUAAUGAAGCUUUGAUUCAUCACUACUGUGAGAUCUUUCUUAUGCUUUAAUUGUUUUAUUGCUUUUUUGGGUAUUUGUUUAUUCUCUGAAUUAUUUUCAUGAUUAUGUUUGUUAAUUAAGUAAUUGGCCACUAUUUAAUUAUCAACUUAAUCUAUUGUCAAUUAAAGGAUUCAUCGUAUGAAGAUUUUAAUGUUUGUGACAAAUAACAUAGCAGAGAGUUGUGUUAUGAGAAUAAACAAUCUAAUUUAAAUUAAACAUCGUAUGUGUUGAUUAUGAUUUGAGUCUCUCUGGUUUUUCAGGCUGUCAAUUGAUUAAAUCAUAUGAUCGUAUCUAGGGUUGUCUAUUGAUUAGGGAAAUAACCAACGGUCGUACCUUAGUUAUCGACUAGUUAAGGAGAAAUUGGCUAUUAGAGGGUCUCAGUAGUUAUAACCAGUCUAUUCAUAAGUAGCAAUAAUUUAUAUUUGAAUCAAUGAUCAGUAGCCGAAUUAAGCUGAGUUAAUUCCUUCAACCAGAGCUUUCUCCAAUUUGAAUUACAACUUUAAUUUGCAUUCUUGUUAUUUUAAUUUGAUUUUUUAUUAUUGUCAACGAAACCCCCAUUUUAUGUUUUACGUUUUAAAAAGAUUUAAAUAAUUACCGAUCUUUGUGGACACGACCCUGCUCAAUCACUAUACACAAUUUAUUUAGAGUAGGUAUUUAUUUUUGCUGGCUUCGACAACCAUCAACAACACAUGAUAAGUAAGUGGUUAAUUGAGACACAAAUAAAAGAUUAUAAUCUAAAGAUUGAACAAUUAACACUGAUUCUAAAUUUAAUUCAUCUGUGAGUCGUAAAGAUCCUUCCCCAAUAACUGAGGUUGUGGUUCCAUUUGCAGUGGAAAUAUGUUUUUGUGAAGAUGGUUUCAAUUGAGAAACUUGUCGAGAAUCAAAAGUCAUAUGAUCAAUUGCCCCAGAAUCAAUUAUCCAUGUACUAUUAAUAACAGGUGUAAGAGUUUUAAGGGCCUUACCUGGACUGACAGAGGUUGCGAUUUGCACUGAAGAAUCUUUUCUAAGAUCUGUAGUGGAUGUGGAUUCAGCUACUGCAGUUUUUGAUCCCUGCUUGGUGUUCUUCUUUCGAGUAUCCCACCAGUCAGGAUAUCCAAUGAUUUCAAAACAUUGUUCUUUUGUAUGACCAUUCUUCCUACAAUGAGUGCAAUGGAGUGAUGACUUGUCAACAAGCUUCCUUUGAGGCUGUUGUCGUGCUAUCAUAGCAGACGUUUAUGAGUCGACCUUCUUGUUUAGUUUGUUUUGCCAUACAUCUUAUCUCCGGAUAAGAGAAUAACAUUCUUCUAAGUCUGGGAUAAUAUCUUUUCAUAGAAUUUCUCUACGAACUUGGUCAAAUUCUUCAUCUAGCCCAGCAAGAAAAAUGUGCACUCUCAAUCUUUCAACAGACCUUCUGUAUAUUACAACAUCUUCUGGAUCUUUCAUGACCACUUUAUCUCGAUGAUCAAGUUCUCGAAAUAUUUCGAUCAAUUCUCCGUAGAAUUUAGAGAGUGGUUGUCCAUUUUGCUUGGUAGAGAACGCCUUCUGGUUUAGAGUGAAAACUUGUAAUUCAUCGCUUCCAUCAUAGAAGGCUUUUGAUAAUGCAUCCCAAAUUUCGUAGGCUGUAGGAAUUCGUAAAUAUCACUUCAUGAUCUCCGGAGACAUGAGUAACCAUCGUUUUACUUUUUGGUUCUCACUAUACCAUUUCUCAUAUUCUUUUGAAGAUUCCUCAUAUAGCUUUGUGUUGCUACGAAUACAUGAGAGUUUUUCUCUUUCUGCGAGAUGCAUCUCCAUUAUUUGAGACCAAACAUCGUAGUUUGUCUCAGUGAGGAUAAUUCCAGCAUUAAAUAUUCCAUCAGAUUGAACAGAUUGAAUGACUAUUGUGCAAAUUUAUUGAACUCGCAAGUGCACGAAUUUAUUGUAGUAUAGAUCAAUGGUGAUGAGUGUCGAUCCCACGAGGAGGUGGAUUUUAAUUAUAUGUAGAAUUAAUUUUGUAUGAGGGUGGUUGGAUUUGUGGUGAAAAUGAUUUGGAUUAUCCUAAAAUUCGAAUUAAAAUGGCAAGAAUAAAUUGAAGUGAAAAUCUAUUAAAUUGACGUACUUGGGUAUCUGGAUCCGUAUCAACAUGCACCAUGGGCUAAAUAUUCCUUAUUAAUGCCAAUUGAAUCAUGAGGGUGGAAUCCACACCUCAUGAACCACACUCUAAUCAAUAUGGUGCUAAGGGCUUAUCAUGCCAAAUAAUAAUAACCUUGUACUAAGGAGCCGGUGUAACCAAUGCGGUAUCUAGACAAGAUUAUUAUUAUUUGUCGACGAAAAGUCAAAUCAUCCACAAAAAUUAGAGGGGAAAAGAAAAUAAAUUUACCAAAUAAAGCCCAUGACACAUGUUGAGACUUCACCUUCAACCCAAGCUUGAAAGAAAAUUAGCUACUUAUAAUUGAACUAGGGGCAAAAUGAAAAUUUAUUAAAAUACGUAGAAAAUACAAGAUGGAGAAGAAAUUACAGAAAAUGGAUCCCAAAAAUGGAUUCAGAGAUAUCAAAUUAGGGGGGGGGGGGAGGCCCCUUUUUUAUAGAUACAUUGAGUAAAUCGUGGCCAUCGGAUUAAAAACAGUUUGGACGCUCAGGAUUUUGCCACGUCAUCAGUCAACAGUACGCGGUUUGACCACGUGGGUGAACAGUAACACGGUUUGACCCGGGUUGAACAAUGAUGCGGUUUGGUUGAAAAUAAUCCUGUGUAAUGCAUGUACCGUACGCGACAUUUUUGGUCCACUGAUAUGCUGCCACGUCAUCGAUCAACAGUGCAUAAGAAUUUUAGUCCAACAGGAUUGUGACACCUCAUCAGUCAAUGCCACAUCAUCGGUCAAUGCAACGUCAUCAAUCCGUCUAUGUGAACAGUGUCGUGAACAGUAACGUAGACAGUAUCAUAUAAGUGAAUAGUACCAUACAUGUGAACAGUGCCAUUUUUCCUUUUAUGCUCCUCCUAAGGUUUUCGACCGUCCUGAGUUCAAAAGUGAUGUCCGUUUUGCCAUCUGAUCUCUCGUUCAUUGUGAAAUGACUAUAAUGCCCCUAAAAUACAUAAAAUACUUAAUUAAAAUAAAACACACAUAAUUAAAUGACAAGAAGUUUAAAUACAUAAAAGUAAGGGUGUUAGUAAAACUUAAAGUGUAAAAUGACGAUUUUCUCCUUUAUAACUAUACAUUUUCUAACACUCAACAAUGACAACAGGAGCAGAUUCAGUUGGAGUUUUCUCCAUUUUUUGUUGUUUUUUUUUUCUCUUUUUCCUUUUUUUUCUCUUUUUUUUUCCUUUUUUUUUUGGCGCCUAGAUUGAAAUAAGGGAAAAUAACCUUUUUAGAUCAAAGAACGACAAGUCAUUUGGCCUCUGCUUGACGAAACGACAUGUCGGUUCUGAUGGAAUAUAAACGACAUGUCGUUUGACGACUGCUGCACUUCUGGAGAUUGAACGUGACGUCGUUUUAUCUCUAAUUUACAACCGACAUGUCUGUUGUAAUGUAAUAAAAAAUGACACGUCAUUGUAUUACCAGCUGCACUCUUGAGAUAAAAAUAAAAUGUCGGUUGAUGUCUUCUUCAACCUCUCGAGCGCGUGAAUAUGACAGAGGCGCAUGGUUGACUGGCCGUGGCUUCCGGUGGCACGUGGGAGCGCGUGGAAAUGUGUUUAAAUGCCAAAGUUUUACAGUUUUCUUACUGGAAACUGAGAAAUAUGAUGGUAUUCUUGGUUUUUUAGGAACACACUCUUGGAAAAUUAAUGGGAUUGCUGAUAAAUUUGUAAACUCAAGUUUUUUACGUAUGGGUGGCUUGUUUCUUGAUCGGCAUGGAUUUCGGUAAUGGUAGGAAUGGGUUUAAGGAAGAAAAUGGUGGGAAAAAAAUGGUUGUGGGAGGAAUUUGGUUUCCUCUGUUUUUAUUACGAACAGAGCUGCGAAACUUGAAGAAACUUGAAGAAACUUGAGCGUAUUCAUGGCUCUGAUACCAUGAAGAAACAUGUUUUUAUUUCUUGAAAUAAAACAUUAUACACUGAGAGUUAUUUAUAGAUGCAGAUGCUACAUUUUUUCAAAGAUUACAUAUGUGAAUAUGGAAGGAAAUGUGUCAAUCCGUUCGGCGUGGAUCGUGUCUUUGACAAAUGCAGAUUAUCCCUUUGACAAGUGCGGAUUAUGUCUUUGAAAACUUUCUCCAAUGCCAUUUUAUUCAACAAAUACGAUCUCAUCAGCUAUUAUAUUAAUUUCUAUUUUGCCAUUGCAUGAAAUUAUGAAAAAAGGAUAUUGAAGAGUUUCUUGCCACAAAUUGAACCUGCAUCUCUGUAAGCAUUACUCUUGCAUUUUCGCGGAAAAGGGAGUAAGUGAAUGGCCUAAAUUCAUGGUUCAUUUCAUAUUAUGGAGUUUCUUUCUUCAGGAUGAUUUCGGCUGGAAUUCUCAUAAUUUGCGUCCAAAAAUCCACUAUUGAUAGGCUUAGUGCUUGCCAUUUUGCCUUUACAGCUGGUAGUGGUUGUAUGCUUGUUGGAUUAGUCAAAAAAAUCAAUUGGCAUUGGUCACAAAUUUUUUAUUCAAUUUUUUAUUCGAGCUGAGGGAUACAUACAGUAGUAGACGUCGUGUUCUAUGUUCUCUUUCCCAUAUAUAUAACUAUAGUAAGAGAUAUAUAUGGCUUUUAUAUAAUUCUCAAUAUCAUAGGCGGUAAACAUGGACUCUUGGCUAAAAGACAAUAUGAACAUGAAACCAUUUCACGUGGGUGAUCAAUUAAUAACUUUCAUUUUUUUUACUUCUUAUAGAAGUCAGAAGAGAGUGUACCUGCGACCAGUGGCGGUGCCAAAAAUUAUUUUUAGCGCGGGCUACGUUCACAUAAUAGUUUAAUUCAAGAAAGUAAUCAAUAAAUAACAUAUAUCAAAAUAAAAUUUCAUUAAAAUAUUUAAUUCAACACACUUAUAAUUGUCUUCGACGAGGUUUCAUAUGUUGAAAACGUUGAAGAAUAACUUCAUUGUCAAGACUACAAAAUAUAUCAUUUUUUAUGAAUACAACAAGGUUAUCAUUCAACCAUUGAUCUCUCAUCCGAUUUCGCAGACGGUUUUUCACAAAAUUCAUAGCCGAAAAUGCCCUUUCUAUUGUAACUACGGCAACUGGUAAAAUCAAUGCUAAUGUCACCAAUAAAUAAACUAAUGAAUAUAAUUGAUCCUUUUUAGUCUCAACCAAUUUUCUUGCUAGCUCACCAAUCCCUUUCAAUCUGAAAAUUUGUUGUUAGAACCGACAUCCAUAAUAUAAACAUCAAAUUGAGUUUCAAGUGCCACAAGAUCCAUUAGAGAAAAAUCAUUUGGAUAAAACUCAGCAAGGUGAAGUAGUUUCUAUUUAUCAAAAGCUGCAAAUGAGUCAUUGGGGCAUAGACAUGCCACACAAAGAAGUAGGGGUGGGCAUCGGAUCGGAUUCGGAUUUGAAGGCAAAUCCGAUUGGAUGAAGUCUGUGCGAUCUGAUCGGAUUUGGUUCGGAUCGGAUCGAAUUCGGAUCAAUCCGAAUCAUCCGAUCGGAUCUGCACUAUAAACUAAAAAAAAGAAAAUUAAAUAAAUAAGCGAAAGUACUAAAAAAAUAAGUUUAACUCAUGUUCGGAUUCGGACUUCGGACUUCGGAUCACUAGUGCAGUCAGUCAGUCACCACUCACCAGUUCACACUUCACAUUGUUCAUCUCACUCUUAGAUCUUACGUCUCAGUCACAGACUCACAGUACCAACUCAAACUGACAUUAACAAAAGACACAGGACUCAGCGAGCACGAGCAGCAGAGCAAAAGCAAAAUGCCAAAUCCAGCUUCAUCUCGUCAUCCGUCUUGAACCCAUUAACGAGUAACGACCACGCCAAAACUCAGCUGCCGCCGGCCCGCUGACACCAAUCGACUGGAAGCUAGCCGAUUUCAACUGAAACCCAGGCGAACGAAACCAAAUUAAUCGACCUAAACCCAGCUGAAACCCAGCUGACAGCUGCCUCUUCAACCACCGAACUGAUCACGUCCAGCGCCGGCCAGUUGCCACGCCAAACGCCGAUAAUCCACUUCCACUAUUCCCAAGCACCUAGCAACUUUAUUCAUGGUAAGCAAUUAAACCAGACCCAUGACAAUUGAAAGUUAACACAACUCAGAAUUUCAUGCUUCUUUUCGACUUUUAGGGUUUUUUUAGUUGUAUUACUGCUUGGAAAAUGAAAAACCGAAAAUGCCACCAAAUGGUUUGGGCCAAACCCGAGAGCAAGCGGCUAGCUCCCAAACCCGAGAGCAAGACAUGAAUUGUUCUGUUUUUUCCUUUUAUUUUUUCUAAUGUAUGAUUAUUCAUUUGUAAUAUUAGUUGAGAAAGACAUGAAUAUGUAUUGAUGUAAAAUUCAAAUUUAUUAAUUAUUAAAUAAUCAUCAUUAUUUAAUGCAUGAUUAUUCAUUUAUAACAUUAGUUUAUUAAUUAUUAAUAAACUAAGGAACAAUAUCAAUUCUUUAAAAUUAAAAAUUCAACUUCAUACCGUACAUUGUGGUAGUAGAAUUAUUUUAUGAUAAGUUAAUGUCAUUAAUUGCUUUAUUUCCAAAUAAUAAUUUGAUGAAUGAAUUUGUAUAGCUAGUAAGCUAGGCUGAAGAGAUUAUAUAUAGUCAAAAGUUAUAUUUAUUUUUUAGUUGAAAAUUCAUAAACGAAAGUUACAGAACAAUGAUGAUUGAUAUGAUUUUUUUAUUUUCAGAUGACUGGACAUUCAAAAUCAAAUUCCAAUGAUGAAGAUGAAGUUGAAAGUGUACAAGUACCCACAGAAAAGACAAAUACAAAGCGGAAGAAUCCAACUCAGAGACGACCAAUAAAGAAAAGAUCUGAGACAUGGAAUCAUUACACUGUACUUGAGGACAAUCAAUAUAAAGCAAAGUGCAACUAUUGUGGCAAGAUAUAUCAGUGCCAUCCUAGGUUUGAUGGGAUUAGCAAUAUGGGAACUCAUUUAAAAGUAUGUGAAGCAUACUUGAACGUGAAGCGAGAGCAAGAUGAAAGACUACAAAAAUUGGCAGCCGAGAGUGGUGAAGGAAAUGCAAGUAAUAUGGUUUUGGCUAAAGGAUGGAGUCAAGAAGCUUGUAGAAGGACAGUUAGUAAAAUGAUUAUCUUGGGCAAGUUGCCGCUUAAUUUUGUUGACAACAAAGGGUUUAUGCAUUUUUGCAAUGUAGUUGUUCCUCAGUUUAUUAUGCCAUCUUGGAGAACUAUUAGUAGAGAUGUUAUGGAUAUGUUCUUGGAAGAAAAGGGAAUUUUGAAGAGUUUGAUAUGCAAGAAUAAGCAUAGAGUGUCUCUUACAACUGACAUAUGGACUUCAGUUCAGAACAUGAGUUAUAUGGUAAUCACAGCUCACUUUAUUGAUAGUGAUUGGUGUUUACAUAGGAAGAUUAUUAGUUUUAGCGUGAUUGAAGACCAUAAAGGGAAGUCCAUUGGCAAAAAGAUUUAGUCUUGUUUGCUUGAAUGGGGAAUAGAGAGGGUGUGUGCAAUAACUGUUGAUAAUGCGUCGGGCAAUGAUGUUGUUAUUGAUUAUGUGAAGAACCAAAUGCUUAUGUGGAAGAAUGUUGAUGCACUUGUGUUGCGGGGUGAUUACAUGCAUGUGCGUUGUUGUGCACAUAUCUUAAAUUUGAUUGUCACUAGGGGGUUAAAAGAGUUGCAUGCCUCAGUUGCCGGUAUUCGGAAUGCUGUGAAGUAUGUUAGAUCAUCCACUUCGAGAUUAAAAGCAUUUAAACAGUGUGUAGAUCAUGUGAAAGGCCCUAAUGGAACUGUGGUUUUGGAUUGUAUCACUAGGUGGAAUUCCACCUAUUUGAUGUUGAUGACUGCUUUGAAAUUUGGGGAGGCAUUUGAGAGGAUGGCAGAAGUGGAUAAACCGUAUGAAGCAUACUUUAGAGAGGAAGAAAACGAGAAAAAAAAGGGUAGGGCCACCUGAGCUUGAAGAUUGGGAACAUGCCGAAAGAAUUGUGAGGUUUUUAAAGAUCUUUAUGAUGCUACAUUGACUUUUUCAGCCUCUUUGAGUGUCACUUCUAAUCUUUGUUGCGAUACAAUUGGCUUAAUCGAGAAUCCAUUGAGUGCAUUAGAAAAAAGCAAAGAUGUUUAUGUGCAUUUGAUGGCUUCUAGUAUGAGGGAAAAAUAUGACAAAUAUUAGGAGUGCACAGAGAAAAUCAACAAAAUCAACAAAAUCUUGAUUAUUGCCUCAAUACUUUAUCCGCAUUGCAAAAUGGAUUUUACUAAACAUAUUUUUAGUAUGAUAUUUUCCGAUGAUAGUGCAAAGAUUGAAGAAAUGGUCGCGGUGAUGAAAGGCUUGUUAAAUUCACUUUUUGAUGCAUAUAGUGGAUGGAACUCCUCACCACCAUUGUCUAGUGAGAGUUUUCGUAGUGGCAGUGCCAGUGGUGGCGGUGGCGGUUCUAGUUCUUCUCCGCACCUUAUAGAUGACACGGAUCGGCAACAAGGGUACAUAAUGGAACAUGGUGAUGAUACUUUACGAGUUGCUCGCCCUUUUCUUGGAUAUGCUAAGAAAGUUUUAAUUCAAAACGAGGGCAAGCUUAUGACGACCGAGGUGGAAAGAUACUUACUUAACCCGAUUGAAGAUCCUAGUAAUGAUAAACUAAAUUUUUUAUUAUGGUGGAAGGUGAACAGGUCGAAGUAUCCGAUAUUGCAGAAAAUAGCAAGGGAUAUCCUUGCAAUUUCGGUAUCCACUGUGGCUUCGGAGUCCGCCUUCAGCACUGGGGGUCGUAUCAUGACGAAUAUAGGAGUUCUUUAACUCCCACUAUGAUUGAAGCAUUGAUUUGCACUGAAAAUUUGUUGCAGUCUAAACUUUUUUGCCACUCCUAUCUACGACCUUAAUCAAGAGUUGAAAGAUCAUAUAUAUCAAAUGGAGUUACAAGAGGGUAACUUUUUUAUAUUACAUUUUAUAUAGAAUACCUUUUAAAUUUAUUAUAACACAUUUUUUAUAUUACUCGUGCACUAAUUAUAAGUUAUUAUGUUUUUUUUUUCAUUUUAAAGAGUAUGUACAAUCACAAGCUUCAACAAUUACAAGUUACAACGAUGGGUGCUAGUAUUCGUCAUGAUAUUUGAAUAGGUAAGGUAACUCUUAAAUUUAAUAAAUCUUUUGGUUUCAAGGUAUUAUAUUUAUAAUUGUUUUACUUUUGGUUUUAAGUCAAUUGUAACAUGAUAAUUGUUUGUGAUCUUAUGUUAGGAAAAUUGAAGUUGGUAGUUGGAAAGCAAAAGUUAAGGAUUCAUCAAAGUGUGUUGUGAGUUUAAUUUGAUAUUAUUGUACUUUUGGUUUGAGGAACUUGUAGUCUAUCUAAAUGUUUUGGGAUGAUAAUUUUUAUUUUGGUUUAUUUUAUUGUUGGAUGAUAUAAUGAUAAUAUUUAUUUUGUGAUUUUGUGUUGUUUAUUUAUUUGGAGACUUGGAGUAAUGUUUAAUUGUUUAUUUUGUGUUGUUUGUUGGGAGACUUGGAGUAAUGUUUAUUUUGUGUUGUUUACUUGGAGACUUAGAGUUGGAGCAAAGUUUAUUUUGUGUUGUUUAUUUAGAGGCUUGGAGCAAUGUUUAUUUUAUGUUGCUUAUUUGGAGGCUUGGACUUGGAGUAAUGUUUAUGCACCUAACUUGUAAGAGCAUUAGUGCAUUACUAAUUAAAUGAAAUGGGAGUGCUUGUUUUCUUGGUAUAUGUCAAUGCCAUAUUGUCAAGGAGACAAUACAAUAUAGAUUGUCAUUUGUUAGCUUGUUUUCAUUUUCUUUUUUUUUUUAAUGGUUAGUAAGUUUUCAUUACUUAUAGAUUUCAUAAUUUUUUUGUGAGAAUUGUGAAAAAGGUCCAAAUCCGAUUUCAAUCCGAAUUAAUCCGAAUCCAAAAUAUAAUCCGAAUCCGAAAAUUAAUCCAAAAUCCAAACUCAUCCGAUCCAAUCCGAAUCCGAAUUCAAUCCAAAUUUUCAUCCGAUCUAAAUCCGAUCCGAAUAAUUCGGAUCGGAUGAAAAUUCGGAUUGAAUUCGGAUGAAUUUUUUUUCAAUCCGAAUUAUCCGAAAUCCGAUCGAAUUCAUCCGAAUCCGAAAUUGCCCACCCCUACAAAGAAGCAACUCAGUAUUCGUCUUAUUGAAACGAUUGCUUAAUUCUUUAAGUUGCAUGUCCAAAAUUGCAUAAAAUAAUUCAACACGAAAACAAUGCAAAUUUGUGAUCUUUUGAGCCUUGCGUUGUGAUCUUUCUUGAGUUCGAAACAAAUCAUCCAUAUUCGGAACAUCAAUAUCAUGCUUUACACAAUAAGAAAAAGUUUCACCAAAUAAAGAGUCUCAUCCAUUUUCUCCAGUCUUUUGCAAGUUUCUCUUAUACACUUCAAUUAAUUUCAUAGCAUUCACAAUGUCUUGAUCCUUUUUUUGUAAUGCUUGUGAUAACUCAUGUGCAAAUCCAAGAAUAUUUUUCAUUAACAGCAGGCUAAACACAAAAUCAAAUGAUUGCAUUGACUUCAAUAACAUUCUAGCUUGAAAUCUUUGUUCAGAAUUUCCCUCAUUUGAAAUUAUCUCAAGCAUGUCAAUAAUAGAUGGAAACAUGGUGAUUAUACUCAAUAACGUACCAUAAUGUGAGCCCCAACGUGUAUCAGCAGAUCGCUUUAAAGUAACCUCUUGAUUUAAACCUCGUCCACUUGAAAGUUCACCAUCAUCAAGUGUUUUAAUAACUGCUUGAGCAUGUUUCUCUUGAAGAAUAUCACGACGUUUUGUUGAAGCACCAACAACAUUAACUAACAUUGUAAGAGAAUUAAUUAUGAGAAUUUAAAGAGAAACUGAAAACAAUUCCCAUGUCAAAAUGUAAAAACAAAUACAAAAAUACAAAAUAUUAAUUUAAUAAACUAACUACCCGAUUAAAUCCUCAACCACUAAGUUACUAAUCCAUCAUAGCAUCACGCCAUCACCAAUGGCAUUGUUAUUCUAUUAUUUAUAAUGAGUAAAGUUAAAAGCAUUGCCACUUUAUCAAGAAGCAUCGCCACUUUAUCAAGAAACAUGCCACAAUUAUUCUAUUCAAAAAGUAUAAACAAAUUCAAGAAUUGUAAUAUUAAAUUAUAAAGUGACAAAGAUGUUUAAUUAUUAAAAUAAUUUAGCCACUCGGCCUUUGGCCGAGUGGUCAGGGCAGCAAUUCGAACCCCCACAAAAGCAUUGUGGGGGUAUUUCCUUCCUCAAUUAAAAAUUGAGUGAAGGUAGUCUUCUUUUUUACCCAUGAGUGAGGAGUGGACAUCCCUCGAAUAUUUGUGAGGGUUAAAAUCUGGGCAGAGCUCCAUUAGUAUUGAUGUAAGUUGGUCCCAGUAAUAGUCUGAUUUGUAAAUAUCAGUUAUACUCUCAUGUAAUAUGAGUUGUAAUAUGAGCAAUAGUCUCAUGUAAUCAAAAAAAAAAUUAUCAAAAUAAUUUAAUCAAUUCUUAAUAAUUAAUCUAAAAGCUGCAAAGGUAUGACAGUAGUACCUGAAAAAAUGCAAAGAUGCAGACCAUGCGGUGGUGCAGGGCUCCGAGUGCCAACUGCAAGUUGUAGCAUAUAUGGCAUGAAAGCAAAGAGGUGUGAUGGCAUGAGAGUUUGACAGAGAUAGACGACAGGCUGAUCACUGAUGGUAGCCGAUGGAGUUUUUCUUUGGCAAAGGAUCGAUGGUGGUGGUUAGGGAUUUGAUUUUGAGUUUUUUUUUUUAAUUUCUAAUCGUUGUUUUAAAUAUUAGUCUUUUAGUUAUUUCAAAAAAAAAUUCAGGGACUUUAUUGUAAAUUCACUAAAAAAAGAUAAAUUUAAUUGUUUUUAAAAUUCUAGGGGGGCCUUCAGCCCCCAGCUCUCAAGUGGCGCCGCCUCUGCCUGCAACGUCAAUCGUAUCAAGCAAAGAUAUAGGACAUUUAAUAAUGAAAAAAUUAGGAAUUUUCAUGGACACACCAGUCGGUUCCGUAAAUAUAUAGAAUCAACUGAUUCUAGGUACCUUACAAUGUGAUUUUUUUCCCCUUGAAGAUAAGGACUAUUUUUUAGGAUACUGGCCGUUGAGGCUUUGUUUGUAUUUUUGCAAGAAAAUGGAAAAGGGUGGGCUAAAUCGCAAAAAAUAAAGCUAAUAGCUGCUAAAUUGAAUUUUUUAAGAGUGUUUUAAUGUGGAAUUUGAUUUGGGAACUUUUUUGUAGUUACAAGAAACAGCCACACCGGGUAACAAUUAGGGCAUUCUUUCAUAAAUUGGAUAUCAAUAGUAUCGAGUACGAAUGAGGAUGGUUAAAUGCCUAAUCACCCUAUUAAUCUUACAGUCGACAAAAAGCAAAAGCAAAAGCAAAAGCAAUAGCAUUACAAAUAGUAUAACUAUCAAAUUGAUUCACUAUGUCUAAACGACAAGUCAUCUAAAUAAUUUGUCAUCUAAUUACUAAAUUAUUUGACGCAACGACUGAUUUAGAAUUUUAAUUUAGAGGGGGCUUGGUACAAAUACUGUGAUUCACAGUAGCGCGUUCGAUGGUGCGAGUGAUCAACAACAACGACAGACAAGUGAGGCAAUGAUGAUGUAUAUGUUGGAAAUAUGAAUUCAUAUUGUUUUUUGAAAGUACACAAUAUGAAUAGUAGCUGUUGGUACUGUUACUUCACUAUUUACUAAUACUAUUGAUCUUACUGUUCACUCAACAACAAUCGUAAAUUUGUCAAGGUGUGUUCGAAGUGUCCUUAAGACUAAUUUUUGCUUCUCUAGAAAGAUUUUCCGAUACAAAAAAUAUAUAUAUAUAAAACGAAUUGAUCCCUAGGAUAUAAUGACAUUAUUGUGAGCUUGCACUCCAAGCACAAUAGUUUAGAAUAACAAAAGAAAAAUUAAUGAAAAAAAUAUAAGAUAGAAGAAUAGGUUACAAUGGUUGUGCCUUGAAGAUUUUGUAUUUUGAAAUACCAAUAAAACUCUAAGAAUAAGCUUAAAUAAUUUGAUCAAAAUUGCACUUUAAGAUGAAACACUAAUUAAUGGCCUUUCAAGACUUGAAUUGGGUUAAAUAGUUUAUGUACGAAAAUUGAAUUAUUGACAUCCCUAUCUCCUUUUAUAUAUUGUUGGUAAUAAAUCUAAUAACUUUAUGUGGUUGUGAUUCUUAAUGUAGUUUUUUUUAAUCGUUAGCUGUGUACGUGUCAUUAUUAGCAAUGUGUCAUUUUCAUUACUGUGUCAUUGUUGGCAGUGUGUCAUUUUCAUUACUGUGUCAUUUGUAGUAUUUAGAAUCAUUGGCCAAUAAUUUUGUAACAAGACCAACAUAUAGGGGUAAAUGACAAAUUCACGAGUGGGGGACAUACACCUGUUUAUAAUAUUGUAAAUGCAUUUUUUCAUGAGUUUACAGUGUUCAAAAGUAUUUUCUUCAUUCUAAGUGUGGACAUGCCAAUUUUGCAUAAUAGUCAUAUCCCAGAACAAAAGUCACAUUAAAAUUUUAUUCAUUUAUUCAGGUUUUUUUCCUGCAUUAACGAAUUCAUUGUGUAGGAUUUCAUUUUUAUGUAAACCAAUUCAGUUACGAGAAUCAACUACUAAUUUUUUUCCCGUUAAUUGGCUACGUUUACGUUAAUUAACUGAUAAAUAACUUUGCAUUAGCAAAGCCAAGAGAUUAAUUUAAACCCCUAAGAUUCAAAUAUUCUUUCACUAGUACUACUGGACAAAUUUGGCAAUCGAUAUUUCGGAAGACAUCAUCACACGUGUCAAACAAAAGUUAAAAAAAUAGCCAGUCCCAUUAAAAUCACCAAAUGCAAUCCAAUAACAUGCUCCAUUAUGUAUUGACUUUCAUGAGAAUUAGCAGGAAAAAAAAAAGUUCAUUUAGUUAAGCAAAUAGCAACCUUUGAUUGUUCUUUAACAUUACUAAAAAUCUAAUUCUUACUUUACUUGAUUGUAUUGUCGAAUCUUUCUGAAAAGGUAGAAGAUAAAUCCCAUUUAUUGGAAUUGUAUGUAGGACGUGUUUUGUUCAAAAUCAGUAAUUUGACAGUUAAGAAAUGAACAGAAAGUUGUUGAAGGUAGUGCAUGACGUCUCAUGCGCUUUAAAUUUCAAAAAUUUAUAUCUUUUUGACAUGGAAACUACUCAGCAAGGAAAUGGUGGCUCAACAACAUUAUAUAUAUAGAGCUCUCUAGGUGAAUUGAAGAUGAGAAUGAGGGAUUGCAUAAGCUACAAGAAUGAACGGUCAUUUGUAAAGUACAGCGAAUAGGGUCCAUUAGAUCAAAUCAAGUAGAGUAGAAGAAAAUGAAUACACUUAUGCUACAAUCAGUUUCAAUUUCUUUCAUCUGGUAACCGUCUAUAAACAAGAUACAAGCUCUAAGCCACCAAUGGGCUAUAAACAGAGCUUCAUUCAAGAGAGUUAAAGGUAUCCCAAGUUCUGAAAAUUGAGAGCAUGUACAAGUGAGCUUUUACAGAGAUUUUUCAGAGAAUGUUUUCUUAACUAUUCUAGAGGGAUUUAUAUUGGGUGUAUUUAGGUUAUCGGAUUUUGAGAAUUGUUCCCAUUCAAAGCCCAACCCCAAUUCAUGAGCCUAAAUAAUAAACCAAACAAAAGAGAAUAUUCUCUCAAUUUAUCUAGAAUUACUUUGCUAAAAAUAUCAUGAAUCAUUGGCGUUGUGGCAGUUUUAAAAUUUGGUGAUUCCUAAGAAAUUAAUGGUAAUAAGUUUAGAAUGUCGUUAUUUGUUAGGACCUGCAUUUAAAAUCUUAAAUAUUCGUAAUUAAUUAUAAAGAUCUCGGUUCACCUGCAAGCUACAACAAUUAGCUAACUGAUAUAUGGUAUUUUUUACAAAACUAUUCAAAAAGAAAGGGUAUAAUUAAUCAAACUGAUUUGGACAAUACCACACGAUUUUUUUUUUAUUGACAAACCAACAUAAACAACAUAUUAACGUAAAUAACGCAUUCACAUAUAAUUGUUUUAUUUAGUUAUUAAGAAAGACGAAGUACAUGGACGGUGGACACUAAGAAAUAUAAUCUCUUGUAUAUCAAGAGAUUUUAGAGGUUGAAAUGAACUAAACUGACCCUCACACAAUUAAUUGACAGUAAUUGACAGGUAAGAACAGUACCCAUCCUUUUAUUAACCAUAAUGGAAAAGAGUAAUACUGCGUGCGUGCGUGCGCUUAUUAACCAGUGUGGUCGGGAUUUCUUCCAUAUUGAGGGACAGCAAUAAGAUCAAGAUUGUCAACUGUCCCGUCCUUAUCAUCAGCAAUACCAUAUACAGGUACUGGAGUACCCUCCAACCAUUCAUUCUUACCUGAAAGUUUAACAUUAGAAAAUGGAUUCAUAAAUGCUUAUAUUAAUAUAUGAAUUGUAAAUGAUAUCCAUUCAGCUGAAAUUGGCUAAAAAACCUGCGCAAGGAAAAGGAGUUUCCAUAUUCUUCAAAUCAGAAAAGAUCUCCAGGUGAAGCGUAAUCAAAACUCAAAAAUAAGUAGAGCUUGAGCGUGUUCUUAGUUCUGGUUUGAUCUGAUAUAUAUAGAUUCAAGAAGCCGAUGUUGCCGAGGUGUGGGUGAUUGUGACGUAGCAAAACA